GACAAAGGAUUAGACUGGCGAUGGAACUGCUGCCUCUGCUGUUAUUGUGCAAGGUUUGAUCACUGGACCUUGAACAAGAAAGCCUUACACGCAUUCUGUAAUUCAAGCGUUCUCUAAAACGAACGAGCAGUAGAAGGAAUAGUAUGACCGGAUCUGCUCUAUUUUAAUUGAAAAUCUCUGUGAUGUUGACGAGCUUAAAGUAGUUGAUGCUUUUUGAAAAUUGUUAUUACGAAUGAAUUCAUUCCUGAAGACGAGUAGCUAAUGAUUGUUAAGGCUUAUUUUCUUAAAGUUCCUUUCUUAACAAAUGUUUCAAUGCUGGCUGUAGUAACAUUUUCAUAUCUUGCAUCUCUCGGGUGCAUCAUGUUCGCGGGUUUGAAAAAGCAUUUUUGGUAAAGUUUCAAAGGUUGUACAACGGCUGUGAAAAGGCAUAUUCAAUUCGGUACGUUUUGGUGUGGUCUCCUAAUGCUAAUAUCAUAUUUUGUAUAGCAAUUAAAAUUUAGGUAUACAAUCUUAAUAUGCAAUAAAUCAUUGUGUACAAAGUUUUCUAUUAAUUAUAUGGUGACUGAAAUUUUAAUUAUAAUUUUAAUUAUCAUAUCAAUCUUAAAUUUUUUUGUAACUCUUUUUUACUUUGCUUGUACAGAGUACCUGUUUUGGCUGAUAUGUCUAGUUCGUAGAAAUUCAUUUCCACUGGUUUCCAUUUGCUUUAGCACAAACAGAAACAGAGCUCUGGGGAAAAGUUUGACUUCUUGUGGUAUUAUGCCGUUGUUUCUUCAUUCAUCAUAUUAUUCGAAUUCAUGCUCUCAUUCAGAGGGUGAAGCCUUUUCUAGGCUGCUUUGUAGCCAAAUUUUUACGCCAUUGAUGCAUGACUGUCAUUUAGAUUUUCCAAAUAACUGCUAGAUUAGAGAAGAAUAAGAAGAUAUUGUUAAAAGGGUAUUUAAUUAGCGCCCUCUGAAUUUAGUUGCCAAUAAUGCAUUGAAAUAGUCGGGGAAAGUUAUUUUCUUAAUUAAAUUACAGGUGAUAAGAUGCUGCUUCAAUUUUGCAAGCAUCUCGUAUUGCGAAGAUUUUGCCCACAUGAGAUCCCACUAUUCUUGACAUCAGGGUAACGCAGGUCAAAUUUUAGUAUCAAUAUAUAUCUUCUUCUUUACUGUUCUGCCUCUAAAUAUUAAACUUUAGGCAAGUUGUUUUUGUUUGUGUAAGUUAUCAGGUUCAGGAUACUAAGCAGCUUAAUUGUUCGCCACACCUAGUAUGAAUGAUGGCCAGGAACAUUAAUUGUUCACAAGCCAAUUUGAUUAGUGUUAGAUUUUUUGCCUUCCUUCGAAAGAUAUCAUCAUCAAAUUUGAGUUGAGAAUAUUUGAAGAGAAUUUUGUUUUGAGAGUUUCACUGUAGUGAAUUUUGGGUUUGCGUUUGAGCACACACAAAGGAUGCACUAAAUAUAACAAAAGUAUAUUUCUACUUCUUGUGGUUAUUUUAAUUUUGUUUCUCGUGUCAUCAUAUUUGAUUAAUUCGUUCGAAUUCACACUCACACAUUUCCAUGAAUAAUUGUUAGGCUGGUGGAGAUAUUUUUAAAAGGGCAUUAACCUACCUUAUGGAAUUGGAAAGUUAUUAUUUCUUGAAAGCAGGCAGCAUCUUCGUUGCGUAGGCUUUCCCCACUUGAUAAGAUGCUGACAUUGUUACCGGCCCCUUAAUUAUUUAUUAACUCAGGUAUUUAUUAUCAAGUACAUCAUCUUAUUCAACAUUUUGGCUAUAUAUAAAGAUUAUAAUUUCUAACAGUUGUUUCGGAUUCUUGUGUACUCAGGUUAAUAGGGCAAAUGUCAGAAUGAAGACUGUUCAGUUUAACCCGUAUAGCAAGGAUGAUAGCGGUGAGGAAGAUUGUUGGCAAGCCAAAUAGAGCCCUCCAUUUUGAGAAAUAUCAUCCGCAUAUUUGAAUUGUUGAGCAUGUGAAGUGAACCUUCUUAUGGAAAUACCUUCCUGUUUGACUUGCAAAAUACAUUACAAAAGCUCCCAAACAGUAUAUUUGAACAGAGUUACCCAUUUUGAGAAUUUUGACUCCCAAACAAGACUGCAGAGUUGUGUAUGGUGGGAUUAGCUGCAGGAGCAGUGCAAGAUUCUUUGUCAAACUAUCUGGCUGGUAAAAAGACUGUUGCCAAACUUCCUUUUCAUUCCUUUGUUCACUUACUCGUUAUAAAUAAAGUAAAAUUAGAAUAUUGUUCCGUUUACUGUCUAAGCCGGUCUAACAUUUGUUUAAUUUGGGCAAUUUUUAAUGCCUGACAGGUUAUCUGUGACAAACCCAUCUGUGAGUACUAAUGUGCUUGGUUAUGGUGCUUUCAUUGGACUACAUGCAAACAUGAGAUAUCAGCUAUUGUGUGGAUUUGAUAGAGACGUCGCCAACCAUUUUGAAGUUAUUGGAGUAGCAAUGUUGUUAAGCACGGCUUUGAGGUCUCUCCCACCCUCUUUUACGUAUUUGUCAAUGAUCGACAUCUCUAUAUAUACAUUGAUACACCAAAUUACUCUUGUUUUAAUGUUUUGUUUGUUGAACUUUGACUGGGUUAUUUGUUUAUUUGUCUCAUAUGAUGUUAAUGCGGUUCCUAUAAAAGUGGAUAUAGAUCUAUCACCUCAAAGUCUGAUUUCAACUUUCCUUCACUUAAUCAACUAGCAUCCUUUCCAAGUCCAGAUACUUACCAAUAGUGAGACUUUGCUACGGAAGUACAAUUUCUCUUGUUUUACAGUUAAAUAUGUAAGAAUAGUUUCAAAUUUACAGAAUUCUGAUAUAGUUCUCUAAGGAAAUGCAGGUGGUGAAUAUGGUUCCAACUUUUAAUAGGCUUUAAUAGGCCCAUUUGUUCAGCCACAGUGAUUGCGGUCUAAAUUCUUCUUUACUGUCUGUAUGUGUUGGAGUUUGUCUAUUGUCCAACUUCUCCAAUGGAUUCCAUGCAGGGUUUUGGAUGUCUAAUUAGGAGAAAGAUCGACAGAUGACCUUUUGAAGAAGGCUUACACAACAGGCCAUCUCAGGAUGUCAUGGCUCAGCACAAAAGUGCCCAGGUGGUUACUGAGCAAGAUAGAGAGAGAAGUUUUUUCUUCUUCAGGCUACCUUCCGCAGCUGUGGCAUACAUGAACUAAGUAGCUACGCGAUCAACAGAAAGUUAGUGACGUGACUUGGGGAUCGAGGGAUUGAUACCAAAGAAUGCCAUUUUUCUGAGCUUGGGCUCCUUGGCUUCAAACAAAACAGUGUUGACUCUAUUGAAGGGGAAAUAGGGGCAACUAAAGCUCGAAGAAAGAGGAUAGUCCGGAGGAAGGUGACUGCAUAAAUUUCUUGGAGUUAAUGUAGUCAAUUGCCCAAUUUUGCUGCCUGUCGAAGAGACACAGCAUGGAAGUCCUCAUCAAACUCUGAGACACCUAAGAACUAGUAGGAGGUGGUGGUAUUCUCCAUAUUUCCUGACAAGUAUAGUUAAUUUUGUUUUAGCUAUGAAUUGUUUCCUAGAUAAUAAUAAUUGCCUUGUUCCUUUGGAGUCUUAUUUACUCUCCGUAACUCAGUUCAAUUUUGCAAAUUCUAUUUCAGAUUUCUUAUAUAGUGUGUCUUUGUUACUUUUGUGAUGCCUUUUUUAUCGCAAGUUUCCAUUUGAAGUAUCCGAUAUUCUUUACAGACUAAUUAUCUAAUGAUUAUUUUAUACAAAAAAAAUCAUAACUUUAAUCAAUUGAUCAUACUCAACUUAGGUCUUGUUUGAUGUUACUAGCUGUUGUUAAAAUAAAAAAAGCUGAAAUUUGACAAUGUGUAAUAAAUGUAAGACUUUUAAAUAAUAAUUUUUAAUACAAUUAAUAAAGAUAUUAUAAGUUUUUUUAUUAUAAUAAAAUAUGAGAUCAAAUCAAAUUAAUUUUUAAGUUACAAUAGCAAAUAUUUACCAAAACUGUUUAAUUAUGUAGCUUAAAAAGUAUAGUUCUCCAACCUCAACAUUAUAUAGGGAUUUUCCAGACUCUACCAGACUUUAGUUGUACUCACUCGAUCAUGCAAAUCCAUACUCAAUGUGCUUGGCCAUACAAGAUGUUACUCAACUUUAACAAGUCUUACUCAAACUUUGCAUGUUUGGCAUGCCGGAUGGAAUAUGAUAGUAUAUGAUGUGGUAGAAUAUUAUAGGAAUAGUAAUAACAAGAUUACAUGUAGUACUAGGUUACAUUUUACGUGAUGUGGUAUAUGAAUGGAUUAUAUUACAAAUUUUUUUGUUAUAAUAAUUAAAAAUUUGAAUUAUUUUAUUAUUGAAAAAAUGUAAUAUGUUAAAUAACAGUUAUUUUUAUUAAGUAAUUUCUUUGUAAUGAAUUAUACUUUUAAAAUAUAAUCGAAAAUUCUUAUUACUAAACUAAUAAAAAGUUAAUUAUUUGAGUUAUCUCCUAAACUACUUAGCUCACGGGAUAAAUUCACUUAGUUUAGAACGAAACAGUGGAUUUUAGAGCAUCACCAAAAGACUCUUCAAAUAAGAUUUUAUUACUUAUUUGAAGAACCACAUCAACAUUUAAAACUCCAAAAAACACUUCAAUUAAAACUUUUCAAAUAAAAAAUGAUUCUCUUUCUUCAAAUUUGGAGAGUUGCUUUCUCCCUCUUCAAUUUAUAUUUUAUUACUUUUUAUUAGAGAGAGAAAGAGAAGUGCUUUAAUUGCUAUUAACUUUUCCUCUAAAAAAAAUAAUUAUUUGAUUAAAAUAAUAUUAACUUAUUUUUAUUUGAAGAGUUUUUUGGCGAGUAGUAUAUUUUUUACCUUUCUAUUUACCACAUAAGUAAGUAAAUAAAUAGUUGAAAAGUAAAAUGUAUUAAAACUUUGAGUGGGACUACUGGCACCCCUCUAAAUACCUUUUAACACCCCUUUAGUUAUUUUAUAAUUUUAACCUUUAUUAAAAUUACAUAAUAAGACAAUCAUGAAUUUUACAAUUCUAAAUACCUCUUAACACCCCUUUCUUUUGUUUUUAUUUUAUUUUUUUAACAUUUCCGAGUUUACUCCAACUGCAAAUUAAUUUAUGAAUUAUGAUCUACAUACUAUAAAUUUAAGUAAUGCUACAAGCGACUGUAAAUAUUAAAAUAUCAGCAGAAAAAUAAAAAUAUCUUGAUUAAGAGACAAAAUAAAUAGUACCUGAAAUUGAAAUUCAGCAUUUUAAAAAUUAAGAAAGUUACUUUUUCAUCUUAUUUUCUGGUGAGGAAUUAUCGACAUCAGCAACUCAUCAUCAACAAACUUCAGAGAAGAAACUGAGACCUAUGAGGGAAAUUAAGAAAAAAGAAGGUAAUUAUGAAGCAAAGGACGAGCUUAACAAUCAUCAGAAUUAUUUUCCCACCGACAUGUUUUCCAGUGCCCCAGUUGUCUUUCUCCACAAAGGCACGCAGUCUUUCGAAGAAUUCGUGAUUCUGCAUUUUCAGAAGCUUGUGCUCAACAUCUUCAUCAGUAAACCAAAUUAGCACUUGGCCUUAUAAUUACACGCAUGGUAGCCAAGUGUUUGCAAGGUGUCAUUAUCAAUUACAAUGAGUUUAAAGUGCUGGCCAUGUGGUGUUUCAAUGAUUUGCCACAUUGAAGUCGAAGUUUCGUGGAGCAAGUUCCCUUUUCCUUUUUUUUUUUCCUUCUCUCUCUCUUUUUUUUCAAUAGAUGAUUAAUUGUCUCAAAAUCAGUCAAAAAUUAAAUGGGGUUUAUAUUAAUAAAUUUGAAUUAAGGAUAUUUUUAUCAUUAAAAGGGUGUUAAAAGAAUUUUAUAAUAUUUUUAAAUAUUUUAAUAGGGUUAAUAAAAAAAAGAGGUGUUGAGAGAUAUUUAGAGGGGUGCCAAUAGUCUCACUCAAAAACUUUUGAAGAUGCUCUUACUAACAUAAUUUUCUCCCAUUUCCAUAAUGUCCGCGUUGAGUGCAUGUAAUCCACGAGUUUGAUUGAGCAGAAUAGCCGAAAGUCUAAUGAUACCCACAUCCAACUUUGUCACAAAGGCCUGGACGCCAUUCCUUAAGCCCAUGUUGUUUCGGUUUUGAUGUUGUAUUAUCAUUUCACGGGUUUUGGUGCUCUAGGAUUUGGGGAUGGUGCUUCAACGCUGUGUUUAAUGCGUCCCUUUUGGCACUUUUUGUUAAUUUUUAUUCCAAGAGCUAUGCUAAGAAAAAGAAGCAGGGAUGAUCAAAGUGUUGUGAUUGUUUUGUGUUUUCUUUUUUAAUUUAUUUGAUUUUGGUUAAUUAUGAAUGGUGGUAAUUGGUUGAAUGCAAUUGAAGAGAUGCUUUCAAUUGCCUAAACUUUGUUUUUUCAAUUUUUGUAAUAAAUGUCAUUUGUCACCACAUUUUUUUAGUCUCUCCCUUUUAAAUUCCCUCACACAAACUUCGGAUUUGUAUUUUGUAAACUAGUACUUUUCAUUUUCGUUAAUGUGUUAGCUAUUAUUAUCUACAGUUAUGUCAUACGACACACAUGUCACAUUAGCUAAAAUUAGAUUAUGAAUUUUGGGCACAGGACCAAGUCCCACCGUUUGGUAGGAAAUAAGUGUUGGAUCAUAAACUUGAUCCAAAAUAAAUAAAUUCAAGUCCAACUCAUGGAAGAUUCCAUGAGUAGGUAUACUUGGUGAGGUUUGAAUUAUUUGUGUUAGGUGUGGUAGGUUUUAAUGGAUGGUGAGAAUUUGUGUAUUAGUUGAAUAAAUAGAUUGUUGUGAUUAGUUUGUUUCAUGUUUAAAUACCCCCCUCCCCUUUGGUUUAAAUAUAAAGUGAAGUAACAAAAUCUCUAAGGUGUAGAGAGUGAAAAAUAAGAGUUGUAAUUAGUGAGGAGUGUUAUUGAAGAAAUAAAAUAGUGUGUUUUAUUUGUUAAUUCUCCAAAAAAUGGUAUCAGAGCUAGUGUUUGAUGCUAUAUAUAGUAAUAUAGCAUAUCAAAUCGAAGAUCUCGACGAGAGGAACGUGACGCCGCAAAAAUCAUCCCGAUCCGAGACUGGACGCGCCCACACAUGCCGCCGGAAGCUUUAUGUCCUGAAGCUAAGUCGACUCACCGAGUUGAACCAAGCUGAGCCGAACCGAACCAAGCCGAGUCGAGCUGAACCGAAUCAAGUCGAACCAAGCCAACUGGAGCUGAAUCAAUCCGGACCGAACCAAGACUAUUAAGCCAACGCUGACCGUUGACCGUUGAUUGAAAGUUGACUCGAGUCCUUCCCAAGGUUUUUUGAUGUGCCAGAUCCAUCUGUGCUUUUAGAAUCUCCAAAUUCUCACUCAAUUUAUGAGUUAUGGAAAAUGGUGGUAUGAUGUCAUUUCAAGUUCUACAAUUAAAGGGAAGUAAGUUUGACCAUUGGAGUAUUAAAAUGAAGACUCUAUUGGGUGCACAGACGUAUGGGAUGUCAUGGAAAAAGGAUUUAUUGUGCUAGAAAAUGAAGCUACUUUAACUGUGGCGCAGAAGGAGAAUUUAAAAGACUUGAAGAAGAAAGAGAAUAAAGCAAAGUAUCUCAUCUUUCAAUCAUUAGAAGAAGAUGCUUUUGAAAAGAUUGCUGGUACAACCUCCUCAAAAGAAGCAUGGGAGAAACUAGAGAUCUCUUACAAAGGAGCGGAGCAAGUUAAGAAGGUUCGUCUCCAAACAUUAUGAGGAGAAUUUAAGUCCUUACACAUGAAGGCGUCGGAGUCAAUUUCUGACUACUUUACUCGGGUUGUGACCGUUUCUAAUGAAUUAAAUAGAAAUGGCGAGGAGUUAAAAGAGGUAAGGAUCAUUGAAAAGAUACUUCGAUCAGUAGACUUGAAGUUUGACCAUAUUGUUGUGACAAUUGAGGAAACAAGAGAUCUAGAGGAUAUGACGAUCGAGCAACUUCAAGAAAGGCUGCAAGCCUAUGAAGAAAAACAAAAAAAGAAGCAAGGAAUCAAAGAACAACUUCUCAAGAUGGAGGUCAAUCCAAAGAAAAGAGAAGAAAGCUCCGACAACGGAAGAAGACAUAUUUAUCUCCCAUGAAAGCUAUACAAAGGAGAUUCUAAAAAGGUUCAAGAUGAAUGAUUGCAAGCCUAUAAGCACGACAAUGGAAUGCAGAGUCAAGUUAUCCAAACAUGAUGAAGGGGAAGAUAUAGAUCCAACAUUCUUUAAAAGUUUGGUCGGAAGCCUAUGUUAUUUGACAUGCACGAGACUAGAUAUCUUUUAUGUUGUUGGACUUGUGAGCCGAUACAUGAAGAAUCCAAAGACCACCCAUUUUAAAGUUGCAAAAAGAAUCCUUUGCUACAUCAAAGCUACAACUAAUUUCGACUUGUUAUACUCAUUUUCUAAUGACUACAAGCUUGUUGGAUAUAAUGAUAGUGAUUGGGGUGGAGAUGUAGAUGAUUGAAAGAGCACAACAUGAUUUGUGUUCUUCAUGGGAGAUACUGCUUUCACAUGGAUGUCAAAGCAGCAACCAAUUGUCACGCUAUCCACUUGUGAAGCUGAAUAUGUAGCUGCCACAUCAAGUGCUUGUCAUGCAAUUUGGCUUAGAAAUUUGUUGAAGGAGUUGGGUUUGCCACAAGAAGAGCCAACCAAAAUUUAUGUUGAUAACAAAUCAGUAAUUGCCCUCUCCAAGAAUCCAGUCUUUCAUGAUCGAAGCAAACACAUAGGCACUCGCUAUCAUUUCAUAAGAGAGUGUAUUGAAGAAAAGAAGUGCAAGUCAAGUAUGUAAAAUAACAAGAUCAAGCAGUUGAUAUCUUCACUAAGCCACUCAAGCAAGAAGACUUCGUAAAAUUCAGAAGUUUGCUUGGUGUCACAAGAUCAAGUUUAAGGGGGGGUGUUGGAUCAUAAACUUGAUCCAAGAUGAAUAAAUUCAAGCUCAACUCAUGGAAGGUUCUAUGAGUAGGUAUGGUUAGUGAGGUUUGAAUUAUUUGUGUUAGGUGUGGUAGGUGUGGUUGGUGAAGUAGGUGAGUGGUAGGUUUUAAUGGAUGGUGAGGAUUUGUGUAUUAGUUGAAUAAAUGAAUGGUUGUGAUUAUUUUUGUUUCAUGUAUAAAUACCCCCUCUCCCCUUUGGUUUAAAUAUCAAGUGAAGUAACAAAAUCUCUAAGGUGUAGAGAGUGAAAAACAAGAGUUGUAAUUAGUGAGGAGUGUGGUUGAUAGAAUAGAAUAGUGUGUUUUUUUGUGUGUUUUGUUUGUUAAUUCUCCAACAAUAAGGAGCAUUAAUGAAAUAUGUUUAAUUAAGUAAUAAUUUGUUAUUUUAGAGUGAAAAAUAAGGGUAAAUUGUAUUCUACCCCAUAUUAGAUUGACAAACUUCAAUUUACCCCCUAAAAGUACAAAAACUUCAACUUAUCUCCAAAUACCAUUUUCUUCCCGUUAAAUUCAACUAUCGAAAGCAUAAAAUUAUAGUCUUACAUUCUCUUAACAGUCAACUAACGGAUAAGGUAAUUUCCAUAAAACCCAAAUGUAGGGGCGGGCAACGGUUUGGUUUAGAAGUUAGGAACCGAAUGGUUUGAAAACAAACGAACCGAUUGGUUUAUAUUUGGUUUAGUUUGAACUGACAAACCGAUUGGUUCGCUUCAACUUAAUUAAAAAUACAUUUAUUUUAAAAUAUAAAUGCUUAAAAUAUUUUUUUUUUCAUUUUUCAGUUUCCUAAUCUAAAAAUGUUUCAUAACCCUAAAUCAACAGCCAUCUCUCUCAAGUUCGGCGGAGGCACAACAAGCUCUCUCGGUCUCUCCCUCGCAAUCUCAUGGUGAUUGAAUUCUUGUGAUGUCUCCACUUUUGUUUCUUGUUCUUGUGUGAUCGAAUUCUCUCUAUACACACAUACCCCAGCCUCUUGUUCUUUGGCUUAAUGGAGUUUCGUUUCUUUUCUCUCAGUUUCUUUCCUGUUGAAUUCUCGUGAUGUUUCUAUUUUUUUCUUGUUUUUUAGACGUGUUUUCGAAAUUGGCAUAAUGCGAACCAAACCCGAACUGAAUUUCAAAAUCGAAUCAAAUUGAACCAAACUGAAAUUUUUAUGUUCGGUUUGGUUCAAUUAAAAAAUUUGGUAUGCAUUCGGUUCUCUUUCUUAAGAACCAUUUGGUUUUAGUUCAGUUCGGUUUUGGUCUAGAAAAGAACCGAACCGAACCAAAACAAACCAUAUACUGGCCACCUUGCUCAAAUGUUUCAACAAAUUUCAAUGCACACUUAAACAUGUCAAUAAAAUUCGCUUUGUACCCAAAUUGAUAAUUUUUAUUUUUUAAUUAGUUAAUUUUUAACUGCAGAAGCAUAAAAAAUUAUUUCUUUUUAAAAUAAGAAAAAUAAUUUUUUUUCUAACUUUUUUCCUUUUUUUAUUUUCUAGUUAAUUUCUUUAUCUGGUUCGGUUCAUUUUUCCCUUUUUUAUUUCUUACUGUUUUCUGCAUGUUCUCCACGCUUCAACUUCGCCAAGCAUCAUAAGGCCACAAUAGCCAUGCCAGCAAUGGUGCAGCAACGUUAACGCCACUGUUCCAAGUCUUGGCCCAUCAUCUGCUUUUCAACAAACCUUAGCUUCUUCCCAAAUUCAUCAAUGAACCCCAGAACCAGACUAAUCAUUAAAAUUAUUAACAACCAUUUGCUUGGAUCAAUGUAUGCUUGGCAUGUCUAUGGGCUUACUUGUUAUGGUCGCUGAUGGCCUUGGGCUUGCCUGGAAUGGUCGCAACGCGCAGCCAUGGGCUUGCUUGGAAUGCCCGAACCCAGCUGCCAAGGUUUUGCUAGCGUAUCCAUGGAUUUUGCUGGACAUGGCAGUGCGAGGCCAUGGGUGUUGCCGGGCAAUGGACAUGGGUUUUGCUGGGCUGAUUUGGAAUUAACAGUGGCUAUGGAGUUGUUAAGUGUGUGAAAGAUAAAAAAAAAACGAACCAAGAAGAAGAUGAACAGGGAAUAGAACGAAGAAGAUGAAGAAAGUAGAAGAGAGGGAAAAAAUAUUUUGCUUUUUUAUAAAUUUUCGGAUUUUUAUUUCAAAAUUUAUAAUUUUUGUUUAAAUUUGAGAAUCUUAAGGGUAAAAUUUUCUUUGUAACUAUGUAGAAGGAGGUUUUCAGAUGGUUUUUGGUUGGGUUAACAUGAAAUAUGCUUGUUUUAUGAAAUAUUAUUAUUGAGGUUUUGUUUUAUUUUCUAAAAGUUAGAUUAGAGGAUGAUUUUCAUUAAUGACAUCCAUAAAGUUUGAAUUAGUUAUAUUAUAGAAAAAUAGGGAUUUAAAUGAUAUAUCUUUCCAACAUAAAUAUAUCAGUAACAUAAGUUAUUCUAUAAUUAACAGGGGUAUUAUCGUAUUUUAGUGAGUCAAUAUUGGUUGAUAGUUAAAUUUAACAGAUUUUAGAGAGUAAAUUGAAGUUUUUAUUUUUAUUUUUGAGUAAAUUAAAGUAUGUCAAUCUCAUAAGGGGUUAAAAUAUAAUUUACCCAAAAAUUAGUGUUAAAAUUUUAUAGAUGAGUGUAUAUUAAGAUGUUCAAAGUAUUAGGACAUAAUGAAUAUUAUCCUCAACCUCAAGAGAAACAUAUCAAUAAAAUAUACAAAAAUAGAAUGCAUUAGUACAUGUCAAUAAGAAGACCAAUUAGAUCAUGUCAUAUUUGUUAUGUGGUUAUUUUUAAAUUAAGAAAAGGAACAAUGAUGGUUUUACAAAGUUUGAAUAUAAAAUUUAUAAUCUAAAAUUAAUGAUAACGUGUUAUUAAGCUAAUAGAGUAAGAAGUCCCNNNNNNNNNNNNNNNNNNNNNNNNNNNNNNNNNNNNNNNNNNNNNNNNNNNNNNNNNNNNNNNNNNNNNNNNNNNNNNNNNNNNNNNNNNNNNNNNNNNNUUAGCUAUAGAGUAGAGUCCCAAAUGCAUGUACAUCAUAUCUUGGUAAGAAAUUGGUUCUACCCAAAAUACUUCUUUGUAUUGAAAUCAAUGAUGAUUGCUUGUUUAAAUCAUGAAAGUUAAAAUAAUUUUGUAAAUCAUUUCAUUCUUUAAUUUACGGUAUAAAAAUAAAUUAAAAAAAUGUUAAUUUCUCCCAUACUUUUAGGACUCAAAAAAUAACAAAAAGUCUUAACAUAUUUAAUGGUUAUAUAUAAAUCAUCCGUAUGUAUUUUUCUUGAGAGAAGCUCAAUUCGAUAGGCAAUGCUCCCCAUAGUUUUCUUUUCUAAUUAGAUAAAAGAACAAAAGAAAUUGAUUACAAUAAUUCACGGCGAAGUCACCUUGGUCUACCUGAUAUAUAUUACAGAGGUAAGCUUCUUUUUAAUGCCAAACUAGAAUAACAAACUUUAAUUUACUUCUUAAAGGGUAAAAACCUCAAUUUGUCCUUAUAUUUGUUCAAAAGAUACAUUUUGUCUUCUUAAUAUAAACAAGUUAAAUUGAUGUUUCACAUCUUUUAGAAAUAAAUUAAAAAUUGUUAUUCUAAGUAGGAGGUAAAUUUCAAAUAAAACAUGUGUUCAUAUGAUAGAUGUGCAUUUUACAAUAAUUAAUAAACAAAAAGGGUAGUGAUAUUUUCACCCUGCAAUUUUUGUAAAUCCACCCCCACUCCCAAGAAAUAAUUACAAUAAAUUCACAUAAUUUUUUAAAAACUCAAUAAAGAAAAUUUUUGGAGAUUUAAACUAUUAUAUACAAGAGGAUAGGAGUAAACAUUUUUCAUGCAGUAUAAAAAGAAUGGUGACACUCCUUUUCUUUCGGUAUUUUCGCACAAAAGCACGCUUAAUAACUGAUCAAAAUUAUUUCUCCUUUUCUUUGAUCGCUGAUUCGCUUCCCCUCUCCUGGAGCUGCUGAACUCCUUUGUUGCUGAUGAAGUGAACAGGUGAGGCUUUUCAAAUGACCACAAUAUGUAUAAAGACGAACUAAUUACACUAUCAGUGGCUCAAGGUUACCUUAAUGCAGAAGAGGGCAAAGAGAUGGAGAUUCGAUUCGAUUCGAUAAUAGUAGUUUAUUUUAAUUUUUAUUCAUUUAAUUUCAUAGCAGAAAUUUUUAUUUUCAUUUUUUUGUUGAAAAUUGGUAAAAACGAACUAAAAUGAGAUAAUUACAUUAAAACAAUCUUCAAUGACUAAAGUAAUUUGAAAAAAUAAAAAUAAAAAUAAACAAGCUCAAAAUUUACCCCUAAUCCGAACAUUAUCCGAAUUCAGCCUAAUUGACCCAAAUCUAAUUGUAAUCCAAACUUGACAUGACCCGCAAAUAAUUAUAACUCGAUCAGAUCCAAACUCAACCUGAAUUUUUAAUUCAAUACGAUCCAAUCCAAAUAUUCCAACCCCAUCAAAUUGAAACUUGAUCGGGUUGAUCCGAACCCGAAUUUGCCACUUCCGGAGGAGACCAUGACCCUAAAAGCUUUGAAAUAAUCUUUGCGGUUUCUUAAUGAAAUAUUAAAAGUUAUGUGCAAAAAGACUGAUUUGACCCUAGAAUACAUGAUAUAUAAAUUUCAGACAUUAUAUUCUGUGAAAUAAAGUCAAAGUAAACUGGUCGUUUGAUUUUUUAUUAAUUAUUUUCCAUUAAGACAAAAUGACAAAUAGACUUUUUUAAAAGUUUAAUAAAGUUUGGGCCUAACUCCUUGAUUUUUAUUUUUUAAUUAUUUUUCAUUUUGUUUUUUACUUGCAACAUUAGCUUUAAUUAUCAAUCAGUCUCCAAAUCAAAAUGACUGAAACCUGUAGCUACAAGCAAAAUUCUCAAAUUUUGAAAUUUCUAACGACUACUUAAUAGCUAUAAAUAGAAAAAUCAUCUAAAAUUAAUCCUCCUUCAGAGGCAGAUUAAAUUCUUAGUAAUUUCAUAUAAUUUCAUUUCAUCAGAACAAUUUUUCAAAAGCAAUUUUAUAAAUGGUUGUCGAAAGCUUUAUCCCUUAAUCAUAUUUCACGUAUUUUCUUUGUAAUAUGAGGCGCGUCCAUAGACCAUAGUAUGAUAUUUAUUGUAAUUAAAAUCAUUAUGGAACUGAUUUUAUUCUUGUUUCUCAAACAAAGUAUCUAACUGCAGAUGUAAUAAAUUACUAAUUGCCAUUAUUUGAGUCGCGCUCUUUGAAUUCGAUCUUGGAGUUUCAAAUGACCAAAUGAAUUAGUAAGAUAAUGGCUUUUCGUUCCGAGAGCUAUGCUAAGAAAAAGCAGGGAUGAUCAGAACAAAUAGUGUGUUGUGAUUGUUUUGUGUGUGUGUGUGUGUGUUUUUUUUUUAAGUUUUAUUUUGUUUAAUUAAGAAGGGUUAUGAUCUGUUCAUUGCAAUUGACAGAGAUGUUUUCAGUUGCCUAGACUUCGUAUUUUCAGUUUUAGUAAUACAUGUCGUUUUUCACCACAUUUGUUUAGUCUCUCCCUUUUAAAUCCCCUCACACACAAAAAAUUAGGAUUUGUAUUUUGUAAACUAAUAUUUUUCAUUUUGUUAAUGUAUUAAUUAUUAUUAUCUACAUUUAUGUGAUAGGGCACAUGCCACAUAAACUAAAAUUAAGUUAUAAAAUUUUGCAGCCCCUGAGCACUCAAUGUUUGUAGGCACAAGUUCAAGUCCCACCAUUUGUUAGGAUUUAAAUAAAGAACAUUAUAACCAUGCGUCCAAGAACUUAAAGUUAGCUUAAGUGCAUGGAUUCGAGUCCUAGUUAUUGUUGAAAUUCGAUUUCCUUUCUAAUUAAAUUAAGUAAGGGUAAAAUUAUCUCUCAAUUAAUAAAGACAGAGUAGAUAUCUCUCUUGAUUUUCCUCCCAAUUAAAUUAGUUAGAAGUAAAAUUAUCUCUCGAUUAGUAAGAGUAGAAUAAAUAUCUCUUUAGUAUUAUGCAAGGGUAGAAUUUUGGGUUGUACCAUGUUAGAAUUAUCAAGGAUAGUUUUGAUAGAAUUCUAAUUGUAAUAUAUAAGUGUAUAAAAAAAAUGAACAUUAAUGAAAGAUGUUUAGGUAAGGACUAUCUUGGAAUAGAAUUUUGAUUGUAAUAUAUCAAUAUAUAAAAAGAAAUUUAUGAAAAAUGUUUAACAAGGACUGUUUUGAUAUUUUAAUGAGUAGUAAAAAUUAAUGUUAAAAUUUGAUAGAACUUAUAUAAAUAAUCCUAGCUCUAAUAAAAUUUUGCUACAUAAUUAGUUUAUCCCUUAAAGAAACAUAUCAAAAAAAUAUACAAAAACACAAUGCAUGAGUACAUGUCAAUCACAAAUGAAAGCAAUUAAGAUAAAGAAUAUGAUUUAUUUUAUUUUAUUUUAGUUAUUUUUUUGUUUCUUUUGAAACAAGACCAAUUAGAUCAUGCAAGAAGUAAUUUUUUUUAAAAAAAUAAAAAAAGGACAAAUGAUGAAACCCACGUCUAAAGAUGCCGUUGUCGCGGAGGCCUAGAUCUCACUACACCCCAUCCCCUUCUACCAUAUUUUAUAAUUGAAGAGGUCAUUAUUGAAUUGAAAAAUUAUGAUUCAAAAAUCCAAAAGUAGAAAAAGAAAAGCAAUUGUUGGAAACACACUCGGAGUUUUAAAUUGACAUGAGAAAAGAAUAUAUUCAUCAACCUCAUACGUUAAAGAUGCGACGAGUUUAAGAAUAUAUUCCUAACGUGUGGGAAUUUAAAGAUGUUACUACAAAACAUGUGUUCGUCGGUGGAGUAGAAUCAGGGAAAUUAAAGAUGCUACUACAACCACUAACGUGUGGGUGGAGAUAAGCAUAACUUUUUUCAUCAAAUGCCAAAUCCCCCCAGGUGGAGAGUGGGGACUCCUUCGCAUAAAUGUUGAUAAAAUUUUGACUAUGAUGUUAUUAGAAAUUAGGGAAAACUUAUGGUGCAACUGUGAUAUCGUGUCAUAGUUGUAUCCAGCCGUUGGAUGUCAAUGGACUCUACCCAUACAAGUGUAUCCAACGGCUGGAUGUAAUUAUGGCACGGUACCACAGUUGCAUCGUAGCCGGACCCUAAAAAUUAAGAUAUUCUCUCUCUACGUAUGUCUGCACGAAAUAAUAUGCAAAUAUAGUAUUUUAGUUUAUUAUUAAUAGUUUUACAAUAAUAAAAAUCAUUUUGAUAGACAGGAAAAUGUCAUAUUCGCAUUUUAUUUUGUACGGACGUCUGCGAGAAAGAACAUAUAUAUAUAUAUAUAGAGGAACGUGUAUUUAAGAUUUAGCUAGUGUGAAGUUGGGAAAUUUUUUUUUUUGAACCCAAGCUAAAAUUAUUUCAAUAAAUUUUGAUCAUGGAGACUAACAAGAUUUUUUUAGUUAUAUUUAUUAAUUUUUUAGGGACUAAUAAAUUUUGAUCAUGGAGACUAAUAAGAUUUUUUAGUUAUAUUUAUUAAUUUUUUAGGGACUAACAUGAAUAUUAAUAAUUUUAUUGAGAUUAUUAAAAAAACAAUGUGCUAUUUUACAUCUAUGACUUUUCCAAUCUUUUUUUCUUUCGUUAUUUAUUCCUUUGUGAAUUUUAGUUAAUGCUUGAUAUUAUUUUUUUGCUCAUUUUUUAAAGUAGUAAUUAAAUCUGAACCCUUACAGUAGAAGAUUAUGAAAAAGUAAAGACACAAAAAUCAUAAAAAUCAUUAGUAGGUCCAAAUUUGUGCUAUUUUCAUACAUAACUUGAGAAUAUUUAUAAUUACGCAUCAGAACUAGUGGAGUAGAAUCAGGGAAAUUAAACAUUCUACAAUCAUUGACGUGUGGGGUGGGGAUAAGCAUAAACAUUUUCUAUGCAGUAUAAAAGAAUGCAAUAACUCCUUUCUUUCAUAUCUUCGCAACAAAAGCACAUCUAAUAACUCUUCAGAAUUCUCGUCUUCUUUGUCAGAAUGGUUGAUGCGAUCGUUUCCUCUCUCCUGGAGCAGCUGAUCUCUGUUGCGGCUGAUGAAGUGAAACAACAGGUGAGGCUUGUGACUGGUGUCCGAGAAGAAGUGAAAAAGCUUACCAGCAAUCUUCAAGCCAUUCAACUUGUGCUGGAAGAUGCAGAGAAAAGGCAAAUGCAGGACGACAAAGCUGUUACUUUUUGGCUGGAUCAGCUCAAAGGCGCAUCUUACGACAUGGAAGAUGUGUUGGAGGAGUGGACCACUGCAAGGCUCAAAUUGCAGAUUGAGGGCCUUGACGAUGACAAUACUCUUGCUCUUCCUGCUCAUAAGAAGAAGGUAUGUUCCUUCUUUCCUUCUGCCUCAAACUGCUUCGGUAGUUUCAAAAAACUCAGUCUUCGUCAUGACAUUGCAGUCAAGAUUAGAGAGAUCAAUAAAACGCUGGAUGAUAUUACCUCUCAAAAAGAUAGGUUUAAAUUUGCUGAGAAUGUGAGUAACAAUGUCAAGAAGCCAGAGCGAGUGGGAACCACCUCCUUGGUUGAUGAGGGAGAGGUUUGCGGUAGAGUUGAUGAGAAAAAUGAGCUCUGCAAGUUGUUGUGCGAAAGUAGUGAACAACAACAAGGCUUUCAUGUCAUUUCACUAGUUGNNNNNNNNNNNNNNNNNNNNNNNNNNNNNNNNNNNNNNNNNNNNNNNNNNNNNNNNNNNNNNNNNNNNNNNNNNNNNNNNNNNNNNNNNNNNNNNNNNNNNNNNNNNNNNNNNNNNNNNNNNNNNNNNNNNNNNNNNNNNNNNNNNNNNNNNNNNNNNNNNNNNNNNNNNNNNNNNNNNNNNNNNNNNNNNNNNNNNNNNNNNNNNNNNNNNNNNNNNNNNNNNNNNNNNNNNNNNNNNNNNNNNNNNNNNNNNNNNNNNNNNNNNNNNNNNNNNNNNNNNNNNNNNNNNNNNNNNNNNNNNNNNNNNNNNNNNNNNNNNNNNNNNNNNNNNNNNNNNNNNNNNNNNNNNNNNNNNNNNNNNNNNNNNNNNNNNNNNNNNNNNNNNNNNNNNNNNNNNNNNNNNNNNNNNNNNNNNNNNNNNNNNNNNNNNNNNNNNNNNNNNNNNNNNNNNNNNNNNNNNNNNNNNNNNNNNNNNNNNNNNNNNNNNNNNNNNNNNNNNNNNNNNNNNNNNNNNNNNNNNNNNNNNNNNNNNNNNNNNNNNNNNNNNNNNNNNNNNNNNNNNNNNNNNNNNNNNNNNNNNNNNNNNNNNNNNNNNNNNNNNNNNNNNNNNNNNNNNNNNNNNNNNNNNNNNNNNNNNNNNNNNNNNNNNNNNNNNNNNNNNNNNNNNNNNNNNNNNNNNNNNNNNNNNNNNNNNNNNNNNNNNNNNNNNNNNNNNNNNNNNNNNNNNNNNNNNNNNNNNNNNNNNNNNNNNNNNNNNNNNNNNNNNNNNNNNNNNNNNNNNNNNNNNNNNNNNNNNNNNNNNNNNNNNNNNNNNNNNNNNNNNNNNNNNNNNNNNNNNNNNNNNNNNNNNNNNNNNNNNNNNNNNNNNNNNNNNNNNNNNNNNNNNNNNNNNNNNNNNNNNNNNNNNNNNNNNNNNNNNNNUAGAAAAGAAUGUUUGUGGGUAGAAAUUAAUGGUACCAAAGAAUCAGUCAUAAACUCUUUUGGUGACAAAGUCCAUCACUUAGGGUUAAAGUUUGAAGAAGGCGCUUCAUUUCCUAUGUCCAUUCAUGGACUUAAUAGAUUGCGUACCCUCUUAAUUUAUGACCAAAGUCCUUACAAUCCGUCUCUUAGUAGUAGCAUCCUUCCGGAGUUAUUUAAUAAAUUGGCGUGUUUAAGGGCAUUAGUUAUAAGGCAAUCGUACUUAUUAUUUUUGUAUCCUGAGGCAAAUAGGAUUAGAGAAAUUCCAGAAAAUGUCAGAAAAUUGAUACAUUUAAAAUAUCUUAAUUUGUCUGAAUUACACAUAGAGAGACUGCCUGAGACUUUGUGUGAAUUAUAUAAUUUACAAAAGCUAGAUAUUAGGCGGUGCCCAAAUCUUAGGGAAUUACCUGCGGGGAUUGGGAAGUUAAUGAACAUGAGGAGUUUACUGAAUGCUGAAACUCGUUCGUUGAAGUACAUGCCAAUAGGGAUUUCCAAAUUAACCAGUCUUCGAACAUUAGAAAAGUUUGUUGUGGGUGGAGGUGUUGAUGGUGGCAGCACGUGUAGGCUUGAAUCUCUGAAAAAUCUUCAACUCCUUCGUGAAUGUAGAGUAAAAGGGCUGAGUAAUGUAUCGCAUGUAGAUGAGGCUGAGAGGUUACAACUUUACAAUAAGAAAAACCUCCUUCGUUUGGGUCUUCAGUUUGGUAGAGUCGUAGAUGGGGAAGGCGAAGAAGGGAGGAGGAAGAAUGAGAAAGAUGAACAACUUCUUGAAGCCUUACAACCGCCUUUGAAUGUAGAGGAAUUAGAGAUUGAAUCCUACCGAGGCAACAUUUUUCCCAAAUGGUUGAAUUCACUAACCAAUCUAAGGAAUUUAUAUCUUUCCUCGUGUUUUAACUGUGAGCAUUUGCCUCCUUUGGGAAAAUUACCUCUGGAAAAACUCGAAAUCAUCCACUUGAAAAGUGUAAAAAGAGUGGGUAAUGAGUUUUUGGGAAUAAAAGAAAGCAGUGAGGAUGAGCCGUCUUCAUCUUCAUCAUCAUCAUCAGUUACUGCCUUCACCAAAUUGAAAUCUCUCAAUAUUUGGGACAUGGAAGAAUUGGAAGAGUGGAAUUACAGGAUUACGAGGAAGGAAAACAUCUCCAUCAUGCCCCGUCUUUCUUCCUUAACAGUUGGUUCUUGCAACAAAUUAAAGGCGCUGCCGGAUUACCUUCUUCAAACGACGGCACUACAGAAACUGAAUAUUAAUUGUUGUGAAAAUUUGGAAGAACUGCCCAUUCUAGAAGAUCACAGGACAACAAGUGUAGUCUGUUCCUUGAUGAUUUUGGAUUGCCCCAAAAUAAAGGUGCUGCCGGAUUACCUCCUUCGAACGACGACACUGCAGGAAUUGACAAUUGUGGGAUGUCCUCUUCUACAAGAACAUUAUAGAGAAGACUGGCAUAAGAUAUCUCACAUUCCCCACAUCAUGGUGCCGGUAAUUUCUCCUCCUCCGAUUUACUUCGUUGUUGCUUGCAAUAAAAUGAAUAAAAAUAAUUAUAUCUUUAAUUCUAUAUAGAAUCAAUCAUGGUAUAAAUAUGUAAAACUUCCUAGUUAUCAAAUCUGUUAAACUUGUUUCCUAAAGAUUAAAUAAAAAAAAAAACAAGUGUAGUCUGUUUAAAUUCGAUAAUUACUUUUAAAAAAAUAUGUGCUCUUUUGUAAAAUUUCAUGCAAUCUCAUAGAAAAUCCCAAUGCAAUUUAGUUUUUAAUGUACAAAAAUUUGUUAUGUGUAACUUCCUGAGAAACAAAAUCUCUGUGAUACAUUUGCAGUAAUGUUGAAAACUAAAUUAUCAAUUUUGCCUUGCAUACUGAUAAUCGUAUUUUUUUAUAUAUAAUUUAUGUGACAAUAAUUCGUUAAAGUAAUUGUGUAAUUGUUUUUAGUAGUACAUUAGCCCACUUUGUUUUAUUUCAUACGAGUUUAAUUAUGUUCAUCAGGGACUCGAGGAAAUGUCAGAACUACACUAGCAAUUCACAUCGUCAUCAUCGUCAUCAUCGGUUACUGCCUUCCCCAAGUUGAAAGCACUCAAAAUUAAUUAUUUGGAUGAACUGGAAGAGUGGAAUUACAGGAUUAGGAGGAAGGAAAACAUCUCCAUCAUGCCACGUCUUUCUUCCUUGUGGAUUCGGUAUUGCCCCAAACUAAAGGUGCUGCCGGAUUACCUUCUUCAAUUGACGACACUGCAGAAAUUAAGGAUUGAGCUAUGUCCUCUUCUGGAAAACCGUUAUAGGGAGGCGAAAGGAGAAGAUUGGCAUAAGAUAUCUCACAUUCCCCACAUCGAGAUAUCACCCGACGGUAAUUUCUUCUCCUCCUCUGAUUUACUCUGUUGUUGCUUGCAAUGAAAUUAAUAAAAAUAAUUAUAUUAUGAAUUAAAAUUCUGUAUAUUGCCAAUGUGUGACAGGAAUAUAUUAUAUAUUUCUAAUAUUUUGAUUUGCAUAUUGAAUUUAACUAUUUACUUCAGCCAUUAAUUUGCCAAUAAUUUAAUGGGUCACUCUAUGAUGCUGUUAUAAAAAUUAUAAAACCAAUCAUGGUAUAAAUAUGUACGGUUUGAUUUAAUCAAUAGUUCAUAAAUUUAAAAGUUAGUUAGGAUAAUAUUUUAAUUUUAUUUAUUUAAAAUUUAAACUUCUUAGUUAUCAAAUCUGUUAAACUAAUUUUCUAAAGAUUAAAUUAUUAAAAAAACUGUAAUCUGUUGAAAUUCCUAUAUUUUCUUUUAAAAAAUAAGUAGACUUUUAUAAAAUUUCAUACAACAUCAUGGAAAAUCCUAAUGUAAUUUAUUUUUUAAUGUACCAAAAUUUAUCAUGUGUAACUUCCUGAGAGACAAAAUCUCUGUGAUACAUUUGCGGUAACGUUGAAAACUAAAUUAUCAAUUUUAUCUUGUAUAAUGAUAAUCGUAUUUUUUUGUAUAUAAUUUAUGUGACAUUAAUUCUUUAAAGUAAUUGUGUAAUUUUUUUAGUAGUACAUGAGCCCACUUUGUUUUAUUUCAUACGAGUUUAAUUAUGUUCACCAGGGAUUCGAGGAAAUGUCCGGUCCAAUCUAAUUUCGUUUUAAUGAUGCAGGCAGGAGAGUAUGCUAAGAAAAUGAAAAGUUUAGCCAAAGGAUUGCUAAAAUGUUCUACAGGUAAUUCACUUGAUUUAUUUUAUAGAAUUUCAUUUCCAUCUUCUUCUAUUGAUAUCUUGUUGUGAAUAUACAAGAACAAAGAAGUAAAGAUAUAUCAAAAUUUACUAUUACGAUGAUGCUAAGGCAAGCUCAAGCUCAAGCAUUGCAUUUUAUAUUUUAUUUAGUUAAUAUAAUUUUCAUUUCCACCUGCAUUUCAUUUUUUGGUUGACUUUGAAGACUCUAUGGAGAACAUUGGGGUAACCAAGGAUUAUCACUGUGGUUAUUGUGCAACGUUUGGUUGCUGGACUUUGAAGAAGGAAGUGAUGGCCGGGUCUGCUCUGUUUCAAUUGAGGAUGGGUAGCUGCCUGAAAGACAUGAUGAUUAUUAUUGCGUGAUGUUAAGGUGCUGAGAUCAUCAUUGCUAUCUUGUUUCAUUCUUGGAAUCAUUUAUCCUGUAUAAACAUUUGUUUUAACAAAUGUUUCAAUGCCUGCUGUAGUAACAAUUUCAUAUCUUGCAUCUCUCGGGUGCAUCGUGAUCACGGGUUUGAGAAAGCAUUUGUGGUAAAGCUUCAAAGCUUGUACAAUGGCUGUGAAAAGGCACAUUCAAUUCGGUACGUUUGGUGCGGUCUCCUAAUGCUACUACCAUAUUUUGUAUAGCAAUUAAAAUUCAGGUAUACAAUCUUAAUAUGCAAUAAAUCAUUGAGUACAAAGUUAUCUAUUAAUUAUAUGGUAACUGAAAUUUUCAUUAUAAUUUUAAUUACAUAUUAAUAUUAAAAUUUUUUGUAACCCUCUUUUACUUUGCUUGUACAGAGUACCUGUUUUGGCUGAUAUGUCUAAUUCGUAGAAAUUCAUUUCCAUCGGUUUCCAUUGGUUUUAGCACAAACAGAAACAGAAAUCUGGGAAAAAGUUUUACUUCUUCUGGUAUUAUGCCUUUAUUUAUUCAUUCAUCAUAUUUGUUCGAAUUCAUGCUCUCAUUCAGAGAGCAGCCUUUUCCAGGCUACUUUGUAGCCAAAUUUUCAUGCCAUCGAUGCAUGAUUGUCAUUUAGAUUUUCCAAAUAAUUGUUAGAUUGAAGAAGAAUAAGAAGAUAUUGUUAAAAGGGUAUUUAAUUAGCACCCUCUGAAUUUAGUUGCCAAUAAUGCAUUGAAAUGGUUGGGGAAAGUUAUUGUCUCAAUUAAAUUACAGGUGACAAGAUGCUGCUCCAAUUUUGCAAGCAUCUCGUGUUUCGAGAUUUUGCCCACAUGAGAUGCUAUGAUUUUUGACAUCAGGGUAACAAAGGUCAAAUUUUAGCAUCAAUAGAUAUCAUCUUCUUUACUGUUCUGCUCGAAAUAUUAAACUUUAGGCAAGUUGUUUUUGUUUGUGUGAGUUAUCAGGUUAAGGAUACUAAGCAGCUUAUUAAGGCAAAUGUCAGAAUGAAGAUUUUUCACCGCACCUGGUAUGAAUGAUGGCGAGGAAGAUUAAUUGUUCACAAGCCAAUUUGAUCAGUGUUAGAUUCUUUUGCCUCCCUUCGAGAGAUAUCAUCAUCAAAUUUGAGAAGAGAGUUUUGUUUUGACAUUUCACUGUAGUGAAUUUUGGGAGCUUGAACCCACUUCAGUGAAAUAUUAGGGAAUACUGGGGAUAUGGGUUAUGAGUGAUCGUUAUCCUUCAAAUAUUUGUAAGCUCUCACUUGUUAGUAAAAUCAUCUUCGUAUAUUGACUUUGUUUCUUUGUUGUCAGGCCGAGUGUGAUCUUCAAGGUUUGAGAAAGUCUUCGCAGUAAAAUUUCCACCACGUGCAAUUGCUGUGAAGGGGCAUAUACAUUUGAGUAAUUCAGUUUCAGAUUUUCAAGGCGCGUUUGUUUAAUUAGUUUCGAUUAUAAUAUUUAGUCACUCAUUCUGAAUCUUUUCUAAUUUUCAAGUUCUUUAGGGCCGCCGACAGUUUUUUAAGUCUACAUGUGGUUGCAAAAAGAUUGAUGGUCAUCAAAUUAUCUUGAGCCUUGAGGCAUUGCGUUCGAGCACAAAAGGAAACAGAACUAAGGGAAAUGAAGACAGUAGGAGAUGCUCUGAAUAUAACAAAAGUAUAUUUCUACUUCUUGUGGUUAUUUUAAUUUUGUUUCUCCUGUCAUCAUAUUUAAUUAAUUCGUUUGAAUUCACACUCUCACACAUUAUUUAAAACCAUCUGCAGGUGGUUUGCAAGCUAGCUAAGUUAAUCCAAAAACAAUACUCUAGACAAAGAUGAGCAAAUUGAAGGCGACAAAUGCAAAUUGGAUUUCCAUGAAUAAUUGUUAGGCUGGUGGAGAUAUUCUUAAAAGGGCAUUAAGCUAUCUUAUGGAAUUGGAAAGUUAUUAUUGCUUGAAAGCAAGCAGCAUCUUCGUUGCGAAGGCUUUCCCCACCUGAUAAAAUGCUGAGAUUGUUACCGGCCCCUUAAUUAUUUAUUAACUCAGGUAUUUAUUAUCAAUACAUCAUCUUAUUCACCAUUUUGGCUAUAUAUAAAGAUUAAAAUUUCUAACAGUUGUUUCGGAUUCUUGUGUACUCAGGUUAAUAGGGCAAAUAUCAGAAUGAAGAUUGCUCAGUGCAACCGAUAGAGCAAGGAUGAUAGUUGUGAGAAAGAUUGUUGGCAAGACAAAUAGAGUCCUCCAUUUGGAGAAAUAUCAUCCUCAAAUUUGAAUUGUCGAGCAUGUGAGGUGAAGCUAAAGCCUUAAUAAUGAGACCUUCCUGUGGAAGUUUCAUUUGAAUGAAUUGAACGUUCUUAGUGAGUGAGAAAUUAAGUAUAUAUCAGCGAUUUUGGUCGUCUGUGAAUGUUUCCCUUCAAUAUUAAUACACUGGCAUUUCUUAGUAAAUUCGCUUCACGUCACUUCCUCCUUGUUGGUGGGACUAGUAAACAAAUGUCAUUUCUUAGUACAUUUUGAGAAUUUUGAUUCCCAAAUAAGCCUGCAGAACGGUGUAUGGUGGGAUUAGCUGCAGGAUUCUUUGCCAAAAUUCCUUUUUAUUCCUUUGUUCACUUAUUCGUUAUAAAUAAAGUAAAAUUAGAAUAUUGUUCCGUUUACUGUCUAAGCUGGUCUAACAUUUGUUUAAUUUGGGCAAUUUUUAAUGCCUAACAGGUUAUCUGUGACAAACCCAUCGGUCACUAACAAUUUUGAAGUUAUUGGAGUAGCACGGCUUUGAGGUCUCUCCCUCCCUCUUUUACGUAUUUGUCUAUCGAUCGACAUGUCUAUAUAUACAUUGAUAGACCAACUUACUCUUGUUUUAAUGUUUUGUUUGUUAAACUUGACUGGGGAAUGUUUAUUUGUCUCAUAUGAUGUCAAUGUGGUUCCAAUUGAAGUGUAUAGAUCUGUCACCUCAAAGUCUGAUUUCAAUUUUCCUUUACUUCAUCAACUAGCAUCCUUUCCAAGUCCAGAUACUUACCAAUAGUGAGACUUUGCUACGGAAGUACAAUUUCUCUUGUUUUACAGUUAAUUAUGUAAGAAUAGUUUUAAAUUUACAGAAUUUUGAAAUAGCUCUCUUAAGGAAAUGCGAGUGGUGAAUAUGGUUCCAACUUUUAAUAGGCUUAAUAGGCCCAUUUGUUAAGCCACAGUGAUUGCGGUCUAAAUUCUUCUUUACUGUCUAUAUGUGUUGGAGUUUGUCUAUUGUCCAACUUCUCAAAUCGAUUCCAUGCAGGGUUUUGAAUGUCUAAUUAGGAGAAAGAUUAACGGAUGACCUUUUGAAGAAGGCUUACACAACAGGCCAUCUCAGGAUGUCAUGGCUCAGCUCAAAAGUCCCCAGGUGGUUAAUGACAAUGUGCCAUUGUUUCUGGGCUUGGUCUCCUUGGCAUCAAACAAGAUAAUGUUGACUCUAUUAAAGGGGAAAUAAGGGCGACUAAAGCGCGAAGAAAGAGGAUAGUCCGGAGGAAGGUGACUGCAUAAAUUUGUUGGAGUUAAUGUAGUCAAUUGCCUAAUUUUGCUGCCUGUCGAAGAGACACAUCAUGGAAGUCCUCAUCAAACUCUGAGACACCUAAGAAAUAGUAUGAGGUGGUGGUAUUCCCCUGGUGUUAAUUUCCUGGCAAGUGUGGUUCACAGAUAGAGGGAUUCUUUUCUUGAUGUCUAAAUACCGUAUGUGAUACAACGUCGUAUAUUCUAAUUUUCCUUGAGUUAAAUUCUAGUCAGUUAGGAAAGUUAAUUUUGUUUUCGCUAUGGAUUGUUUCCUAGAUAAAAAUAGUUUCCAUGUUUCUUUGGGGUCUUAUUAACUCUCUGUAACCCAGUUCAAGUUUGCAAAUUCUAUUUCAGAUUUCUCAUAUAGUGUGCCUUUGUCACUUCUGUGAUACACUUUUGAUCACAAGUUUCCAUUUGAAGUAACCAAUAUUCUUUAUAGACUAAUUAUCUAAGGAUUAUUUUAUACAAAAAAUCAAAACUUUAAUUAAUUGAUCAUACUUAACUUGGCUUUUGUUUGAUAUUACUAGCUGUUGUGAGAACCAAAAAAAUAGCAGAAAGUUGACAAUGUGCAGUAAAUGUAUGACUUUUAAAUAAUAAUUUAAUAAAAUUAAUAAAGAUAUUAUAAAUUUUUUAAUAAUAAAGUAUGAGAUCAAAUCAAAUUAAUUUUUAAGUCAAAAUUGUUUAAUUAUGUAGUUUAAAAGUAUAGUAUCCAACCUCAACACAAUAGAGAGAUUUCUAUUUACCAAACUCUACCCAACUUUGGUUGUACUGACUCGAUCAUGCAAGUCCAUACUCGACGCGUUGACCAUACAAGAUGUUACUCAACUUUAACAAAUCUUACUCAAACUUUGCACGUUUAGCAUGCCGAAUGGAAUAUGAUAGUAGAUGAUGUGAUAGAUAUUAUAGGAAUAGUCGUAACAAAAUUAUAUUUAGUACUUUUUUAUAUUUUAUGUGAUGAACAGAUGUAGUAUAUGAAUGGAUUAUAUUACAAAUUUUAGUGUUAUCAUAAUUAAAAAAUUGAAUUAUUUUUUAUUAUUGAAAAACUGUAAUAUGUUAAAUAACAGUUAUUUUUAUUAAUUUUUUUUAAUGAAUUAUACUUUUAAAUUAUAAUCGAAAAUUCUUAUUACUGAACUAAUAAAAAAUUAAUUAGCUCAAGAGAUAAAUUCACUUAGUGUAGAACGAAAUGGUGUGUUAUUUUUAUGUGGGAUCCACAUCCUUUCCACAUCAACCUCAACAUCCAAACAUGAAAUUGGACUAAAAAUAGUUCUUUCCCAUGUAUUUACGUAACCUCCUCCCACUAAACGCAAAUAUUUAUUCUUGAUUUUACUAACAUAAUUUUCUCCCAUUUCCAUAUUGUCCGCGUUGAGUGCAUGUAAUCCACAAGUUUAAUUAAUUUUUUUUUUUUUGAGAGAGGUAUGUUAAAAUGAAUAUAUCACAUUUUUUUCUUUUUUCCUUUUUUUUGCGUGAGUGAUGGCUUCGUUGAAUGACAGUUGGCUGAUAAUAAGUUAUCUUUUAAUUUUGUUUUUGAUUUAAUAGAAACUAUUAAUUUUUGUAGUUUCGGUAGAUGAAAUUUCGAAUCAAAUAUUAAUAUUGUUAAAGUACGCAACCCAAUAUUUACUUAAAUUACAAAAAAGAUUAAUUGCUUUGCAUAAAAAAGAAGUGAUCACUUGAUUUAACUUCCUUUACUAAAUUUACGAUUUAAAAUCCAAAAUAAAAAAAAGAGUUUAUUAUUGAUUAUCUUUUUCCCAAAUUUAAGCUAAGACAGUAAUAUGUCCAAAAUACCCUCCACGUUAUCCUAAAACUUUAUGAAUUCCCCCGUUCCUCUCAACAUCAUCUCUUCCAAAUCUUUCUUCCCCAAAAAACCAGCCAUGGCUUCAUAUUUAGUUACCUCAACACUCCAAUAUUGGCUUGUAAACAGCAGCGGUUCAACCUCUAGGCAACUUAGGUGGUUGCAUAGGACUCCGCUUUAUAUGAAAGCCCUACAAGAUGAUUAUUUUGUAUAUAAAAGAGGAAAAUGAAUUUAAAAGUCAUUAUUAUUCAUUUAAUUUAUUAUUAUUUUGUAAUUAUCUUUUUCUAAAUAAACUAUCAAAUUCUUAUCAAGUUUAUUUAAUGUAGUACUUAAUUGUUUUAAUUUCUACAAAACCAAUAAAUUAAUAGUUUCAAUCCUAAAAAUUCUCUAUUUCAUUGUUAGAAUUAAUAAGUUAUAUUUCAAAAGUUUUAUAUUUAUUUUAAACCUCUAUAAAAACCCCACAUUUUAUUACUUAUCCAUUAAAUUUUUCGUUCAACAAUCAAGACAUCUUGGUGUUUGAGAGAAAGAAAGAGAGAGGGAAAAAAAUCUUGCUUCCUCUACUUUCUACUCUAGAAGAAAAAGAAAAAAUCAAAUAUUUUUCUCUAUUUUCUAUGACUAUUGGUUGCUACUCAAAUUUUCAAACAACAGCCUUAAUAUAAACAUAAGUUAAUUUAUGAUUUCAUCUCAAAUUUCUGAUUUUAUCUUUUUAUUAUUCUCUUAAUUAAUUGUGUUGUUAUUUGUUCUUAUUUCUUUUUAUAUAUUCUUUUCUUCAUCUACUUUUUUUGUGCUUGUUUUAUCUAUUUUGAAAUAAAACUAUAUCAAAAAAUUUUAGACAAUAGGAGAAUAAAAAAAUUAGAUUAAUUUAAAAAAAUAGUAAAAAAGAUAUAAUUUAACUUAAAAAAAAGUGAAAAUGUUAUAAUUGAAUUAAAAUUUUAUGACUUAACAACAAUAGAAUAAAUUUGUAUUUAAUAAUUUUAUAUUUUAAAGUAUUUAAAGAAUUAAUUUUUAAUAAAUAAUAUUAAUAUAUAUAUAUAUAUAUAUAUAUAUAUAUAUAAGUUACUUAUCUCUCCAUCCGCACUUACCUCUCCCUCACAUUCAUCCUCAACCACACAUCAACAUCAACAUCAACAUCACCUCUCAUUGGACCCCACAUCCUCAAGCCCAUCACAGCCGUCCAUAACCUCACCCUCCUCCUCCUCUCCCUCAUCAUGGCCGUUGUUUGCCCUCUCUCCAUCAUCCUCCAUUUACCGCACCUCCGUUACACCCUCUGUUUCCUCCUUACCAUUUCUCCGUCUGGCACGGCCUAAUUCCGACGGAAUCAACGACGGUCGUGAUGGGUUUUGGCUGCGACUAUUCGCGCUUCAAACGGCGGCGUUUCGGUUGGUUUUUGGCGACAGUGACGGUGGGAAAGUGAUGGCUGGCUCAGGAGCUUUCGUUGCUACCAUCCAUGGCCGGUGAGGUGGCCGAAAAUCGGAUAUAUGUCUGCGUCGGGUUCGCAGUUUUGGGUCGGGUUUUCCGGGUCAGUUUGACAGCUUCCUCUAUCCCUCUCCCCCAUAAAACAUUACCCAGCUUCCUCUUAUUAUUAUUUUUUUUUUCACAUACGUUACAGAACAUUAAUGAGAGAUGUUUAGUAGUAAGGACUAUUUUGAUAUUUCGAUGAGUAGUAAAAACUAAUGUUAAAAUUUUAUAGACGAAUGUAGAGUAAGAUGCUCAAAGUACUAGAACAUAUAUAAAUAAUCCCAGCUCUUAUAAAAUUUUGCCACAUAAUGAGUUUUAUCCCUUAAGCAAAACAUAUCGAUAAAGUAUACAAAAGCACAAUGCAUGAAUGAUGGUCUUACAAAGUUCGAAUAUAAAGUUUAUAAUCUAAAAUUAAUGAUGUGACAAUUAACCUAAUGGAGUAAGAAGGCCCAAAUAGAUUAUAUUUUGCUAAAGAAGUAAAUUCUACCAAGAAUACCUCUUUCUAUUGAAUUUAAAUGAUGAUUAUUUGUUUAUAUCAUAAAAACUAAAAUAACUGUGUGAGUAAUUUGAUUCUUUUACAGUAUAAAAAUAAAUUCAGAAAAUGUUAGGGCAUGUUCUGUGUUUUAUUUUUAAAUUUAUAUUAUGAGAAUGAAAAUGGUGUUUUCAAGUUGAUAAAUUUUCAAUUGAAAUAUGUGUUUGUUAUUAUUUCAUUUAUCCUAUAUUUUCAAAAUGAAAAUAACCGAUAGAUAAAGUUAAAAAUGAUAAAAUAAUGGAUAUAUUAAGCAAUUUUACUACAUGCAAAUUAUUUUCUGUGUUUAAAGUUCAUAUAAAGCUUGUUUAUUUUUCAACAUACCAACUUACAACAAUAAUAAUAAAAUUUUUGUGAUAUCCAAUAUUAACUUUUUAAAGUAAUUAUUUUUUGUUAAUGUGUCCGCUGUUCAAUCGAUCUUCCUACUUUCUAUGCUUGAGAUUAGAUCAUUUGCUUCAAAGAUUCGAACUGGACUUAUAGUAGGAAAAAGAAUUUUCUUCAAUAUGAACUCUAAUUCUCUUUUAUAUAUAUAUAUAAAAAAAUCUAAUUCUCCUUUCAACAUUUUAACAUUUUGAUGAAAUAAAAAAUUAUUGGCGAAAGAUUACAUGCUUCCUUACUUUAGAGAACCAAAUACUCAGAUAGGUAGUGUAAAUCUCUACUGAUCGUUGGUGAUUUUAUCAAAAUAAAAUUCAAUAAAAUGUAUAAGAACACUUAAAUCCGUCCAAAAAAAAAAAUGACCCAGCAAAUAAAGAAAAGUACUGUGAAGUAAAAAUUGAACAAACCUAGAAAGAAGAGAAGAAGAAGAAUGGAAGAAGGAGAUUCGGUUCAUAAAUCAUGGAGGGAGAUGAGACUUAAGAGAUAGGGUUAGUGAGACAGACGAGGUCCUAGAGUCUUAAAGAUGAAGACUAUCUAUUAUUAGUUACUUAUUAUAAUGAUGUUUAUUAUUAUAAUUUAUUUUACAAUUUUUUUUUAUGAAACAAGUAAAACAUGUUUAAGUUGUUUUGUAAUUUAUAACUGUUAGAGGCAAGUCAGAUUCUGUGUUUUACAAUUAAAUUUUAUGAGGACUACUGAACGCUUAUUUUACUUAGAUUUAUAAAACGAAAAUGAGAAUGGCCAGUAAAAAACAAUACCGAAUGCCCACUUACUUCAUCUCAUACUCUUAGGUCACAAAAAUAGCAAUAACUCUAACAAAUUUAUUAUUGAAUGUGAAUGGUUAUAUAUCGAUCAUUUGAUACGUAUUUUUCAAGACAGAACCUCAAUUCAAUGGACAAAAGCUCCUCUUAAUUUUUCUUUUCUAUUUAAAUAAAAGAACAAAAGAAAUUGAUUACAGAGCCAUUACUUUUCCAAGAAUUAAUAAACGAAAAGGCCCAUAAUUUUUGUAAACCCACCCCACUCUCAAGAAAUAAUUACAAUAAGUUCAAAUUAUUUUUUAAAAAUUGAAAUAAAGAAGAUGUAAUUACAAUAAUUUGGAGAUUGAAUCAAAUAAAAUAAAAGGGUUAUUUUUACAUACCUCCCCUGAGGUUUCACCUAAUAUCAGUUUAAUAGAAAGUAUCUCCGUAUUUUUACAUCCCUCCCCUACAGUUAGUAUAAAGUUAUGUAUAUCAUCAGUACACAAGGCUAAAAUCGUAAAAGCUCAUUUAAAAUUCGUUUUAAUCGUAUCAAGUGGCAUCGUAAUCAAAGCCAAUAAACCACCAGCCAUGGCUGCACUCACUCCCUGAAACGCCAUCACAGUUUUUGAAUCCGGCCUAAUCAUCAUCAUAUCACCCUCACGGUCACCAUAUUUCCUGCGCAAGAAACACCCAACUCCACCCCAAACAAGCCUUUGAGCAACGGAAUAAGACGCCCACCAAACUGCAUUUGAUGGUGCAUUUGUCAAGAUUGAAAUCCCGGAGCCCAUAUACAAUCCUCUAACCCCAUCAUUUCUAACAAUCUUCCUAAACAUAUCAACCCCAUUUACGUAUCUAGCAUCGGCCCCAUUAGCCACCAUAAGCCUCUGAGUCAAAACAUCAACUGGGGUCCAGACAAGCUGAGCAGCCAUGGCAGCACUCAAUCCACCAACAGCACUAGCGACCGCCGCCGCCGCAGUAAACCCUAAGUCACUAACAGCAAAGCUGCCAACUUUAGUUAAAUAAAAUUAAUUUAUUUGCUUUGAUUACGAUUAACAGAUGCAUAUCUUUGUGAAAACUUUGACCGGCAAGACCAUCACUCUCGAGGUGGAGAGCUCCGACACGAUCGACAAUGUCAAGGCUAAGAUCCAGGACAAGGAAGGGAUUCCACCGGACCAGCAGCGGCUGAUCUUCGCCGGAAAGCUCAUCUUUUAAUAAACUUUAGGAAAAGACCCCAUCACCAUCAUCGUGACCAUCUGCUUCCCUCCUUGUUUGUUGUUCCUUCAUUUUCUUUUUAUUUCUUCUUCGUGGAAUCGGUCUUAUUUUCUUCUUCUCUCACUAUUGUAGGUUGUUGUUGGCAGAGGGACGAAUUGUGUUUAUUUGCUUUUAGAAUUGGCUAAUUUAAUUGAUAUAAAUUGUUUUGGUUGUGCCGCGGACAUAAAUUGAAGUUUAGUCGACGGUGCUUUCAUAGCAACAUUUGGUGCUGUUAUUAUGGAUACCAAGCUAAAGUAAGAUGACGUUGGACAUGUUAUGAGGUUUAGUUUUUUUGAAUUGAUUUUUUAUUUGAAUUUUUGGGGAAAAAUAUCAAAAAUGGAAAGCUUGAUUUUAAGAAAACAAGGAUGUGGUUUUGUUGGCGAGGUGGUACAGGGGAUUUUAGUUUUUGUUGGAUGAAAGAAGACUGUCAACCUUGAAAGGGUAUUUUCAUCCUCUUGUUAGUCCACUAACGGUCAACUGACGGAAAUACUAACUGCAGGGGAGGGAUGUAAAAAUACGGAGAUACUUUCUAUUAAACUGAUAUUAGGUGAAACCUCAGGGGAGGUAUGUAAAAAUAACCCUAAAAUAAAAUACCCAAACUAUUAUAUACAAGAACUCUUGAUUUUUGGGGUAUUUUAGUCAUUUUAUAUUAUCAUGGUAAAUUAGUCAAAUAAAACUUAUCUUAAAGCAACCUAAACGGUCAAAGACACCUAAGUUAAAAAAAAAAUUAUACGAAUGAUUUAAUUUAUUGAUUGUCUAUACGUUUUAUUGAUUUAUAUAUUUUAAAAAUAGUAUGAACGUAUUACAAUUAUUUUCUGACAGCAAGGUAGAUUUGUAAAAUAAGUGGGUAGAAAAUAUCCCCGUCCUCAAACAAAUAAAUGAAUUAUCGGUGAUGCAUGCUUUUUUCCAACUUUUUUUUUUUUUCUUUUGGUUUUUUGUUUUUGUUUUAAAUGGCACUGGCCCGACCACUACAAAUUAAUUAGAGAAUAUUUACAAUUAUGUAUCACAGCUGUGGAGUAGAAUUGGGGAAAUUAAAAAUGCUAAAAUUAUUGACACGUAGGGUGGGCGACAAUAACCACAAACAUUUUUCGUGUAGUGUAAGAAGAAUGCAACAACUCGUUUCUUUCAGUAUUUUCGCAACAAAAGCACGUUGAACAACUUAUGAAAUUAUUUCUCUUUUUCUUUGCCAGAAUGGAUGUGAUCGCUUCCCCUCUCCCGGAGCAGCUGAACUCCUUUGCUGCUUGUGACUUACCAUAAAUCUUCAAGCCAUUCAAGCUGUGCUUGAAGAUGCAGAGAAGGCAAGUUGAUAUAAGAUUGUUGCAUGGAAUAAGCAGGGCAUCUUCCGAGGCUAGAAGUUGGGCUACGAGUAUUCGUUUUGGACAUAUAAUAUAGUUUCCAAGCUUGCGAUGAGUCGAACCAAAUGCAGAACAACCUAGGCUGUUAUGCUCUGCGAUUGAACUAAAAAUUUCACUUCUUUUAUAGUCGUUUUUUAGUUUUAAGAUAUUUUUCUAUUUUUCUUGAUUCUUCUAGGAUUUUUAUCAUUUUUUCUAGAUGUUGGAUUUAAGUGCCAUCUGUUUUCUUUCUCUUAUUUAGAUUCGAAGAAUUUUAUUAUCAUAUAAUAUUUUGAAUUUGCUUAGUUUGUUAAAUUUGCUAUAUUUAGGCUCCUAUAAAUGGGAUUAAAAACCCUAAUUUUGUUCAUUCAAAUUAUUCUCAAUAAAACUUAUUAUUCAAAUACUAGUUUAUAUUAUCUAAUAGCUUUUUAGUGUUUCUGCAUCAUCAGCUGGUAUCAGAGCAAGUUCACUUGUCAUCAUGGUGCGACCACACAAUCAAAGGAGCAACCAUCCCGGAGACGAUGUUCAAAUAUUAGGUUAUCUCUUGUAAGCCAUAUUCAUAAAUGUAUUGAAGGAAAGAUACUUUUUUCUUGUCUUAAAUGAUGUGUGGGAUGGACGUUACAAUUAAUGGGAACCAUUCUUUUGUUGUUUAAAGAAUAGUCUCUACGAUAGUCAAAUUUUGAUUACUACACGUAAUCAGUUAGUAGCAAGCAUGAUGAGAUCAACAAAUCUUACCUUUCUUAAGGAAUUAAUUGAAGAAGAAUGUUGGUCAUUGUUUAAGCAGGUAGCAUUUUUGGGUCAAUUCUUCAAGGAUCGUGAUCAAUCGAUCAAAAAAUUGCAUUUAAGUGCAAAGGCUUGCCUUUUGUUGCAAAGAUAAUAGGGAAAUUCUUACACUAUAAAUGACCAAUAGAAGAAUAGAAAAUAAUUUUAGAUAGUGGAAUGUGGAAGGUAGAAGAGUUUGGGAAAGGUCUUCUGGCUCCUUUGUCGUUAAGUUAUAAUGAUUUGUCGUCCAUAGUAAAACAAUAUUUCUCACAUUGUGCUAUCUUUUCAAAAGGUUACAAUAUGUGUAAAGAGGAACUAAUUACACUAUGGAUGGCUCAAAAUUACCUUAAAUGUAGAAAAAGGAAGAGAUGGAGAUCCAAUCCAAUCUGAUAGUAGUAGAUUAUUUUAAUUUUUAUUAAUUUGAUUUCAUAGGAGUAGUUUUCAUUGUUUUGUUGAAAGUUGGUAAAAAAAAAACUGAAAUGAGAUGAUUACUUUAAAACAAUCUUCAAGAACUAAAAUAAUUAAAAAAACUCAAAAUAAACAAAAAGGCUUAAAAAUAACCGUAAUCCGAACAUUGUUUGAAUCCAUCCUAACUAGCCCGAAUAUGAUUUUAACCCAAACCCAACCUAACUCGCUUAUAAUUAUAACCCAAUGCGAUCCAAAUUCAACUUGAAUAUUUGAUCCGAUCUAAUCCAAUUUGAAUAUUUUAACCCUAUCAACCAGAAACCCAAUUAGGUUGAUCUGAACCCACGUUUGUCCACUCCCAGAGGGGAUCAUGACCCCACAAGCUUUGAAAGUUUUUUGGAAUUUCUAAGUGAAUAUUAAAAAUUAUGUAUAAAAAGACUGAUUUGACCCCUAAACACUUGAUAUAGAAACUUUAUACAUACAAUAGAAAUUUAAUUUUAUAUUUUGUGAAAUAAAGUCAAAGUAACUGAAUUUUUUUUUAUUUUGUUAAUUAUUUUUCUACUAUGACAAAAUGACAAAUAGCCUUGUGCCUAGCUCUUUGACUUUUAUUUUGCUAAUUAUUUUUUUCAUUUCUCUUGCAACAGUAACUUCAAUUAUCAAUCAAAGUCGCCAAAUCAAAAUCUCUGCAGCCUGCAGCUACAAGCAAACUUCUCAAAUUUCGAAAUUCCUUAUGACUACAUAAUAGCUAUAAAUAGAAAAAGCGUCUAAAAUAACUAUGUUUUUCUAAGUUUGAGCUUGAACCCCCUGAAGAUUUACUCCAUACGUAACAAAAUAUUAGUUUUGCUAGUAAAAUUGCUAACUAUGUUUUUCUUUGUAUUUCCGCUCAAGGAUAAAGAAAUUUCCCUAGACUUUUGUGGUGAAUAUCUUACGAACAUAUGACAAUUUAAUCUUUGGCUGAGACUUGUUUAACAUAAGAGAUGACACUUUAAAGCAAUAGGAGAGAGAGAUAAUAAGCUUUGUUCCCCAAAAAAAUCUAUCAGAUAUAUUAUGCCCCCGGUUGCUAUUUCUAAAAAUAGUCAUAAUUACUAAAAAAUAAGUAAUUCUUUUUUCAUAUAUUAAAAUGGUAAACUGGUGGAUAAAAUUUAAAAUAACUUUUUAUCUGUUUUGACAUUCGAAUUUUAAGCUCGAGAAGUCAAGCAAUAAAUAAACCUUUUUGAGAGGCUAACUAAAUUCUUAGUAAUUUCAUAUAAUUUCAUUUCAUCAGAACAGUUUUAUCAAAAGCAAUUUUCUAAAUCUUUGUGGAAAGCUUUAAUCCUUAAUUAUCUUUCACAUAUUUUCUUUGUAAUAUGAGGUAAGCCAUGGACCAUAGUAUGGUAUUUAUUGUAAAUAAAAUCACUAUGAAACUGAUUUUAUUAUUAUUUUUUUCACAAACAAAGUAUCUAGCUAACUGCAGAUGUAAUGAAUUACUAAUUACCAUUAUUUGAUUCGCUCUCUAAAAUAGUGUUGUGUGUUGAUUCUGUUAUGCAUCUAGGAAUUUCAAAUGUUAUGACAUAAGUUGCAUUGGAUAUAUGUAUAUCAUAGAUUACAUUAUGAAGAAGACAAGAAAUGGAUCCAUACGUUAAAGCAAAAUUGAAAAAAAAAAAUUGCUAGGAGAUGAUUUUAUCUGAAAUUUCACCUGCACGGUAUUGGCCACAUAUAAAUUUGUGAUGAAAUUCAUAACGGAUUAAUAUAAUUGAACGAAAUUACUCUAUACAAUUUCAUAAGUAUGUAUUAUACAAUUAAAAAUCUAUUGAUAUUUUCAAUAAAAUAAUAUCUCUACUAUAAGUGAUGGGAUAUAUAUUUGUGGGGAAUGACAAAUGUAGAAAAUUGCAGUAAUAAAGGUGGAAGUGGAACUUUGUAAUAAUUAAUUAAUGUGUUUACAAUUCUGUAAGUAUAAUAAAAUAAUAGUAAUAGGUAAAUUGUAGAAAAUUAAUGUGUACUUUAAGGCACAUUACAAAUGUCUCUUUCCUAAAGAUAUUAUUUUUCCCACCAAUUCAGUGAUGCAUAUAGGCUAAACAAAUAUACCUCCGGGAUACAACGAAUCACUUAUUUGUUUGCUUGUGUUUUUCAUCGAUGAAAGCAAACUUGAAUACUUUUGAAUGUUGCAAGCUUGCCGAGAAUCAAUAUAUUAUUCCCGUAGUAAACAAUAUAUUAGAUAUUUGAUGCAUAUAGUAUAGAUGUUAUACAAUAAAAUUUGUUUCAGCAAAGAGGGUUGAGAAGAGAGUGAUGUAGUAUCAUUAUUUCCAUGUUUAAAAAUUAAUUCUAAAUUAACUACAACAUGCAAUCUUUUAAUAUUCACAUGUCCUAAAUGAAUAUGCUACAAAAAUAAUGAGUCAAUCAUGUAAGCAGAAGAAACAUUAAUUUUAUUAAUAUUGGGCUUGAACAUUCCCAAAUACAUGUAUCCUUUCCCAAUAAAGGUACCACCCUUAGACAAUGCAAAUUUGCUUUGACUCAAAUAAGGUACCACCCUAAUAUAGAUACAAGAUUUUUCCUACCUUUAGAUACAUGAUAAACAUCAAUAUGAGUUAAAGUUUUUCCACAAGUGAACUCUAGUUGCACAUUCCCUCUAAUUGUUGCAAUGGAGGAAUUUCCCAUCUAAAGAACACUUCAAUCAUCCAUUGCUUUGUAAGAUGUGAAAAGGCUACGAUUCUUGUACACAUACUUGAUUGCACCGGAAUCUAUUCACCAUGCAUUAUCAUGUUCAAGAAUAUUAAUUUAAGAUAUUAUGGCCAUAAAUUUUGUCCACAAAAUUUGUGUUCGAACACUUCUUUUCUUUCUUAAGAAGUUGAUAGUCUUUUUUAAAGUGGCUAGGCUUUUCACAUUGGUCACAUGUACACUUUUUUUUUUUUUGUUGGUUUGAUUUUAUUUGGAAUCAAAGUUUUGCUUUGACAGUCUUUUUAAAGUGGCUAGGCUUUUCACAUUGGUCACAUGUACACUUCUUUUUUUUAUUUUGUUGGUUUGAUUUUAUUUGGAAUCAAACUUUGGCUUUUGGUUAUUAAUGUGGUCAUUAGACUGCUUAAGCUUCUUCUCCUCCUCCACAACAUUAAUUUCACAGGACAUAGCAGUCUGUUCCUCAAGACUAUUAAGUCUAAGUUUCUAUUCAAUAUGAAGACUUUGCCAAGCCUUCCAGGCUAAUUUCCUCUUUGUUAUAUUUAAGACUUUUUUCAUAGUCUUUUCAAGAGGGGGGAAGUUUAUCAAUAAUUGAAGAAAUAAUAGUAAACUUAUUACUUUUCAUGUUGUGUUGGUUGAAUUGAUCAAGAAUGCAAAAAUUCUCAUUAUAUUGUUCAAUCACAAGUCUAUUAUCAAUCUUUUUAUAACUAAAAAAAAUUAGAAGUCAAGAAUUUCUUACUUGUGGUGUCUUCCAUUAGGGGUGGGCAAAAUCGGGUUCGGGUCGGGUUCGGGUCAAUCCGAUCGGGUUUCGGGUUGUUCGGGUUAGACAAAAAUUAAUCCGAACGUAACCCGAAUUAUGAACCCGACCCGAACUGACCCGAACUAAGUUCGGGUCAGGUCAAUUGUUAAAUGGAAUUGGAAUUCGUAUAUUUAAUCAAAAACUCCAAAUUAGAACCGUUAGAGAACCGAACUGAAAAAACUUGAAAAGAAUGAAUCUGGCUAUAUUUGUGAACCAGAAACAAGCCAGCGUUAUGCUUACGCCAUUUCAUUCUAUCCUGUCACCCAUAGACAAAAUGAAUCUAGAUGCAUUAUGGCUUUUCUCCUUAAACCUCAAGAGCAUUUUCGUCCUCUCAGUCAAGCGUGAAACUGCAUGUACGAACUGCUUCGCUUUCACGCACCGGUAGCUACAGCGGCAAGAGCAUUUUCGUCCUCUCAGUCAAGGGUGAAACUGCAUGUACGAACUGCUUCGCUUUCACGCACCGGUAGCUACAGCGGAAGACCCAGGCCGAGAUAAUUUAUUUCUUCCAACCACAAACUAUGUUUUGUUCACGAAUUACAAACUGUGCAGCUUGUGAUUUCUGCCGUUCUGCGUAUGUGAGUGCAGCAGCGAUAUGUGUAGUGUUAGGCUGUUAGCUUAGGUUUUUUUUUUUUUGGGAACCCGAUCAGGUAUUCGGAUCGGGUCGGGUUUGAUCCGAACCGAUCACAACCCGAUCGGGUUUGUAAAUUUCAAUCCGAUCGGGUUUCAAUCCCAACCCGAUCCGACCCGAACCCGAAAUUUAUCGGGUCGGGUCGGGUCGGAUCGGGUAAAAUGCCCACCCCUAUCUUCCAUCAUGUACUUAGACUCCAAUAAGUCCUAUAUUUCUUUUGCUGUGGAUUUUGUUGUGGUACUUAUCAAAACAAAGUACUAGACAUGGCAUUGUAAAUGUGUCCUAUGCACACGUAGACAUCUUGCUUCCACUUUUGCCACACUCGAGUUUCUCAUCCUCACGUUCUUCAGGCUUUGAUAUUGUAAGAACAUAAACAACAUUGAGGCUUGUCAACAAGAAAUGUAAUAUUUUUUGCCAACGUAUAAAAGUUGUGACCAUCAACUGCUCUAAUUUGAUAAAAUCUACCAUUGAAUUGCGGAUGAGAUGAGCACAGUGUCAUUGUUACAGAAAGAAUGUCUUAAGAAUGUUGGGAAUAUAUAUUUUUAGGGAAUGACAAACGUAAUAAUGGCAAAUGUAGAGAGUUGCAGUAAUAAUGAUUAUGCCACAAAGAUAAUGAGUCAAUCAUGUAAUAAUGGCAAACAUAGAGGGUUGCAGUAAUAAUGGUGGAAUUUUAUUCUAAUAAAAUAAUGAGUUUACUACUCUAUAGGUACAACGAAAAAAAUAGUAAUAAGUAAAUUGUAGAAAUUAAUGUGUAUUUCAAGGCACUUUACAAAUAUUACUUUCCUUAGACGUUAUUCGCCCCCACUAAUUGAGUGAUGAAUAUGGGUUAAACAAAUACGCAUCGACGAUACAAUGAAGUACUUAUUUGUUUGUUUGCAUUGUGUAUCGACGAAAGCAAACCUAAACACUCUUAAAUGUUGCAAGCUUGUCAAGAAUCAAUAUAUUAUUUGCUGAUAUAUUGUUCCCGCAGUAAACAAUAUGUUGGAUAUUUAAUGCAUAAAAUAUAGAUGUUAUAUGAUAAAAUUCGUUUUAGAAAGGAGAGUUUAGAAACGAUUGUUAUAGGAAUGUUAUGUUCAUGUCUAAAUGGCCUAAACAUGGCCUCUAUUUAUAAAUAUACUUGUGCCCUCCAUUUGGAUUGUCAUUUUUCAUGAUACCCAUUCAUUUAUGGUCAUUGGAUCAAGAUAUGAUUUUAAUCAAUUGUCUAAAUUGGUCCAUCACCAUUUCAAGUGAAAUUACAAUAUGAAAUGAUACAUUCUUAAGUGGAAAGAUACCUUUUAUAUGGGACAAUUACUUGGACAUGUUUUUAUAAUAAAACAUCAUUUAUUUUGAAAUUGUUACAGCACUAAGAUUAUUCUAGGUUAAGUUAAUCUAUUAUAUAUAACUUCAGAAGGUUCAUCGGUAGAUUGUUUUAAGUUUUUGUCGUAGUUUACAAAGAUUUUGUUACUUGUAAUGUAAGAAAUUUUAGAAAUGUUGGUGCUGAGUAAUCUGCAAAAUUAUUAUGAAUCAGAGAAACAGGGCAGAUGUUGUACAAUUAUUGUUGUGGUGGAGCGGAAAGGUAGCCCGAGAUGGUGACUGCUAUUGGGAUUUCUUUAAUUUGCAGCAUAAAAGCAUUUACAUUGACAUCGACUCAAGGGUAAAAAUUAAAUAUCUCAUGUAGCAUAAGAAGAAUGCAAAAAUGCUUGAAUGAGCAUUCUGACUCAAUACACAAAAGCUACUUUCCCUUGAGCACUUUCGCAACAAAAGCAAAUGUAAAAUUUAGCAUUUAAAUCUAACAUCAAAUGGCUGAUGCCAUCGUUUCCAUCCCUUGGGGAAACUGAAUUCCUCUACAUGAUAUUACAGUCUGGAGCGGCUCUUACCUUAGGCAACUUAGGAUAAUUUAGGCGGUUGCUCAGGACCCCACAUUUAACCUAGGACCCCAUUAUAAAUGAAGGUUUCUAAUUUAAUUCCUAAAUUAUAGUUAUUAAUUAUUGAUUUAUAUUUAUUAUUUAUAACUAUAUUUUCCAUAAACAAACUACUAGAUUCUUACAAAAUCCCCUUUUAACAUUAUAAUUAACAAUUUUAAUCCACUUAUUUCCUCCAUAUAUUUCAUUUAAAACUCUAUAAAGGCCACACCUUUUUUAAAUUAUUAUCCAUUAAUAUCUUUUUCCAAUAAAAAAAAACACAAAACCUUCAUUACUUUGGUGAAAAAACUACUUUCUCUACCUUACUUUUUGCAUAAGGAAGAAAAGAAAAUCAAUUGUUUUACUUUCUUUUGAUCAUUGUUGCUCAAAGUCUCAAUCCAUCAAAGUUAAAUUUCUCAAAUUUUCAAGUUUUAUCUUCCGAUUCUCUUAUUAAUUAAUUGUGUUAUUUAGGUGUUUUUGUUUCUUUGUAAAAAUAUUAUUCUGCUCAUAGGUUGUUUUCUUUUAAUUAUCUAGCAUAAUUGUUUGCAUGAUUACUCUUGUUUCCUUAGAAAAAAAAUGUCUACUAAAAACUAUGCAUCAUGAUACAAAAAACUUCAUAAAAGGAGAAGAAUACAAAAGUUAGCUUAAUCUAAAAACGUGCUAUUGAUAAAAAAUUAUUUAAGAUCAACCAUGUCAUAGGAAAGAUUAAAUAGGUUAACUAUAUUAUCUAUUGAGAAAGAUAUAUUAGCAAAAUUAGAAUAUAAAAAGUUGAUUAAUAAUUUUGCAUCUCAGAAAGUUAGAGAAAUUUAUUUUAAAUAAAUAAAACUUUAAUAAAAUUAAUACACAUAUUUCACCUCAAAUUUUUUGAAAGGUCUAAUUAAAUCAAUUUAUUUAAGACCUAAAAUAUGAUUGAGCCGCCUUGAAAUUGCAGUAAGAUAGAAAUGUGAAAUAGACAGAACACUUGCUCAUACGUUAAAGAUGCGACGAAUUUGAGAAUAUUUAUGUUUAUGUGCCAAAUUCCUAAUGUAUGGGAAUUUAAAAAUGUUAGUGCAGAACAUGUGUUCAUCGGUGGAGUAGAAUCAGGGAAAUUAAAGAUAAGCAUAAUUUUUGCAUCCAAUGCCAAAUUCCCCCAGGUAGAAAGUGGGGACUCCUUUGCAUAAAAGUUGAUAAAAGUUUGACUAAGAUCUUAUUAGAAAUUAAUAUAUUCUCUCUCCACAUAUUUCUGCACGAAAUAACAUGCAGAUAUAGUAUUUUAGGUUAUUGUUAAUAGUUUUACAAUAAUAAAAAUCAUUUUGUUAGAUCUUAAAAUGUACUCACACUCUAUUUUGUGCAAAAGUCUGCGAGAAAGGAUUUCAGAUUUACCUAACGGUGAAGUUGGGAACUUGCUUUUUUACCUAGGCUAAAAAUAUUUCAAUAAAUUCUGAUCGUGGAGACUAACAAGAGUUUUUUUAGUCAUAUAUAUAUUUAUUUUUUAGGGACUAAUAUGAAUAUUACUAAUUUCAUCGAGAUUAUUAAAAAAACAAUGUGCUAAUUUGCCAAUAUGAUUUCUCCAAUCUUUUUUCUUUUCGUCAUUUAUUCCUUUGUGAAUUUGAGUUAAUGCUUGAUAUUAUUUUUCUGCUCAUUUUUUAAAGUAGAAGAUUAAGAAGUCUACUGCUGUUUAGCUUGGUAGGCUAUAAAUAAAGAGGCGCAUAUAUAGAAGGCUUAGAAAUAACUCUCAUUCUCAUCAUUGCAAAAUGGCUUCUCUUCGUUUUCUCCUUGCAGCUGCUCUUGUAGUUGCAUUUGUGCUUGAGGGAUCAUAACCAGAUCAAGCUCAACUUUCUCCCUCUUUUUAUUCUUCCACAUGCCCUAAUGUAACCAACAUAAUUCGGGAGGUGCUUCAGAAUGCUUUCUUGUCCGAUAUUCGCAUCGGUGCCAGCCUCGUCAGGCUUCAUUUCCAUGACUGUUUUGUUAAUGGCUGUGAUGCAUCGAUUUUUCUGGACAAUACUACUACCAUAGAAAGCGAGAAAUUUGCUGGGCCAAAUAAUAAUUCAGCGAGGGGUUUUGAAGUUGUUGAUGACAUGAAAGCUGCCGUUGAAAGGGCCUGUCCAGGCGUUGUUUCCUGUGCUGAUAUUCUUACUAUUGCAGCUGAACAAUCUGUUGCUCUGUCAGGGGGUCCUUCAUGGACAAAUCUAUUGGGAAGAAGAGACAGCAGAACAGCAAACAGGACUCUUGCAAAUGAAAAUCUUCCAGUACCGAACAAUAGUCUUGAGAGGCUCAAAGAUAGAUUCAGAAAUGUUGGCCUCAACGAUAAUUUUGAUCUUGUUGCACUCUCCGGAGCUCACACAUUUGGAAGGGCUCAGUGCCGAACUUUUAGCGAUAGAUUAUUCAAUUUCAACAACACUGGCAAUCCAGACCCAACACUUAACACAACCCUCUUACAGCAACUUAGGCAACUAUGCCCACAAGGUGGAAACGGCAGCGUUCUAACUAAUCUUGAUGUCACAACACCUGAUGUGUUUGACAACAAAUACUUCUUCAAUCUUCAAAUACACAAGGGCCUUCUGCAGAGUGAUCAAGAGUUGUUUUCGACUCCCGGUGCCGAUACCGCUGCCAUUGUCAAUAACUUUGGCAGGAACCAGACUGCUUUCUUUGUAAACUUUGUGACUUCAAUGAUUAGAAUGGGCAAUUUGAAACCACUGACGGGAAAUCAAGGGGAGAUUAGAUUGAACUGCAGGAGGGUCAACGGAAACAGCAAUAUCGCAACAAGAUCAUCAUCAUCGGAGGGUGAUUUGAUCAGCUCUUUCUGAAUAAGCUAGUUUGCAGCUAACGCGAGAGAAAGAGUUUGUGGGUAACAAACUCAUGAAUUUACUCCUAUGUUUUGCCUGAAACAUGCUUUGUAUUUUCAAUAAACUAAAGUUGUGGUUGUGUAUUCACGUCCUGCUUUCUAUGUAUCAGAAAUCCUUGUCAUAUUGUAUGUGUUUCUUUUUCUUUUCUUUUUUUUCUCCCAAAGUCAUCGAUAUGUAUUUUCAUUUGAGUCACAAGUUUUUAAUACCCCACUUUAUCCUCUAGCUUUUAAAAAAAAAAAAGUAGAAGAUUAUGAAAAAGUGAACACACAAAAAGCAUAAAAAUCAUUAUUAGAUCCAAAUUUGUGCUAUUUUCAUACAUAACUUGAGAAUAUUUAUAAUUACGCAUCAGAACUAGUGGAGUAGAAUCAGGGAAAUUAAACAUUCUACAAUCAUUGACGUGUGGGGUUGGGAUAAGCAUAAGCUUUUUCUAUGCAGUAUAAAAGAAUGCAAUAACUCCUUUUCUUUCAGUAUCAUCGCAACAAAAGCACAUCUAAUAACUCUUCAGAAUUCUCGUCUUCUUUGUCAGAAUGGUUGAUGCGAUCGUUUCCUCUCUCCUGGAGCAGCUGAUCUCUGUUGCGGCUGAUGAAGCGAAACAACAGGUGAGGCUUGUGACUAGUGUCCGAGAAGAAGUGAAAAAGCUUACCAGCAAUCUUCAAGCCAUUCGAGCUGUGCUGGAGGAUGCCGAGCAAAGGCAAAUGCAGCAAGACAAAGUUGUUACUUUUUGGCUGGAUCAGCUCAAAGACGCGUCCUACGACAUGGAAGAUGUGUUGGACGAGUGGGUCUUUACAAGGCUCAAAUUGCAAAUUGAGGGCGUUGAUGAUGACAAUGCUUUUUCCCUUGCUCCUCACAAGAAGAAGGUACGUUCCUUCUUUCGUGCUGUAUCAAACUGCUUUGGUAGUUUCAAACAACUCGGUCUUCGUCAGGACAUUGCUGUCAAGAUUAGGGAAAUCAAUGAAAAGCCAGAUGAUAUUGCCUCCCAAAAAGAUAGGUUUAAAUUUGUUGAGAAUGUGAGUAACCAUGUUAAAAAACCGAAACAAGCGCGAACCACCUCCUUGAUUGAUGAGGGAGAGGUCUGCGGUAGAGUUGACGAGAAAAACGAGCUCUUAAGCAAGUUGUUGUUUGAAAGUAGUGAACAACAAAAAGGCCUUCAUGUCAUCUCACUAGUUGGGUUAGGGGGCAUGGGUAAAACACUCUUGCACAACUGGCCUAUAAUAAUGAUGAGGUGAAAAGAAAUUUUGAAAAAGUUAUAUGGGUGUGUGUAUCAGACACUUUUGAGGAGAUUAGGGUUGCCAAUGCAAUUAUUGAAGGUCUAGGUGAGUCAGCUUCUAGUUUAAGCGAAUUCCAAUCUCUUCUAAGCCAUAUCCAUAGAUCAAUUGAAGGAAAAAAAAAAUUUCUUGUCUUAGAUGAUGUAUGGGAUGGGGAUUAUAAUAAAUGGGAACCAUUCUUCCAUUGUCUAAAGCAUGGUCUCCACGGAAGUAAAAUUUUGCUUACCACACGUAAUGAGUCAGUUGCAUGUAUGAUGGGAUCAACAAAUAUUAUCUUCAUUGAGCAAUUGACUGAAGAGGAAUGUUGGUUGUUGUUCUAGCAGUUAGCAUUUUCCGGUCGCUCUUUCGAGGAUUGUGAAAAAUUAGAACCAAUCGGGCGAAAAAUUGCACGCAAGUGCAAAGGCCUGCCUCUUGCUGCAAAGGCAACAUGGAAUCUCUUACGCUCUAAAAGUACAAUAAAAGAGUGGCAAAAAACUUUAGAUAGUGAAAUGUGGAAAGUAGAAGAGAUUGGGCAAGGCCUUUUUGCUCCAUUGUUGUUGAGUUAUAAUGAUUUGCCCUCCAAUUCUAUGGUAAAACGAUGUUUUUCAUAUUGUGCUGUCUUUCCGAAAGAGUACAAUAUAAAAAAAAAGGAACUAAUUUCACUAUGGAUGGUUCAAGGUUACCUUAAUGCAGAAGAAGAUGAAGAGAUAGAGAUGACUGGGGAAGAGUAUUUCAACAUUAGCAGCACGCUCUUUCUUUCAAGAGUUUAAAAAAGAUGAUGAUGAUGAUGAUAUUAUGAGCUGUAAGAUGCAUGACAUAGUACAUGAUUUUGCCCAAUUUGUAAGUAGAAAAGAAUGUUGGUGGGUAGAAAUUAAUGGUACCAAAGAAUCAGUCAUAAACUCUUUUGGUGAUAAAGUCCGUCACUUAGGGUUAAAUUUUGAAGGAGGAGCUUCAUUUCCUAUGUCCAUUCAUGGACUUAAUAGAUUGCGGACCCUCCUAAUUUAUUUCCAAAGUCCUUCCAAUCCGUCUCUUAAUAGUAGCAUCCUUUCGGAGUUAUUUAGUAAAUUGGCGUGUUUCAGGGCAUUAGUUAUAGGGCAACAGAACUUUAUAUUUGAUCCUUACCCAAAUUUGAUUAGAGAAAUUCCAGAAAAUGUCAGAAAAUUAAUACAUUUAAAAUAUCUUAAUUUGUCUGAAUUAUGUAUAGAGAGACUGCCUAAGACUUUGUGUGAAUUAUAUAAUUUACAAAAGCUAGAUAUUAGGUGGUGCGAAGAUCUUAGAGAAUUGCCGGCGGGGAUUGGGAAGUUAAAGAACAUGAGGAGUUUACUGAAUGGUGGCACUCCUUCGCUGAAGUACAUGCCAAUAGGGAUUUCCAAAUUAACCAGUCUUCGAACAUUAGAAAAGUUUGCUAUGGGCGGAGGUGUUAAUGAUAUCAGUACGUGUAGGCUUGAAUCUCUAAAAAAUCUUCAGCUCCUUCGAGAAUGUGGAAUAGAAGGGCUGAGUAAUGUGUCACAUUUAGAUGAGGAUGAGAGAUUAGGACUUCACAAUAUGAAAAACCUCCUUCGUUUAUCUCUUGAGUUUGAUGAGGAAGGUGAAGAAGGGAGGAGGAAGAAUCAACAACUUCUGGAAGCCUUACAACCGCCUUUGAAUGUAAAAGAAUUAGGGAUUGUAUCCCACGGAGGCAACAUAUUUCCCAAAUGGUUGACUUCACUAACCAAUCUAAGGGAUUUAAGACUUAAAUCGUGCGUUAUCUGUGAGCAUUUUCCUCCCUUGGGAAAAUUACCGUUGGAAAAACUCACCCUUUAUGGCCUGUACGGUGUGAAAAGAGUGGGUAAUGAGUUUUUGGGAAUCGAAGGAAGCAGUGAGGAUGACCCAUCUUCAUCUUCAUCAUCAUCAUCAGUCAUUGCCUUCCCCAAAUUGAAAUCACUCCACAUUGGGGCAAUGGAAGAAUUGGAAGAGUGGAAUUAUAGGAUUACAAGAAAGGAAAACAUCUCCAUCAUGCCGCGUCUUUCUUCCUUGACGAUUUGGUAUUGCCCCAGAUUAAGGGUGUUGCUGGAUUACCUUUUUCAAUCGACGACAUUGCAGAAAUUGAGUAUUUCUUAUUGUCCAAUUAUGGAAGAACUGCGCAUUCUAGAAGAUCACAGGACAACAGACAUACCACGUCUUUCUUCCUUGGAAAUUGAGUAUUGCCCCAAAUUAAAGGUGCUGCCGGAUUACCUUCUUCGGCGACGACGCUGCAGCAAUUGAGUAUUCAGGGAUGUCCUCUUCUGGAAAACCGUUAUAGAGUGGAGAAAGGAGAAGACUAGCAUAAGAUAUCUCACAUUCCCUACAUCGAGUCCGAGUGGUAAAUUCUCGAAUGGUUGCAAUUACUAUCACCCACCGGUAAUUUCUCUCCCCUAUUUUACUUUGUUGUUACUUCAAACAACGACACUGCAAACAUUGACAAUUUGGGGUUACAGAGAAGGGGAAGGAGAAGACUGGCAUAAGAUAUCUCACCCUCCCCACAUCAUGCGGUCGGCGUAAGAUAUCACUCGCCGGUAAUUUCUCCUCCUCCUCUGAUUUACUCUGUUGUUGCUUGCAAUAAAAUUAAUAAAAAUAAUUAUAUUUUGAAUUAAAAUUCUAUAUAUUGCCCAAUGUCUGACAGGAAUAUACAAUAUUUUCUAAUAUUUUGAUUUGCAUAUCGAAUUUAACUAUUUACUUCAACCAUUAAUUUAUUGGGUCACUUUAUGAUGCUAUUAUAAAAAUUACAGAAUCAAUCAUAGUAUAAAUAUGUAGUGUUAAAUUUAAUCAAUAGUUCAUAAAGGUUAGUAAGAAUAAUACUUUAAUUUUAAUUAUUUAAAAUUUAAACUUCCUAGUCAUCAAAUUUGUUAAACUUGUUUUCUAAAGCUAAAAUAAUAAUAAAAUAAAGUAAAAAAAACAAGUGCAGUCUGUUGAAAUUUCUAUAAUUUCUUUUAAAAAAUAUGUAGUCUUUUGUAAAAUUUCAUACAACAUCAUAGAAAUAAUUUAUGUGUAAGUUCCUGAGAGACAAAAUCUCUGUGAUACAUUUGCAGUAAUGUUGAAAACUAACUUAUCAAUGUUAUCUUGUAUAAUGAUAAUCGUAUUUUUUUAUAUAUAAUUUAUGUGACAUUAAUUCUUUAAAGUAAUUGUGUGAUUGUUUUUAGUAGUACAUGAGCCCACUUUGUUUUAUUUCAUACGAGUUUAAUUAUGUUCACCAGGGAUUCGAGGAAAUGUCAGAACUACACUAGCAAUUCGCAGGUCCACGCUAAUUUGGUUCUAAUGAUGCACGCAGGAGAGCAAGAUUAUGAAAAUGAAUAGUUUAGCCAAAGGAUUGCUAAAAUGUUUUGCUGGUAAUUCACUUGCUUUUUUUUAUAGAAUUUCAUUUCCAUCUUCUUCUAUUGAUAUCUUGUUGUGAAUAAACAAGAACAGAGAAGUAACUAUAUAUAUAAAAAGUCCCUAUUAUGAUGAUGUUAAAGCAAGCUCAAGCUCAAACAUUGCAUUUUUAUUUUAUUUUAUUUAUAGAAUUUUCAUUUCUACCUGGAUUGCAUUUCUAUUUCAUUUUCAGGUUGACUUUGAAAACUCUAUGGAGCACAUUGGGGGGGUAACCAAGGAUUAUCAUUGUGGUUAUUGUGCAACGUUUGGUUGCUGGACUUUGAAGAAGGAAGUGAUGGCCGGGUCUGCUCUGUUUCAAUUGAGGAUGGAUAGCUGCCUGAAAGACAUGAUGAUUAUUAUUGCAUGAUGUUUAGGUGCUAAGAUCAUCAUUUCUGUCUUGUUUCAUUCUUUGAUCGGUUUAUCCUAUAUAAACAUAUGGAAUUAUGCUAAUAUUAUCAAUUUUUUCACCUAAUUUUCACUGUUGUUGUGAAAACAAUUUCAGGCUCUCAAAAGCUACAAAGCAAAGCAUUUGUAGGCUGAUCAUAUGUUUCAAUUGAGGAAGGAGCUUGGUGUUGGCAAUAUUGUCCAGGUAACCACAGCUGAUAAUUUCCACAAAUUUGCAUUAAACUUAGUUGUCACCAUCUCCUGCAAUUUCUCAUUCAUUCAAGAGUACUUCAAAAUUAGAUUUUCAGGGUUUGAAUGUUUAGUUGCGAUCAAAAUAUUUAGUCACUCAUUCGUAAUCUUUUCCGAUUUUCAAGUUCUUUAGGGCCAUAAACAGUUUUCCAACUCAUUCUUAAUUUUUAGGUUGAUUUCGAGUACCCUGUUGAGGACAUUCCUGAGACUAAGGAUUAGGCUGGCGAAGGAACUACUACCUCUGUUGUUAUUGUGCAAGGUUUGAUCAUUGGACCUUGAAUAAGAAUCCCUUACACGCAUUCUGUACUUCAAGCAUUCUCUAAAGGAAAAGAGCAGUAGAAGGGAUAGUGAUGGCCGGAUCCGCUCUAUUUUAGUUGAAGAUCUCUGUGAUGUCGAUGAACUUAAAGCAGUUGAUACUUCUUGAAAAUUGUUGUUACGGAUGAAUUGAUUCCUGAAGAUGGGUAUCCAAAGGCAUAUUUUCAUAAACUUCCUUUUUUUAACAAAUGCUCCAAUGCUUGCUGUAGUAACAAUUUCAUAGCUUGCAUCUCUCGGGUGCAUCAUGUUCACGGGUUGGAAAAAGCAUUUGUGGUAAACCUUCAAAGCUUGUAAAAUGGCUGUGAAAAGGCACAUUCAAUUCGGUAUGCUUUGGUGCGGUCUCCUAAUGCUAAUAUUAUGUUUCAAUGCUGGCUGUAGUAACAAUUUCAUAUCUUGCAUCUCUUGGGUGCAUCAUGUUCAAGGGUUUGAAAAAGCAUUUGUGGUAAUGCUUCAAAGCUUGUACAACGGCUGUGAAAAGGCACAUUCAAUUAGGUACGUUUUGGUGCGGUCUCCCAAUGCUAAUAUCAUAUUUUGUAUAGCAAUUAAAAUUUAGCUAUACAAUCUUAAUAUGCAAUAAAUCAUUGUAUACAAAGUUUUCUAUUGAUUAUAUGGUGACUGAAAUUUUAAUUAUCAUAUCAAUUUAAAGUUUUGGCUGAUAUGUCUAAUUCGUAGAAAUUCACUUCCAUCGGUUUCCAUUGGCUUUAGCACAAACAGAAACAGAGCUCUGGGGAAAAGUUUUACUUCUUGUGGUAUUAUGCCUUUGUUUCUUCAUUCAUCAUAUUUUUCGAAUUCAUGCUCUCAUUCAGAGGGUAAAGCCUUUUCCAGGCUGCUUUGUAGCCAAACUUUGACGCCUUUGAUGCAUGACUGUCAUUUAGAUUUCCCAAAUAACUGUUAGAUUGGAGAAGAAUAAAAAGAUACUGUUAAAAGGGUAUUUAAUUAGCGCCCUCUGAAUUUCUUGGAGUUAAUGUAGUCAAUUGCCCAAUUUUGCUGCCUGUCGAAGAUACACAGCAUGGAAGUCCUCAUCAAACUCUGAGACACCUAAUAAAUAGUAGGAUAGUAGGAGGGGGUGGUAUUCGCCUGGUGUUAAUUUCCUGGCAAGUAUAGUUCACAGAUAGAGGGGUUCUUUUCUUGAUGUCUAAAUACCGUAUGAGAUACAACAUCGUGUAUUCCAAUUUUUCUCUAGUUAAAUUUUAAUAAGUUAGAAAAGUUAAUUUUGUUUUAGCAAUGAAUUGUUUUCUUAAUAAUAAUAAUUGCCAUGUUCCUCUGAAGUCUUAUUAAUGCCAGACCAACAACUACUAGGUUCAUCUCUCGUUCACUUCCUCAGGGAAUCUCGAGGGCAUUCAUUGGCAGGUAGCCUUUCUUGUUGAGCUCCUGGAAUUACUUUUAAUUUAUCAUUUGUUGGGUUUUGCUUUUUGAUUGCUUUGGGAUUUGUGUUAUUAUCGCUUUGUCACUCAUUAAUCUUGGCUGUUUUGAAUCUGUGUUGGAUUUAGAAGUUUGGAGUUGAAAACAGUUAAAGCUUAGACUAGUAGAAGAGAUUUAUACAUUCAUUUAUCUUGGACAAAGUUUUUGGGGGAAAAAAAAAUUAUAAGUAUACACUUUCCAAUGGUUCGGUGAUGUUUGAUUGGUUUAAAGAUGUUGGAUCUCUCAUCAGAUUUCUUAUGUAUCGACUGUUGUUGCCACAGGAUGCUCGCAGAUCCUGCUUUUUUGUAUAAACUUCUACUAGAGCAGGCUGCAACAAUUGGUUGCACUGUUUUGUGGGAGUUGGAGAAUCAUAAGGAGAGGUGUGUUUUUUCUCUCAUAACAAAGGAACUCUCCCCUUCCUUUUUAUUUUCAUCUUAUAUAUUAAGCUAAUAAAUGUUUGUUUCUGUCGUGAUGGGAUAAAGCAAGAAUGGGAUCAGCUUGGUUUUGGUGCUUUCCUCGGACUAUAUGCAAACAUGAGAUAUCAACUAUUGUGUGGAUUUGAUAGAGCGGUCAUCAACCAUUUUGAUGUUACCAGGUUAUCUCUCCCUCUCCCUCUUCUACGUAUUUGUUUAUUGAUCUACAUCUCUAUAUAUAUUGAUAGACUAUUCUGGACGUACCAAAUUACCCUUGUUUUAAUGUUUUGUUUGUUAAACUUUGACUGGGGAAUCUGUUUAUUUGGCUGAUAAGAGGUUAGUGUGGUUUCUAUUGAAGUGUGUAGAUCUAUCACCAAGUAUUAUUUCAAUUUUUCUUUACUGAAUCAACUUGCAUCCUUUCCAAGUCCAGAUCCUUAACAAUAGUGCGACAUUGCUACCGAAGUACAAUUUCUCUAGUUUGACAGUUAAAUACGUAAGAAUGGUUUUAAAUUAACUGAACUCUGAGAUAGUUCUCUAAGGAAGUACAAGUGGUGAAUACGGUUCCAACUUUUAAGUGCCUUAAUAUAUCCAUUUGUUCAGCCCUGUGCAUAAAAAAUCAGUAAUUGCCGUCCAAAUUCUUCUUUACUGCCUAUAUGUGUUGGACUUUGUCUAUUCUUCAACUUCUCAAAUGGAUUUUUUGAAUGUCCAAUUAGGAGAAAGAUCAAGGCUUGCUUGGCUAGGAGUGGAAGCGGAUCCGCUACUUCAAUCAUAUGACCUUUUGAAGAAGGCUUACAACGGGGCGGCUCAGGAUGUCAAUGGCUCAACUCAAAAGUCCCCAAAGUGGUUGAUAUCAAAGAAUGCCAUUGUCUCUGGGCUUGGGCUCCUUGGGAUCAAACAAGGGAAUGCGACUCUGUUGAAGGGGAAGCACGGGCCCCUAAAGUGCGAAGAAAGAGGAUAGUCCGGAAGAAGGUGACCGCAUAAAUUUCUUGGGAGUUAAUCCUAGUCAAUAGCCCAAUUUUGCUGCCUGUCGAAGAGAUACAACACGGAAGUCCUCAUCAAACUCUUUGGGACAUCUAAGAACUAGUAGGGAGGUGGUGGUAUUCACUGUGUUUCCUGGCAAGUAUAGUUCACUGAUGGAUGGAUUCUUUUCUUGAUGUCUAAAUAUCAUAUGUGAUACAACGUCGUAUAUUCCAAUUUUUCUCCAGUAAAAUUCUAGUAAGUUAGAAAAGUUAAUUUUGUUCUAGCGAUGAAUUGUUUUCUUAGUAAUAAUAAUGGCCUGUUGCUUUGGAAUCUUAUUCACUCUCUGUAACCCAAUUAAAUUGUGCAAAUUCUACUGCGGAUUUGUCAAACAGAGCGUCUUUGUGAUUUCUUUGAUAGACUUUUGAUCGCUAGUUUAAGUUUGAAUCAUCUUGUAAUGCCAAAACAGAGCGCUUUUAAUUACUAGAUCGUACUCGAGUUUUUAUUCAGCUUUUAAUUACGAGAUCAGCUUUUAGUAUUAGCGAUAAUUAUAAUAUAAACGUUAAUUAUGAAACUCUUACCAAACAAGAUGUUACUCAAUUUUACUUAAUCUCACUCGUCUUUGAUUUGUAAAUUUUAUGCCUAAAUUUUUGUCAACAAAUUGGUCCCAGUUCCACGUUGAGUGCACGAGAUCCACAAGUUUGAUUGGGCAGAACGCAGAAGCAGCUAAAAAAAACUGAUGAAACCCACGUCCAAAGAUGCUGUUGUCGCGGAGGCCUAGACACGACUCCCCAUCCCCUUUUACCAUAUUUUAUAAUUGAAGAGGCCAUUAUUGAAUUGAAAAAUUAUGAUUCAACCGUUGGAAACCAACUCGGAAUUUUAAGUUGAUAUGAGAAAAGAUUUUUUCAUCAUCAUCAUCAUCAUUAUUAUUUCUUUUUAACAAAAAUUUAAGCUAAGACAACAAUAUAUGCCCAAAAUACCCCUCACAUUAUCCCAAACUUUCUAAACUCCCCCAUUCCUCUCAACAUCAUCUCUUCCAAAUCUUUCUUCCUCCAAAAAGCAGCCAUGGCUUCAAAUUCAAUCACCUCAACACUCCAAUAUUGGCUUGUAAACCACCCCCAAAUCCUCAACUUCACAUGGACUCAAAACCAAACCCCAGCUUCCUCCCCACACUUCCUCAUUCUCUCCAUCCUCACUUACCUCUCCCUCACAUUCAUCCUCUACCACAAAUUAACGCCAACGUCACCAUCAUCAUCACCUCUCAUUGGACCCCACAUCCUCAAGCCCAUCACAACCGUCCAUAACCUCACCCUCCUCCUCCUCUCCCUCGUCAUGGCCUUUGGUUGCACUCUCUCCAUCGUCCUCCAUUCACCCGACCUCCGUCACACCCUCUGUUUCCCCCCCACCAUUUCUGCCUCCGGUCCCCUCUUCUUCUACGCUUACAUCUUCUACCUCUCCAAAAUACUCGAAUUCCUAGACACCCUUUCGAUCAUUUUGUCAAACUCCAUCCAACGGCUUACAUUCCUCCACGUCUACCACCAUGCAACCGUCGUCGUAAUGUGCUACCUUUGGUUACAGACGAAGCAGUCUUUGUUUCCUAUCGCACUUGUCACCAAUGCAAGUGUGCACGUGAUCAUGUACGGGUACUAUCUAUUGUGUGUGAUGGGGUUGCGGCCAAAGUGGAAGAGAUUGGUCACUGACUGUCAGAUUGUUCAGUUCGUGUUUAGUUUUGUUGUUUCAGUUUUGAUGCUGUAUUAUCAUUUUGCGGGAUUUGGAUGCUCUGGGAUCUUGGGUUGGUGCUUCAAUGCUGUGUUUAAUGCUUCCCUCUUGACACUUUUUAUUAAUUUUCAUUCCAAGAGCUAUGCUAAGAAAAAGCAGGGAUGAUCAAAACAAAUCGUCGUUGUGAUUGUUCUCUGUGUGUGUGUGUUUUUUUUUUUUUGGUUAAUUAUGAAGGGUUGUGAUCGGUUCAUUGCAUUUGACAGAGAUGUUGAAGGGUUAUGUACUGGAAAAUAGAAAUUAAACCAACAUUAUCACUAUAACUGGUACAUUAUUACCAUCACAGAUCAAGAUCUGAAUGGACGCAUAGCAGCCAUCCUCAAAACCAAAGGAGGAGAAAAUUGAAAUAGAACAACCACCUUAAGGUGAAUAAGGCCAGAACAAGACACACAUCCUCAAAUCAUAAGGAAGAGGUGGGUGCAACCGAAAAAAAAAAGAAAAAAAGAAAUCAAGAAUCCACUGGAGAAGGCAAGAAAGAUAUUUGCCUCCGAAGAUUUGGUGAGGAAGAGAUGAGGAGUUAGAAAAGUUUUCGGAGAGAUCUACAGAUUAGCUUUAAAAGUGUGUUUUAAAGAAAAAGUUGUUGAGAACUUGAGAGGAUACAUGCGCAAUCAAUCCUUUACUCUUCAUGUUUGUGGAAUGUUUAUCCACUGAGUGUAAUCGUAAUCACACGGUUGAUAUUAGUUGGUUCUAUGUUGGAGUUGAUCCAUCAUAGCCGGAGCCUUUAAAUAAAAAACAUUACAACUAGAGAUGGCAAUGGGGCGGGGUGGGAGUGGGGAUGCCUACCUCAUUCCCCACCCCAUUAAAAAUUUUUGUCUCCAUUCCCCACCCUAUUCCCCAAUAAAUUUAGUGGGUUGAGGAUGAGGAAUCCCUACGUGGGGAAUGAUUCUCCCAUUCCCACCUCAUUCCCCAUUUACUUAUUUUAUAGUAGAUAUAAAAAUAUAAUUUUAGUAAAUUUAAAAUUAAAGACUUAAAAUAAAAACAUCAACAUAUUAUAAAGUAUUUAAAUUUUUUUGAAAAUCUCUAAAAGUUUGAAAUAAUAUCUUAAACUGAUAUUAAAAGUGAAAAAUAUUUAAAGAUAUUUAAAGAGAGCAGCACCUUAAAAGAGAAAAGAAAAUAUAAUAAUAUUUUUAAGUUAAAAAAUAUUGUAGGGUUUUCUUUUACUUAUAUCAUAUUUAUAUUACAUAAAAAUUAAAAAAUUAUUAAUUGACAUUAUAGUCGAUAAAAUAAAAAUUAAAAACAUAUUUAUAUAUAAUGGGGAUUGGGGUGGGGAUGGGGCGGGGAGUGCAAUACCAAACCCAACCCCAUUAACAAUUUGGGGAUUACUUUUCCCCCAAAAUUAUUAAAAAUUUUUUUCAUUUAGGGUGGGGCUCCAUGGGGCCCCAAACCCGUGGAGAAUUUUGUCAUCCCUAAUUACUUUGUCAUCCCUAAUUACAACUCAUGCAUCUAAGUACUUAAAGUUGGCUUGAGUGCAUGGGUUAUUGUCAGUUUUCUUCCUAAUUAAAUUAGGUUGGGAUAAAAUUAUCUCUUUAUUAAUAAGAAUAAAGUAGAUAUCUCUCUCGAUUUUCCUCUUAAUUAAACUGGAUAGGAGUAAAAUUAUCUUUUGAUUAAUAAGGAUGUAAUAUAUAUCUCUCUAAUAUUAUGUGAUGGUAGAAAUUUGGGUUGUACCGUAAUAGAAUUAUCAAGGAUAGUCUUGAUAGAAUUAAUGUAAAGAAUUAAGAUAAAGCCUCAAAGAUGGAACAGAGGUUAAAAAAAAAAAAGAGUACAAGACAAAGAAAUAAGGAAACAAAAGAAGACCAAGAAUAAAAGAAAAAAUAAUUUGGAAAACAAAAAAAUGGAUUGCAAUUUUAAAUUUUGAUUAAGGAUAAAUUGUAGUGGAUGCCAUUGUUGGUAAUUUAUUAUAUUUCAAAGCUCAAAUAAGGAAUAAAAUUAUUAUUAUUAUUAUUAUUAUUUUGCAAUAACUCGUUUCAAAUUUUAAAAGAUUAUAACUUUUUGUUUUUUAACAUUUUAAUCAUAAAUUAAAAAGGAGUUACUAUUCAAGAUUCCUAAGAAUACUGAAAAAAAUGAUAAAUAUUAUUCUAAGAAAAUGAUAUAUAUUGGAUAUACUAAAUAUUAUAAAUUAUUAAAUAUUUUACUAUUUUACCCCUUAGUUUGAUGUUUGGGGAAAAAAAAUACUAAAAUGGCUUUCAAUAAAAAGAAUUAUUAUUAAAAAAAUAAGAUUAAAAUUAUAACAAAUGAUAUUAAUAAGAAAGAAACUGAUAAAAAUUUGGGAUUAGAAAUAGGGGUUAAGGCUUCAGUCCUUGAAUUUCUCUAAAUUUUAUAUAUUUUUAAUUUUUAACCCGUCAAAUUACAUUAUUAAUGGAAUGUCAAUAAAUUUUGUGCGUUAAUUUUUGUUUUAGAUACUUUGAAAGGUAAAAUGGUAUUUUGGAUGGUAAAAGUCAACUAAUUAAUUAAAUAUUUAUAUUCUUCGCUCACCGGAUUUCUUAAAAAGUUUUCUGAACCUCCUAGCCAGCAUAUCCAUCUCUUCCUCAUCCAGCUCGCUUUCCUCAUCACUUUCAUGUUUCGAGGCUUUGAGAGCAAUGUUUUUCUUCUUCUCCUCAUUGCCUCUUUCGGCUUCUAAGUCUUCCUCAUAAGAAAUAAGAGAGCCAAUUAAAUCAUCAAUAGGUAAGAUAUUUAAAUCCUUGGCUUCUUCAAUGACAGUCCUUUUUGGUCUCCAUUCCUUAGGUAGCGACCUAAUAGUUUUCUUAACUUUCUCGCUAUUUGAAAAAGUAUUUCCUAGGGCUCCUAGAGUGUUCACUAUGUCCGUAAAUCUAGUAUACAUAGCAUACACACUCUCAUUUUGUUCCAUUUGGAACAAUUCAUAUUGCCGAGUGUACCUACUAAUUUUAGACUCUUUCACUUGAUUUGUGGCUUCAUAAACAACUUCAAGUUUGUGCCAAAUUUCAUUAGCACUCUCACAACUAGAUACUCUAUGGAAUUCUUUCUUAUCUAGUGCACAAAAUAAGGCAUUCAUAGCUUUGGAAUUUAGAGUAGCUUUUCUCUUUUCCAAUUCAUUCCAUUCCCGUGAAGGUUUUGGAAUAUCUUCCCCGACUUCGUUUCUAGUCAAAGGCAUAAAUGGACCAUCACAAACAAUUUCCCAAAUUUCAUAAUCUAAAGCUUGUAAAUAAAUUCUCAUCCUAGUUUUCCAAUAUGGGUAGUCAUUACCGUCAAAGAACGGUGGUCUAAUUGUGGAUUGUCCUUCCCUAAAGGUUGAAUCACUAUAGGUUGCCAUGGAUCUUUAACUCUACACGGUUAAGUCUACACAAGAGCACCUCGCUCUGAUACCAAAUGAAAUACUAACUAGGCAACCUAAGAGGGGGAGUGAAUUGGGUUUUUAAAAUUUAAGCUAAACAAACCACACAACAAUUUAAUCUAUUACCUUGAUCAAAUUGAAAACAAUAAAUUCAAUCAUGCACAAUAUUAAAAGAGUAAGGGAAGAGAAAACAAACACAAUGAUUUUUAUGUGGUUCGGCAAUCCCCGCUUACGUCCACGCUUCCAAGCUCACCGGGCUUGAGGAUUUCACUAAGCUAGCCUCCCAAGGCUUCAAAAGCUUACAAUUGACUUCCAAGGUGUCAAUGGACCUUUACAACAAGAGAUUAUCCCCAAUCUCUUAACCCAAGUGUAUCCCAACACUUACAAUCUUUUAACUUGAUUUUACAAAAAAAAGAUUACAAAUGAAUCUCUCUCACACAAUAUGUUUGAUCACAAGUGAAAGCUCAAUGUGUGAAUGAAUGAGAUGAAUACAAGAAUUUAAAGCUCAAUGAAAGUUGUAUUCUCAAUAUUUUGCUCAAUGAUGAUUGUUGGAAUCCUUCUUGUUUGAAUUGGAUUGAGCUUAUUUAUAGUUGGAGCUGAAAAACUAGCCGUUACAAACUGUCUGCCCGAAAACGGCUCGCCGUUAACCAUUAACGGUUAACCGUUUACGCUGGUCAAAAGUUACCGUUGGGCCAAAUUUCAAACAAACGGUUAACCGUUUAGGCUUACCCUUUUGCCGUUAAAUUCCAGAGACCAGCAAAACAAAUUUGAUUUAACCGUUCUUACUAAACGGUUCAAGGUUAGCAAUCUAGAAAUAAUCAGUUAACCGUUUUCAGUAAACGGUUCACCGUUAUUUUCCAGAAUCAUCAUUUUAACAAUACUUUGCAGAACAUGCUUUCUGGAAAUUAUCGGUUAGCCGUUUGCUACAGUGUAAUUACUACAGUGAAAUUAUUUUCCAAAAUUACAAUUUGACCCCAAAACUUUAUAAACUAUAGUAUGGCCCAACACGUUAUGAAACAUUGCACAUAGGUCCAAUUUCAUAAUUUCUAAGUAAUGCUUUGUUAAUCCCAAAACUUUUUGAAAUUAUGGUAUAGCCCAAAAUGCUAUGACACUUUUCAAAUAAGUCAUUCUCCAAAAUUUCAAGCAAUAUUUGUUUAUUUCAAAGUUUUCAAAAUUCUUUCAAUUAAACCAUAAACUUUGAAAAACAACCAAUUUCAUAAAAUCAUUUUUCCAUUAAAUAUGAAACAUUUAUAAUGUGAAAAUAAUGAUUUAUUUAAAAAGAAUAAAAACAAUCAAUUUCUUGAAAUCAUUUUUCCAUUAAAUAUAAAACCUUUAUAAUGUAAAAGUAAUGAUUUAUUUUAAAAUGUAUAAAAAAUAAUUUGAUCUUAAAAGAUUAAUCAUUCUUAAUCUUGUUUGUUAUCAUCAAAAUCAAUAUUAUGGAAACAUAUAUGUUAACAACAUAUACAUCCUUUACUUUAUAAUCUUUUACUUUUGCUCUUAAGCUAAAGCAUUAAAAGGCCCCAUAUCCACUCUUUAUAUAUAUAUAUAGGGAGAAUGACAAUUUUCUCCCAUACUGUAAUCAAUAUAUAUCAUUUACGUCCUACUUUUUUAUAAUAACCAAUAAUCCUUGGAUAGCAUAAUUUAACAAUAUUAUUUUUGGUUUAUUUUAAUUUUUGUUCAUUUGAUUUCAUAGUAGUAGUUUUCAUUUUUUUAGUUUAAAAUUUGUAAAAAUGAACUAAAAUGAGAUAAUUUUGAAUAAGAAUCAAAACAAAAAAAGGCCCAAAAUUACCCCUAUUCCGAACAUUAUCUGAAUCCAUCAUAAUUGACCCAAAUUCAAAUUUAACUCAAACCCAACCUCGGCCUCAUAUAAUUAUAACCUGAUCCGAUCUAGACUCAACCCCAAAGUUUUGAUUUGAUCUAAUCAAAUUCGAAUAUUCCAAGCCAAUCAACCUAAAACCCAAUCAAGUUCAUCCAAACCCAAAUUUGCGUACUCCUAGAGGGGACCAUCACCCUAUAAGCUUUGAAUUUUUUUUUGAGGUUUUUAAAUGAAAUAUUCAAAAUUAGGUAUAAAAUGACUGAUUUGCCCUUGAAUACUUGAUACAUAAACUUGAUACAUAUAAUGAAACUUUAAUUGUAUAUUUUGUGAAAUAAAAUCAAUUAAACCUGAUUUUUUUUAUUUGUUAAUUAUUUUUCAUAGCCUUUUUUAAAAGUUUGUAAGUUUGGGCCUACCUCUUUGAUUGUAUGUUGUUCAUUUUGCUUUCUCUUGCAACAAUAGUUUCAAAUAUCAGUCACAAAAUUCUCAAAUUUUGGAAUACCCUACAUACUAGCUAUAAAUAGAAAAAACUGAAUAAAAUUAAUCCCCAACUAACACUUGAAAUUUGAACUUGGGCCUCAUGAAGAUUUACUCUGAGCUCCGCCCCUGAUAUGCAAUAAAAUAUUAGUUUUGCUAGUGAAAUUUUCAAUUAUGUUUUUUUUUUUGUAUUUUCCGCUUAGGGAAGAAGAAAUUUCCUACAACUAUUGUGGUGAAUAUCUUGUGAAUUUAUGACAGUUUAAUCUUUAGUUUGCCACUUGCUUAAAAUGAAAAAGGGAAAAGGGUAUUUAUAUCUCUAAGGUUUGGAGAAAUAGUCACCAACACUACAAGUUUUCUAAAAAGGACAUCAAGACUCCUUUUUUACCAUAAUACCCUUUACUUUUAGUACCUCGAAAAAUUUAACUUGCAAAUGAAUAAAUACAAAUAUUAUAUAAAUAAUGUAAUCUACUUUGUAGAUUAAUAAUAUAAUCUACUUUGUAGAUUAAUAAUAUUUAAAUAUUUAAAUAAAUUUAAAUAUGUAAAUUAAUAAAUUUAUUUAAUAAUAUAUUUGUAUUUAUUGCAUUUUACAAUUAAAAAAGUCUCACAUACUAAUAAUGUUAAAAUUAUUAUUUUACAUAAUAAUUUAAAUUUUAAUACAUUUAUUUUAAUAUUAUGUUUACAUUUAUCAUAAAAUUUACUUUAACAUAAUAAAAUAUAUUAAUAGAUUGUAAAAUAUUAAAAUAUUUUUAAAUAUUGAAAUUAUUUUAAAAUGUAUAAAUUAUUACAUUUAUUUUAAUAUUAUAUUUCUCUUUACUAUAAAAAAUUAAAGUUAAUUUUUGGGAUAAUAAAGGUAAAGGGUAUUGCAGUAAGAAAGAAGUUUUAGUAUCUUUUAUUGAAAACUUAGGAGCAUUGGUAACCAUUUCUCCAAACUUUGGGGAUAUAAGUGUCUUUUUCCUAACAAAAAAUGACAUUUUUAAUAGGAGAUAUAAUAAGCUUUGUUCUAUAGAAAAAUCCAUCAGAUAUAUUAUGCCCCCGGUUGCUAUGUUAAAAAUAAGUAAUUCUUCUUUUUGUAUAUUAAAAUAGUAAAAGGGUGGAUAAUAUUUAAAUUUUCUUUUAACCUUUUAUCUUUUUUGACAUUCGAAUUUUAAACUCGAGAAAUAGACUUCCUGAGAGGUUAACUAAAUUCUUAGUAAUUUGAUAUAAUUUCAUAACCGUUCUCCAAAAGCAUUACGAUAUUUAUUAAAAUCAUUAUGGGACUGAUUUUAUUCUCUUUUUUUUUCUCAACAAAAUAUCCGACUGCAGAUGUAAUAAAUUACUCAUUACAAUUAUUUGAGUCCCCACUCUAAAUUAGAUUUUGAAGUUUGUCCUGACAUAAUAAAGUUACAUUUUCAAAUGACCAAAUCAAUUAAUGAGUCUGACAAAAAGAUGUUGUCGGCCAAGUUGAAAAAUAUAAUAAAUAAAUUGUCAGGAGAUGAUUUUUUCUGAAAUUUCAUUUUCAAGGUCCAGAACACAUUCAAAUUUCCGCUGAAAUUCAUAAUGGAUUCAUAUGAUCGGGCGAAAUUACACUAUACAAUUUCAUCAAUACCUAUUAAACGAUAAAAAGUUUAUUGAUUAUUUAUAAUUAAAAAAAAUCUAUCUACUAAGACUAUUCUAGAUCAAUAAUUAAUAUAUUAUAUAUAACUUCAGAAGGUUCAUCGGCGUAUUGAUCUAAGCCUUUUGUAGUAGUUUAUAAAUAUUUUGUUGCUUAUAAUGUAAGAAAUUUUACAGGAGUUGAUGCUGAGUAGUCUGAAUAAGAAAAUUAAUUAUAUUGUAAGUUAUUGGGUAUUUAUAAUAAAAUAAACAAUAAAAAAUGAAUAAAAAUUUAAAUACUUAAUUAAUUUUUAUCAAAUUCUUAUCAAAUAUUUAAAAUAUAUAUAAAAUCAAUUAAUUGAUGAUGUUGUUAAUUUUCAUGAUAUUUUUAAUAUUAUAUUAGUGAUUAUUAAAUUUAAUACAAUCAAUAAUGCUAUAAAUUAUUAAAUGGUUAAUUUUAUUGACAAAUUAUCAAAUAUGCAAAUAAUGAAAAAUUAAUCUCAAGAGUUGGUAGAAGUAAAGUUCCAAUUUAAUCAGAUAAUAAAUAAAAAUAAUUUUUAAGUAAAUUAUAAAUAAAAAAUAAUUAAUAUUAAGUAUAAAUAAACAAUAAUGAUAGAAAUUAAAGUCUCAUAAGAGCAUCUCCAAAAGACUCUUCAAAUAAGAUUCUACUUCUUAUUUGAAGAGCCAUGUCAAUAUUUUACACUCCAAAAGACACGUUAAUUUAAAUUCUUCAAAUAAAAUUUAUUUUUCACUCUUCAAUAUUGCCGAGUGAGUUUCUCCCUCUUCUAUUAAUAUUUUAUUAUUAUUUAUUGAAAAGAUAAGACUGCAAUAAUUAUUAUUUAUGUUUCUUUUAAAAAAUAUAAUAACAAUACAAUUUGAUAGUGGAAAAAUUUGAUUAAAAUAAUAUUAAUUUAUUCUUAUUUGGUGAGUCUUUUGGAGGGGAUUAUAUUUUUUUAUACACUUAUUUGCCACAUCAGUAAGCAAAUUGAAAUUUAAAGAGUAAAAUUUAAAGAUCCUUUUGGAGAUACUCUAAAUAGAUAACUUUUUUUCUUUAAUUUUAUCCCAACUAAAAUCAUGUGUAAAUUACAAUGAUUAAUCCCAUAAUUUUAGGAUGAAACUUAAAUUUAGUCCCCGAGUCCAAUUCAAUUAAUUUAACAAACAGGAGAUAAAUAUUUAAUAACAAAAUUAGUCCAAUUUCGUACUUAAUACUAGUAUAUGAACAUGGCCUGAUAAAAUAAUUUAGGUAAUAUGCUUCUAUGACUCACAAUUUAAAUAAAUUUGAGAAUUUAUAUAAGGGAUGGAAAAUUCAUAAUAAUCAUAACAUGUGCUAUCUUUUCUUCCUUUUCUUAAUUAAAUAAAAGAAAAAUAUUAAUCACAGAACCACUGCUGUUUAAAAUGACCCGAUGAUCGAUGAAGUCGCAUUCGCCUAUCUAAUAUUGCGCAAUCAGAUAAAUUCUCAAAUUUUAAAUGAAUUUAAUCUGCAAUUAGAUCAAUAACUACACAAUAAAGAUUAAAAAAUUUCAAAUUAUACUUGAGUUAAAAUUUGAUUCUUUUUUAUUAUUUAAAGUGAUUUAUUUAUAAUUAUUUUAACCCAAUUAGAUUUUUUUUUUUAAUGCUUGGUCUAUGACAGAAUUGAUCCUCAAAGUUUAAUUAAGCCUGAGAUGGAUACUCUCAGCAAUUUAUUAGAAUCUAACAGGAAAAGAGAGUUGCGAUUUGUAUGUGUAGAAAGAAAAUGUCAAAACGAAAUGUUAAUGUCACUUGUAGAGAGAGAGUUGGGACUGAUGAUCUGCAAUUUAGUCAUGAAAAAUUAGUGAUUAAAUACAACUAAAUUUCAGUUCUUUCUUUGGGAUCCAGAAAAAAAAUAAAAUUCCCCCUCAAUUUUCUGUUUGCAAGGGGGUAACUGUAAGCACAGUCUGAUUUUAUUUUCAGGGAAUAAUAUCGGUGAACCACCGUCGGGGAAAAUUUGAAGUCUAAACAGGUCAUUCACAGAUAAGGCCAAAGAGUAAAACAGGUCGUUCAUCGUGCAUUUGGAUUCCUUUCAUCUGGUUAAUUAUUGAAGACAAGAUGAAAACGCAACUAAUGUCAAUAUUUUAAUUUGGAAUGGGGGCCGUGUAUGGUGUAUAAAAUAGCAUUAAUUGUUGUCUGUGUUUGUUGUUUAAUAUAUAUAUAUAUAUAUAUAGGUCUAAACAGGUCAUUCACAGAUAAGUCUAAACAGGUCAUUCACAAACAGGUCAUCUUAUGAAUUAUUGAAGACAAGUAGCUGUUCGACGCCAGCACUUUUCAAAUCUGAAGAGCAAUUAGACAAUAUUUCUAUUUCAAAUUGGGGCCACACUCCAAAAAAAUUGCAAUAAUUCUCUGUUUUAUACCAAAUAUUGCGCAAUCAGAUAAAAAAAGGGUCGGCUGCAUGAUUUUUCCAACUUUUGUUUUAUUUUUUCUCUUUUCCACGGGCAUGUUAUAUUUAACAAUUCUCUUUUUGUCGUGACAUAAUGGACUAAAACGGAAUCACAACUUUUUCAAAUGACCAAAUGGCUUCGCCCUACCUGAUAAUAAAAGGCCAUAUAGAUGAGAAAUGGAUCCAUACGUUAAAGCUAUAUUAAAACAUAUAAUAAAUAAAUAGUCAGGAGAUGAUUUUUAUCAAAAAUUUCACUCGCACGGUCCCGACCAAAUACAAAUUUGUGAUGAUAUUCAUAAUGAAUUUAUACAAUUAGGCGAAAUUACUCUAUAUAGUUCCAUCGAUAUAUAUUAUACCAUUAAAAAUAUACUAAUAUUUAUAAUAAAAAAAAUUUAUGACUAUUCUAAAUCGACUGUAUUAUAUGUGAACUCACAAGAUUCAUCGAUAGAUUGCACUGAGCUUUUUGUUGCAGUUUACAAAUAUUUUGUUACUAAUUAUCUUAAGAGCGGCAAGUAACUAAAUACAAAUGUAAGAAAUUUUACAAGUGCUGAUGCUGUGUACUCCGCAGAAAGCUAGCCCACGACGGUGACUCCUGUUGGGACUCCUUCAAUUUGCAGCACAAAAGAACGUUCACAUUGACAUUGACUUGAGGGUAAAAAUUAAAAUAUCUCCAAUUAGUAUAAGAAGAAUCCAAACAUGCUUGAAUGAACAUUCUCUCAGAAUACAUAAAAGCUACUUUCCUCUGAGCAUUUUAGCAGCACGAAAAGCAAUUGCAGCAUUUACCAUUUGAUCUAAUAUCAGAAUGGCUCAUGCGAUCGUUUCCUCUCUCCUGGACCAGCUGAAUUCCAUUGCUCAAGAUCAGGUGAAAGAAAAGUGGAGGCUUGUGACGGGUGUCGAACAAGAAGUGGGAAAGCUUACCACCAAUCUUCAAGCCAUUCAAUCUGUGCUGGAAGAUGCAGAGCAGAGGCAAAUGAAGCAGGACAAAGCUGUUACUUUUUGGCUGGAUCAGCUCAGAGACACAUCCUACGACAUGGAAGAUGUGUUGGAAGAGUGGUUCACUGAAACACGGAAAUUGCAGCUUGAUGAGGGACGCGAUGAUGAUGAUGAUGAUAACGACGGUGCUUUUGUUACUUUUUUGACGAAGGUAUGUUCCUUCUUUCCUGCUGCCUCAAACUGCUUCGGUGGUUUCAAACAACUCAGUCUUCGUCAUCAUAUUGCUGUCAAGAUUAGAGAAAUCAGUGAAAAGCUAGAUGAUAUUGCCACUCGAAAAGAUAGGUUUAAUUUUGUUGAGAAUGUGAGUAACAAUGUUAGGAAUCCAGAGCGAGUGCGAACCAUCUCCUUGAUUGAUGAGGGAGAGGUUUGCGGUAGAGUUGAUGAGAAAAGUGAGCUCUUAAGCAAGUUGUUGGGUGAAAGUAGUGAACAACAAGAAGGCCUUCAUAUCAUCUCACUAGUUGGGUUAGGGGGUAUAGGUAAAACCACUCUUGCACAACUAGCCUAUAAUAAUGAUGAGGUGAAAAGAAAUUUUGACAAAGUUAUAUGGGUAUGUGUAUCAGACACUUUUGAGGAGAUUAGGGUCGCCAAAGCAAUCAUUGAAGGUUUAGGUGUGUCAGCUUCUGGUUUAAGCGAAUUCGAAUCUCUUAUGAAACAGAUUCAGGAAUAUAUUACAGGGAAGAAAUUUUUUCUUGUUUUAGAUGAUGUGUGGGAUGGAGAUUACAAAAAAUGGGACCUAUUCUUUUCUUGUCUAAAGAAUGGCCACCAUGAAAGUAAAAUUCUAAUUACCACACGUGAUAGGUCAGUUGCACUACAGUUGGGAUCAAUAGAUAUUAUCCCUGUCAAGGAGUUGGGUGAAGGGGAAUGUUGGUUACUGUUUAAGCAUAUAGCAUUUCUACGUAGGUCCUUUGAGGAUUGUGAAAAAUUAGAACCAAUCGGGAGAAAAAUAGCAUGUAAGUGCAAAGGCCUGCCUCUUGCUGCAAAGGUAAUAGGGAAUCUCUUGCGCUCUAAAAGUACAGAAAAAGAGUGGCAAAGAAUUUUAGAUAGUGAAAUGUGGAAAGUAGAAGAGAUUGGGCAAGGUCUUUUAGCUCCUUUGUUGUUGAGUUAUAACGAUUUGCCCUCCAAUUCUAUGGUAAAACGGUGUUUCUCAUAUUGUGCUGUCUUUCCAAAAGACUACGAGAUGGAUAAAGAGGAGUUGAUUGAUCUGUGGAUGGCUCAAGGUUACCUUAAUGCAGAAGAAGACGAAGAAAUGGAGAUGAUUGGAGAAGAGUAUUUCAACAUCUUAGCAACACGCUCUUUCUUUCAAGAGUUUAAAAUAUAUGAUGACGAUGAUGAUUUUACGAGUUGUAAGAUGCAUGACAUAGUACAUGAUUUUGCCCAAUUUGUAAGUAGCAAAGAAUGUUUGUGGCUAGAAAUUAAUGGUACCAAGGAAUCAGUCAUAAACUUUUUUGGUGACAAAGUCCGUCACUUAGGGUUAAAUUUUGGAGGAGGAGCUUCAUUUCCUAUGACCAUUUAUGGACUUAAUAGAUUGCGUACCCUCCUAAUUUAUGACCAAAGUUUUGUCAAUUUAUCUCUUAACAGUAGCAUCCUUCGGGAGUUAUUUAGUAAAUUGGCAUGUUUAAGGGCAUUAGUUAUAAGGCAAUCGACCAAGCUUUUGUAUGAAGACACAAAUUGGAUUACGGAAAUUCCAGAUAAUGUUGGAAAAUUGAUACAUUUAAAAUAUCUUAAGUUGUCUAAAUUGUAUAUAGCGAGACUACCUGAGACUUUGUGUGAAUUAUAUAAUUUACAAAAACUAGAUAUUAGGCGGUGCAAAUAUCUUAGAGAAUUGCCUGCGGGGAUUGGGAAGUUAAAGAACAUGAGGAGUUUACUGAAUGAUCAAACUGAAAAGCUGAAGUACCUGCCAAUAGGGAUUUCCAGAUUGACCAGCCUUCGAACAUUAGAAAAGUUUGUUGUGGGUGGAGGUGUUGAUGGUGGCAGCACGUGUAGGCUUGAAUCUCUGAAAAAUCUUCAACUCCUUCGAGAAUGUGGAAUAGAAGGGCUGAGUAAUGUAUCGCAUGUAGAUGAGGCUGAGAGGUUACAACUUUACAAUAAGAAAAACCUCCUUCGUUUGCGUCUUGAGUUUGGUGUAGUCGUAGAUGGGGAAGGCGAAGAAAGGAGGAGGAAGAACGAGAAAGAUAAACAACUUCUUGAAGCCUUACAACCGCCUUUGAAUGUAGAGGAAUUAUGGAUUGAAUCCUAUGGAGGCGUCAUUUUUCCCAAAUGGUUGACUUCACUAACCAAUCUAAGGAAUUUAUAUCUUUCCUUGUGUUUUAACUGUGAGCAUUUGCCUCCUUUGGGAAAAUUGCCUCUGGAAAAACUCAUCCUAUGCAAUUUGAUUGGUGUAAAAAGAGUGGGUAAUGAGUUUUUAGGAAUAGAAGAAAGCAGUUAUUGGGACGACCCAUCUUCAUCUUCAUCGUCAUCAUCAGUUAUUGCCUUCCCCAAAUUGAAAUCUCUCAAAAUUUGGUUCUUGGAUGAAUUGGAAGAGUGGAAUUACAGGAUUACGAGGAAGGAAAACAUCUCCAUCAUGCCACGUCUUUCUUCCUUGAAAAUUAAGCAUUGCCCCAAAUUAAAGGUGCUGCCGGAUUACCUUCUUCAAACGACGACGCUGCAGCACUUGAGUAUUCAGGGAUGUCCUCUUCUGGAAAACCGUUAUCGAGAGGGGAAAGGAGAAGACUGGCAUAAGAUAUCUCACAUUCCCCACAUCAAGUGGCGGUAAAUUCUCGAAUGGUUGCAAUUACUAUCACCCACCGGUAAUUGCUCUCCUCUAUUUUACUUUGUUGUUACUUCAAACAACGACACUGCAAACAUUGACAAUUUUAUAGAACGCAUUAGUACAUGUCAAUAACAAGACCAAUUAGAUUAUGGCAUUGCUUUAUUUUAUUUAUUUAUUUUUUUGAUUCUUUUGAAAUAAGAUCAAUUAAUUAGAUCAUGCUAGAAGUUAAUUUUUUUUUUUCAAAUGAAAAAGGAGCAGUCAUACAAAGUUUGAAUAUAAAAUUUAUAAUCUAAAACUAAUGAUGUGACAAUUAACAUGUUAUUAACCUAGCUAAUAGAGUUGGAAGUCCCAAAUACAUCAUAUUCUGCUCCAGAAAUCAAUUCCACCUAGAAUACUUCUUUCUAUUGAAAUUAAUGAUGAUUUGUUUGUUUGCAUCAUGAAAGUCAAAAAUAAUUUUAUGAGUAAUUUGAUUCUUUACGGUACAAAAAAUAAAUUUGGAAAGUACUAAUUUCUCUCAUACUUUUUGGGCUAAAAAAUAAAUGUAAGUCUAACAUAUUUAUUAUAUAAUGGUUCUAUAUAGAAUCAAUCAUGGUAUAAAUAUGUAAAACUUCCUAGUUAUCAAUUUUGUCUUGCAUAAUGAUAAUCGUUUUUUUUUAUAUAUAAUUUAUGUAACAUUAAUUCUUUAAAGUAAUUGUGGAAUUGUUUUUACUACAUUAGCCCUCUUUGUUUUAUUUCAUACGAGUUUAAUUAUGUUCACCAGGGAUUCGAGGAAAUGUCAGAACUACACUAGCAAUUCACAGGUCCAAUCUAAUUUGGUUUUAAUGAUGCAUGCAGGAGAGCAAGAUUAUGAAAAUGAAAAGUUUAGCCAAAGGAUUGCUAAACUGUUCUGCUGGUAAUUCACUUGCUUUAUUUUAUAGAAUUUCAUUUCCAUCUUCUUCUAUUGAUAUCUUGUUGUGAAUAAACAAGCACAGAGAAGUAAAUGAUUGAACCACGGAGAAGUAAAGAUAUAUCCAAAUUCGAUUAUUAUGAUGAUUAAAGCAAGCUCAAGCUCAAGCACUGCAUUUUUUUAUUUUAUUUAGUUUAUAGAAUUUUCAUUUCCACCUGCAUUGCAUUUUUACUUCAUUUUUAGGUUGACGUUGAAGACUCUUAUGGAGAACAUUGGGGUAACCAAGGAUUAUCACUGUGGUUAUUGUGCAACGUUUGGUUGCUGGACUUUGAAGAAGGAAGUGAUGGCCGGGUCUGCUCUGUUUCAAUUGAGGAUGGAUAGCUGCCUGAAAGAUAUGAUGAUUAUUAUUGCAUGAUAUUAAGGUGCUAAGAUCAUCAUUUCUAUCUUGUUUCAUUCUUGGAAUCAUUUAUCCUAUAUAAACAUAUUGAAUUGUGCUAAUAUUAUCAUAUGCGUCAAUGGAGGCAGGAAUUUGGUGUUGACACUAUUAUGCAGGUAACCACACUUCAUAGUUUGCACAAAUUUGCGUUGUCAGAAUAUCCUUUAAUAUUCAUUGUGUUUCUGUGUGUUAUCAGGUUAUCAUCUCCAAGGGUUUGAAAGAGCCUUUGCAGUAAAGUCAGUUUUCACCAGCUCGUGCAAUUGCAAAUUCAUUCAGAGUACUUCAAUAUUGGGUUUUCAAGUUUUGUAUGUUUAGUCGAUUAAAAUGUUUAGUCACUCAUUCUUAAUCAUUUCUGAUUUUCAAGUUCUUUAGGGCCAUAAACAGUUUUUCAAACUCAUUCUUAUUUUUUAGGUUGAUUUCCUACUCGUGGAGAACGUUGGGAAGUCCAAGGAUUAGGCUGGCGAUGGAACUACUACCUCUGUUGUUAUUGUACAAGGUUUGAUCGCUGGACCUUGAACAAGAAAGCCUUACACGCAUUCUGUAAUUGAAGCGUUCUCUAAAGCAAAAGAGCAGUAGAAGGAAUAGUGUUGGCCGGAUCUGUUCUAUCUUAAUUGAAGAUCUCUGUGAUGUUGAGGAGCUAAUGAUUGUUAAGGCAUAUUUUCAUGAACUUCCUUUCUUAACAAAUGUUUCAAUGCUGGCUGUAGUAACAAUUUCAUAUCUUGCAUCUCUCGGGUGCAUCAUGUUCUCGGGUUUGAAAAAGCAUUUGUGGUAAUGCUUCAAAGCUUGUACAAUGGCUGUGAAAAGGCACAUUCAAUUAGGUACGUUUUGGUGCGGUCUCUCAAUGCUAAUAUUAUAUUUUGUAUAGCAAUUAAAAUUUAGCUAUACAAUCUUAAUAUGCAAUAAAUCAUUGUAUACAAAGUUUUCCAUUAAUUAUGUGGUGACAGAAAUUUUAAUUAUCAUAUAUCAAUUUAAAUUUUUUUGUAACUCUCUCUUACUUUGCUUGUACAGAGUACCUGUUUUGGCUGAUAUGUCUAAUUCGUAGAAAUUCAUUUCCAUCGGUUUCCAUUGGCUUUAGCACAAACCGAAACAGAUCUCUGGGGAAAAGUUUUACUUCUUGUGAUAUUAUGCCUCUGUUUCUUCAUUCAUCAUAUUUUUCGAAUUCAUGCUCUCAUUCAGAGGGUAAAGCCUUUUCCAGGCUUCUUUGUAGCCAAACUUUGACGCCUUUGAUGCAUGACUGUCAUUUAGAUUUUCCAAAUAACUGUUAGAUUGGAGAAGAAUAAGAAGAUACUGUUAAAAGGGUAUUUAAUUAAUGUAGUCAAUUACCCUCUGAAUUUCUUGGAGUUAAUGUAGUCAAUUACCCAAUCUUGCUUCAAACUCUGACAUACCUAAUAAAUAGUAGGAGGGGGUGGUAUUCGCCUGGUGUUAAUUUCCUGGCAAGUAUAGUUCACAGAUAGAGGGGUUCUUUUCUUGAUGUCUAAAUACCGUAUGUGAUACAACAUCGUGUAUUCCAAUUUUUCUCCAGUUAAAUUUUAAUACGUUAGUAAAGUUAAUUUUGUUUUAGCGAUGAAUUGUUUUCUUAAUAAUAAUAAUUGCCAUGUUCCUCUGAAGUCUUAUUAAUGCCACGUCAUCGAUCCGUCUAUGCGAACAGUGUCGUGAACAGUACCAUACAUGUGAAUAGUACCGUACAUGUGAAUAGUGCCAUUUUUCCGUUUAUGCUCCUCCUAAGGUUUUCGACCGUCUUGAGUUCAAAAGUGAUGUCCGUUUUGCCGUCUGAUCUCUCGUUUAUUGUGAAAUGACCAUGAUACCCCUAAAAUACAUAAAAUACUUAAUUAAAAAUCAAACACACAUAAUUAAAUUGCAAGAAGCUUAAAUACAUAAAAGUAAGGGUUGUUAGUAAAACUUGAAAUGUAAAAUGAUGAUUUUCUCCUUUAUAAAUAUACAUUUUCUAACACUCAACACCGGCUUCUUAAUUAUUUGUUAAAUCAGGUUUUUCUUAUCAAGUACAUCAUCUUAUUCACCAUUUUGGCUAUAUCAGAAUUUGCUAUUACCAUGAUGUCAAAGCAAGCUCAAGCACUAGAUCCCUAAUAAUAAUGCAUUGCAUUUUCAUUUUAUUUUUAGGUUGGUUUGAAGACCCUAUGGAGAACAUUGGGGUAAUCAAGGAUUAGGCUGGUGAUCGAACUACUUCCACUGUGGUGUUGUGUGCAACGUUCAGUUGCUGGACUUUGAAGAAGAAAGUGAUGGCCAGGUCUGCUCUGUUUCAAUUGAGGAUGGAUAGCUGCCUGGAAGGCAUGAUGAUUUUUGUUGCAUGAUAUUAAGGUACUAAGAUCAUCAUUUCUAUCUUGUUUUUUUCUUUGAUUGGUUUAUCCUCUAUAAGCAAAUUCAAUUAUGGUAAUAUUACCAUUUUUUCACCCAAUUUUCACCGUUGGUUGUAAUAACAAUUUCACGUACUCAAAAGCUACAGAGCAAAGCACAUGUGGGCUGAUCAUAUGCUUCCAUGGAGGAAGGAAUUCGGUAUUAACACUAUUAUGCAGGUAACCACAGUUGUUAAUUUGCACAAAUUUUGCAUUGUCAGAAUGCCCUUUAAUAUUCACAGUGUUUCUUUUUGUUAUUCAGGUUACCAUGGCAUGUAGAGUAUCAUCUUUGAGGGUUUGUGAGAGCCUUUGCAGUAAAGUUACCGGCUCGAACAAUUGCACAUUCAUCGAGAACAAUUUUAGAUUUGCAAGGUUGCGAUUAGCAGGCUUAGUCACUCAUUCCUAAUCUUUUUUGAUUUUCAAGUUAUUUAGGUCCAUUAACCGUUUUCGCACAUGUUUCAAUGCUAGUUGUAAUAACAAUUUCUUAUCCUGCAUCUCUAAGGUGCAUCACGUUUGAAACAGCUUUUGCGGCAAAGUUUCAAUGCUUGUACAAUGGCCGUGAAGAGGUACAUUCAAUUCGGUACAUGUUGGUGCAGUCUUCUAAUGCUAAUAUCAUGUUGUGUAUAUUUAAUUUGCAAUUAAAACAUAGGUAUACAUUCUUAAUCUCCAAUAAAUCAUUGUGUACAAAGUUUUCUAUUAAUUAUAUGGUGACUAAAAGUUUAAUUAUCUUAAAAUUUUUUGUAACUCUCUUUUACUUUGCUUGUACAGAGUACCUGUUUUGGCUGACAUGUCUAAUUCGUAGAAAUUCAUUUCCAUCAGUUUCCAUUGGUGCUAGCACAUACAGAAACAGAGCUCUACUUCUUAUGGUAUUAUGCCUUUGUUUCUUCAUUCACCAUAUUUGUUCGUGUAAAAAACACAGAUUAGAAUGAAUAAUUUCUAUAUUUUAUUGAUGAUAAUUACUCCUCUUUAAAUAGAUUACAGGGGCAUAAAUCAAAUCCCACAAAAUCAGAGCUAUGACAUCUAGAAAUCUAAUUCUAAGGAAACAAAUCAAUAAACCUAUUUAAGGAAACAAAUCUUGCCAAAUAACAUAGAUCCUAAUAUAUACAAUUCUAAUUAUGUAUAAUUUUGAUUUCAUCCACACUCCCCCUCAAGCUUGGCUAUAGAUGUUGAUGAGACCAAGCCUGCCUUCAAGAAACUCAUGAGUAUGUUCUCAGAGUCCUUUGGUGAGGAUAUCAGCCAGUUGGUGAGAUGUAGGCACAUAUUCAAGCUUGAUAAUGUUUCCAUCAAGCUUUUCUUUAAUAAAAUGUCGAUCAACCUCCACAUGUUUAGUCUUAUCAUGAUGAACAGGAUUGUGAGAUAUACUAAUUGCUGACUUAUUAUCACAAUAGAGCAGCAUAGGUUCUUCAAAUCCAAUCUUUAAUUCCUUCAACACCCUUCUUAUCCAGAUAAACUCACACACUCCAUGUGCCAUUGCUCUAAACUCAGCUUCCGCACUACUUCUAGCAACCACUGACUGUUUUUUGCUACGCCAAGUCACCAGAUUUCCCCAUAGCAACGUGCAAUAACCAGAUGUUGAUUUAUGAUCAUUAAUUGAUCUAGCCCAAUCAGCAUCUGUGAAUGCUUUCACCUUUCGAUCAUUGGUCUUUGCAAAAAUAAGCCUUUUUCGGGUGUUCGCUUCAAGUAUCUCAGGAUUCUAUCUACUGCAUUCAAAUGACCUUGACAUGGUGCAUGCAUAUGUUGACUUACUAAACUCACUGCAAAGGCAAUAUCCGGUCUUGUAUGUGAGAGAUAGAUGAGCUUUCCAACUACAGGUGAUAAGAUGUUGCUUGAAUUCAGCAUCUUGUAUUGCGAUGAUUUUGCCCACAUGAGGUUCUGUGAUUCUUGACAUCAGGAUAACUCAGGUCAAUUUUUUGUAUCAGCAUAUAUCAUCUUGUUUACUGUUUUGCCUUCAAAGAAUAAACUUUAGUGAAGUUGUUUUUGUUUGUGUAAGUUAUCAGGUUAAGGAUACUAAGCAGCUUAUUAAGGCAAAUGUCAUAAUGAAGAUUGUUCACCACACCUGGCAUUUAUGAUGGCAAGGAAGAUUAAUUGUUCACAAGCCAAUUUGAUGAGUGUUAGAUUUUUGGCUUUAUAUAUUAUUAGAGCUCUCCCUUCUGAGAGAUAUCUCAUUAAAUUGAGUAGAGCUCUCCCAAUAAUCGCAAGCUUUCAUUUGUUUGUAAAAUCAUCUUCUUAUAUUGAUUGUGUUUCCUUGUGUUAUCAAGUAGAGUAUCAUCUUCAAGGGUUUAAAAAAGUCUUUGCAGUAAAGUUUCAACCAGUUGCUGUGAAGAGGCAUAUUCAUUUGAGUAAUUCAGUUUCAGAUUUUCAGGGCAUGUAUGUUUAAUUAGUUUUGAUUAUGCUCUAAAUCUAACAAAAGUAUAUUUCUACUUCUUGUGGUUAUUUUACUUUUGUAUUUUCUGUCAUCAUUUUGAUUAAUUCAUUCGAAUUCAGACUCUCAUUAUUUAAAACCAUUUUCAGGUGGCUUGCACGCUAAUUAAGAAAUUGGAAAGUUAUCAUUGCUUGAAUGAAAGCACCAUCUUCUUUUGUCAAGGCUUUCCCCACACGAUGAGAUUAUGUGCUUGUUAUCGGCCGCUUAAUUAUUUAUUAAAUCAGGUUUUUGUUAUCAAGUACAUCAUCUUAUUCACCAUUUUGGCUAUAUAUAAAGAUUAAAAUUUCUAACAGUUGUUUCAGAUUCUUGUGCACUCAGGUUAAUAGUGCAAAUGUCAGAAUGAAGAUUGUUCAGUGCAACCGGUAUAGCAAGGAUGAUAGUGGUGAGGAAGAUUGUAACACCCCAGUUCGAAAUCCAAGGGCAAAUAUGUCCACAACUCACAUAUGAUUUAAAUAACUCUUUACAAACAAUAAAAUUCGAGCCUCAAAUACAAAAGCCAGCAGAAUAACUUAAAAAUUUAGCCAAACCAUCUACUAUCUUCAACUUGUCACUCAUCACGAAAUAAUCCUGACUUCUGGAAACUGAAUCACAAUAAACUAUAAUGAGUACAAAACUCAGUAAGAAACUAGUUUUUCUUAUAGAAAAUACAUACAUACUUAUACAUAAUGCAAUGGAUGAUAUGCCAUGAUCUUUUGGAAAUAUUGUAAAAUAAAUUCAUAAAAAUCUCUUUCUGUCGCCUUCAAACUUUCUCAUUUUCUUUCGAUGAAAUACGUAUCCUGCAAUGUCGCACUUUGUGCUGUGCGUGGCACUUUGCGGCACUCUGGCCCUCAAGAGGUGGCCCCUGCAUAGUCUCAAGAGGUGGCCCCCCCACAACUUCAAGAGGUGGCCCCCAAUGUAAAAAUCUCAUAAAACAGAAAUUCCGUUUGCUAAAAUCCACUUUCUCAUUCAUAGAAAAUUCAAUGCAUUUUCGUGCUCAUGCCAAUGAACCAUCACACAUACAUAUGCCCAUGUACAUAAUCACGCCCAUUACAUAACAACACAUCACAUAAACACAUGAGCAGAGACAUAUAAAUCCAUAUUCGUACAUAUCAAAAUAGGCUUUUCAUACAAGUCAAACAUAUAUAUUAUUUAUUGUGAUUCGUUUUAAAGUCUAGUUCACUUACCUCUUGGCAUCCUCAUGUAACAAAUGUGUACUGAUACCAUCAACCUAAAAUCAUCAAUAAAUUCUCAUAAGAUAUAAUCAAAUCUCAAUCAUAAACUCUAAUGUCCUCAAAUAUCUCAAUUUAAACAACUCUUAAGCUCAACCUCAAAUGUCCUCAAUAAUCGGCCCUCAAAACAUAACAGUCCAUACUUCUCCGAUUUUUAAUAAAUUAUUCUCUUAUUGGAAGAAUCUCAAAUUUUACAGACCAUAUGCUGACACAUUGAAAGUUCAUUGAUAAAAAUUUCAUAACAUAAUUCCUUCCAAAACGAUUGAAAAUAAUUCACGUUUCAGACAUCAUCAAUACUGUCAAACAGUUUUCUGUUUUGAACACACUUGCUUUAAAAAUACAAAACAAUUUAUUUCUUUAUCAUAAAAUCAUGAAAAUUUCCAGAAUCAUACUAGACUUAUAUAAAACUCAUUGGUCCAAAUUUCAUAAGUUUGAAGAAGUCUAGAUAUGGUAGAAAUAAUUUCGUAAUUCACUGAAAUCAUAAAUUUCCAGGUUUUCAGACUUGACUUUGAAAAAUCAUAAUUAAUUGAAAUCUUAUCUGAUUAACUUGAAACAAGUUUCAAAACAUAUUAGACGAUGUCUAGUUUAACAUACCCAAAAAUCAGAAUCAAAAUCAAUUUUUACAAAUUACUAUGAUUUUCGUAAUAAUUCACUGUCAGCAUAUUUAUGUAAAAUCUUUGAUUUCUACUUCUAUUGCAAUCAUGCUUCUCCACAACAAUUUAAUAGAAACCAAUAAUUAAAACAUACCUCCAAAAAUUCUCCCAACAAUAACAACUUGAUCCAAUGUGUUGUCUAUGGCAAAACUAAGAAGAAGAAGAAGAGCUUCUUUUUUUUUUCUUUUCUCUCUUGUCUCUCCAUCUCUCUUUUUUAACCGAUCCCUCUUUUUCUCUCUCUUAUAAUGAAAAAGACAUCUUGUUCUAUUUAUACUAGGGUAAAAAGGAUCACUAAAAAUUAAAAAGACUUAAAUACCCUUAGGAGAUUUGGGGUAUUACAAAGAUUGUUGGCAAGCCAAAUAGAUCCCUCCAUUUUGAGAAAUAUCAUCCUCAAAUUUGAAUUGCUGAGCAUGUGAAGUGAAGCUAAAGCCUUAAUAAUGAGACCUUCCUGUGAAAGUUUCAUUUGAGUGAAUUGAACGUUCUUGGAGUGAGUGAGAAAUUAAGCAUAUAUCAGCGAUUAGUGAAUUUUUUUCUUUAACAUUAGUACACUCUUAUUUCUUAGUAAAAUUCUCUUCCCGUCUCUGACUGUGACGUAGACCAAAAGCUUAACAAUGUAAAAUUAUAUUGUUAUUUCCUUAUGCUUGUUUUGCUAUAUAUCAUUUCUGUGCAAUCAAGAAUGUAAUUUUGUAAUUAUUUAAUUCUGCUUCCGCAAACAUGCCGUAUUACAAGUGAUAUCUUGCAGAAUUUUCCCCCCCUUUUUUCUUUCUGCAUUAAAACUGCAACAAAUGGAAGUGACUGGCUUGAUUUUAGCUCCUGUAAAAAAGUGCUUGCGGCAAUGUCUUUUGUAUCAGCAAGUCAUCAAACAUCAUUUUACGCUUGAAGUUGGGCCUUCUGAAGAUUUACCCCAUAUGGAACAAAAUAUUGGUUUCGCUACUAAAAUUGCGAACUAUGUUUUUCUUUGUAUUUUCCGCUCAACUGUUGUGCUGAAUAUGUUGCGAACAUAUGACAAUUUAAUCUUUGGCUGAGACUUGUUUAAAAUAAAAAAUGACACUUUAAAGCAAUAGGAGACUUUUAUAUAUUAAAAUGGUAAACGGGUGGAUAAAACUCAAAAUAAAUUUUUGACAUUUUAUCUAUUUUGACAUUCGAAUUUUAAACUUUAGAAGUCAAGCAAUGAAUAAACCUUUUUGAGAGGCUAAUUAAAUUCUUAGUAAUUUCACAUAAUUUCAUUUCAUCAGAACAGUUUUAUCAAAAGCAAUUUUAUAAAUCGUUGUUGAAAGCUUUAUUCCUUAAUUAUCUUUCACAUAGUUUCUUUGUAAUGUGGGUAAGUCAUAGACCAUGGUAUGAUAUUUAUUAAAUAUCAAAAGAUACCUCUUCUAUGGCAAAGUUAAUUAGACAUGUCUUUAUAAUAAAACAUCAUUUAUUUUGAAAUUGAUCCAACACUAAGAUUAUUGUAGAUCAAAUUAGUCUAUUACAGAUAACUUCAGAAGGUUCAUCAGUAGAUUGUUCCAACCUUUUUGUCGUAGUUUACAAGUAUUUUGUUACUUAUAAUACAAGAAAUUUUACAAGUGCUGAUGCUGAGUAGUCUGAAUAAUUAUUAUGAAUCAUAAAAACAGGGCAGAUGCUGUACAAAUUUUACAAAUAUUUUGUUACUUAUAAUGUAAGAAAUUUUACAAGUGCUGAUGCUGAGUAGUCUGCAUAAUUAUUGAGGUGGUGGAGCAAAUGCUCAGUAGUCUGAAUAAUAAUUAUGAAUCGGAAAAAUAGGGCAGAUGCUGUACAAUUAUUGAGGUGGUGGAGCAGAUGCUCAGUAGUUUGAAUAAUUAUUAUGAAUCGGACAAACAGGGCAGAUGCUGUACAAUUAUUGACGUGGUUGAACAGAAAGCUAGCCCCAGACGGUGACUCCUGUGGGGACUCCUUUAAUUUGCAGCACAAAAGAACGCUCACAUUGACAUUGACUCACGGGUAAAAAUUAAAUAUCUCAUAUGGUAUAAGAAGAAUGCAAACAUGCUUGAAUCAACAUUCUCUCAGAAUACAUAAAAGCUACUUUCCUCUGAGCAUUUUAUCAAGAAAAGCAAUUGCUGCAUUUACCAUUUGAUCUGAUAUCAGAAUGGCUCAUGCGAUCGUUUCCUCUCUCUUAGACCAGCUGAUCUCUGUUGCGGCUGAUGAAGUGAAACAGCAGGUGAGGCUUGUGACGGGUGUCGAACAUGAAGUGGGAAAGCUUACCACCAACCUUCAAGCCUUUCAAGCUGUACUGGAAGAUGCAGAGCAGAGGCAACUGGAGAAGGAAAAGGCUGUUACUAUUUGGCUGGAUCAGCUCAGAGACGCAUCCUACGACAUGGAAGAUGUGUUGGAUGAGUGGAUCACUGCAAGGCUCAAAUUGCAGAUUGAGGGCAUUGAUGAUGACAAUGCUCUUGCUCUUGCUCCUCAUAAGAAGAAGGUACGCUCCUUCUUUUGUGCUGUAUCAAAUUGUUUUGGUAGUUUCAAACAACUUAGUCUUCGUCAUGACAUUGCCGUCAAGAUUAGGGAAAUCAAUGGAAAGCUAGAUGAUAUUGCCUCCCAAAAAGAUACGUUUAAAUUUGUUGAGAAUGUGAGUAACAAUGUUAAGAAACCAGAGCGAGUGCGAACCACCUCCUUGAUUGAUGAGGGAGGGGUUUGUGGUAGAGUUGAUGAGAAAAAUGAGCUCUUAAGCAAGUUGCUGUGUGGAAGUAGUGAACAACAAAAAGGCCUUCAUGUCAUUUCACUAGUUGGGUUAGGGGGUAUAGGUAAAACCACUCUUGCACAACUGGCGUAUAAUAAUGAUGAGGUGAAAAGAAAUUUUGAAAAAGUUAUAUGGGUGUGUGUAUCAGACACUUUUGAGGAGAUUAGGGUCGCCAAAGCAAUCAUUGAAGGUCUAGGCGUGUCAGCUUCUGGUUUAAGCGAAUUCGAAUCUCUUAUGAAACAGAUUCAGGAAUAUAUUACGGGGAAUAAAUUUUUUCUUGUUUUAGAUGAUGUGUGGGAUGGAGAUUACAAAAAAUGGGACCUAUUCUUUUCUUGUCUAAAGAAUGGCCACCAUGAAAGUAAAAUUCUAAUUACCACACGUGAUAGGUCAGUUGCACUACAGUUGGGAUCAAUAGAUAUUAUCCCUGUCAAGGAGUUGGGUGAAGGGGAAUGUUGGUUACUGUUUAAGCAUAUAGCAUUUCUACGUAGGUCCUUUGAGGAUUGUGAAAAAUUAGAACCAAUCGGGAGAAAAAUAGCAUGUAAGUGCAAAGGCCUGCCUCUUGCUGCAAAGGUAAUAGGGAAUCUCUUGCGCUCUAAAAGUACAGAAAAAGAGUGGCAAAGAAUUUUAGAUAGUGAAAUGUGGAAAGUAGAAGAGAUUGGGCAAGGUCUUUUAGCUCCUUUGUUGUUGAGUUAUAACGAUUUGCCCUCCAAUUCUAUGGUAAAACGGUGUUUCUCAUAUUGUGCUGUCUUUCCAAAAGACUACGAGAUGGAUAAAGAGGAGUUGAUUGAUCUGUGGAUGGCUCAAGGUUACCUUAAUGCAGAAGAAGACGAAGAAAUGGAGAUGAUUGGAGAAGAGUAUUUCAACAUCUUAGCAACACGCUCUUUCUUUCAAGAAUUUCAGAAAAAUGAUGAUGAUGAUUUUACGAGUUGUAAGAUGCAUGACAUAGUACAUGAUUUUGCCCAAUUUGUAAGUAGCAAAGAAUGUUUGUGGCUAGAAAUUAAUGGUACCAAGGAAUCAGUCAUAAACUUUUUUGGUGACAAAGUCCGUCACUUAGGGUUAAAUUUUGGAGGAGGAGCUUCAUUUCCUAUGACCAUUUAUGGACUUAAUAGAUUGCGUACCCUCCUAAUUUAUGACCAAAGUUUUGUCAAUUUAUCUCUUAACAGUAGCAUCCUUCGGGAGUUAUUUAGUAAAUUGGCAUGUUUAAGGGCAUUAGUUAUAAGCCAAUCGACCAAGCUUUUGUAUGAAGACACAAAUUGGAUUACGGAAAUUCCAGAUAAUGUUGGAAAAUUGAUACAUUUAAAAUAUCUUAAGUUGUCUGAAUUACACAUAGAGAGACUGCCUGAGACUUUGUGUGAAUUAUAUAAUUUACAAAAGCUAGAUAUUAGGCGGUGCCCAAAUCUUAGGGAAUUACCUGCGGGGAUUGGGAAGUUAAUGAACAUGAGGAGUUUACUGAAUGGUAAAACUUAUUCGUUGAAAUACAUGCCAGUAGGGAUUUCCAAAUUAACCAGUCUUCGAACAUUAGAAAAGUUUGUUGUGGGUGGAGGUGUUGAUGGUAGCAAUACGUGUAGGCUUGAAUCUCUGAAAAAUCUUCAACUCCUUCGAGAAUGUGGAAUAGAAGGGCUGGGUAAUGUGUCCCAUUUAGAUGAGGCCGAGAGAUUACAACUUUACAAUCAGCAAAACCUCCUUCGUUUGCGUCUUCGGUUUGGUGGAGUCGUAGAUGGGGAAGAUGAAGAAAGGAGGAGGAAGAAUGAUAAAGACAAACAACUUCUUGAAGCUUUACAACCGCCUUUGAGUGUAGAGGAAUUAGGGAUUGAAUCCUAUGGAGGCGACAUUUUUCCCAAAUGGUUGACUUCACUAACCAAUCUAAGGAAUUUAACACUUUCCUCGUGCGCUAACUGUGAGCAUUUGCCUCCUUUGGGAAAAUUGCCUCUGAAAAAACUCGAACUACUCGACUUGGAAAGUGUAAAAAGAGUGGGUAAUGAGUUUUUGGGAAUAGAAGAAAGCAGUGAGGAUGACCCAUCUUCAUCUUCAUCGUCACCAUCAGUUAUUGCCUUCCCCAAAUUGAAAUCACUCGAAAUUGACGGAAUGAAAGAACUGGAAGAGUGGAAUUACAGGAUUACGAGGAAGGAAAACAUCUCCAUCAUGCCCCGUCUUUCUUCCUUGCAAAUUAUGAAUUGCCGCAAAUUAAAGGCGCUGCCGGAUUACCUUCUUCAAACGAUAGCACUGCAGAAACUGGGUAUUUAUUAUUGUGAUCUUCUAGAAGAACUGCCCAUUCUAGAAGAUCGCAGGACAACAGACAUACCACGUCUUUCUUCCUUGGCGAUUUGGUAUUGCCCCAAAUUAAAGGUGCUGCCGGAUUACCUCCUUCGAACGACGACGCUGCAGGUAUUGAGUAUUAUGGAAUGUCCUCUUCUAGAAGGACAUUAUAGAGAGGGCAAAGGAGAAGACUGGCAUAAGGUAUCUCACAUUCCCUGCAUCAUGUGGUUGCCGUCGUUGUAAGAUAUCACUCGCUGGUAAUUUCUCCUCCUCCUCUGAUUUACUUCGUUGUUGCUUGCAAUGAAAUUAAUAAAAAUAAUUAUAUUUUGAAUUAAAAUUCUAUAUAGAAUCAAUCAUGGUAUAAAUAUGUAAAACUUCCUAGUUAUUAAAUCUGUUUAACUUGUUUUCUAAAGAUUAAAUUAAAAAAAAGUGUAGUCUGUUGAAAUUUCUAUAUUUACUUCUAAAAAAUAUGUGCUCUUUUGUAAAAUUUCAUACCACAUCAUAGAAAAUCCCAAUGUAAUUUAUUUUUUAAUGUACAAAAAUUUGUUAUGUGUAACUUCCUGAGAGGCAAAAUCUCUGGGAUACAUUUGCAAUAAUGUUGAAAAAUAAAUUAUCAAUUUUAUCUUGUAUAAUGAUAAUCAUAUUUUUUUAUAUAUAAUUUAUGUGACAUUAAUUCUUUAAAGUAAUUGUGUAAUUGUUUUUAGUAGUACAUUAGCCCACUUUAUUUUAUUUCAUAUGAGUUUAAUUAUGUUCACCAGGGAUUCGAGGAAAUGUCAGAACUACACUAGCAAUUCACAGGUCCAAUCUAAUUUGGUUUUAAUGAUGCAGGCAGGAGAGCAAGACUAUGAAAAUGAAAAGUUUAGCCAAAGGAUUGCUAAAAUGUUCUGCUGGUAAUUCACUUGCUUUAUUUUAUAGAAUUUCAUUUCCAUCUUCUUCUAUUGAUAUCUUGUUGUGAAUAAACAAGAACAGAGAAGUAAAUGAUUGAACCACAGAGAAGUAAAGAUAUAUCCAAAUUCGAUUAUUAUGAUGAUUAAAGCAAGCUCAAGCUCAAGCAUUGCAUUUUUUAUUUUAUUUAGUUUAUAGAAUUUUCAUUUCCACCUGCAUUUCAUUUUUAUUUCAUUUUUAGGUUGACGUUGAAGACUCUAUGGAGAACAUUGGGGUAACCAAGGAUUAUCACUGUGGUUAUUGUGCAACGUUUGGUUGCGGGACUUUGGAGAAGGAAGUGAUGGCCGGGUCUGCUCUGUUUCAAUUGAGGAUGGACAGCUGCCUGAAAGACAUGAUGAUUAUUAUUGCACGAUGUUAAGGUGCUAAGAUCAUCAUUUCUAUCUUGCUUCAUUCUUGGAAUCAUUUAUCCUAUAUAAACAUAUUGAAUUGUGCUAAUAUUAUCAUAUGCGUCAAUGGAGGCAGGAAUUUGGUGUUGACACUAUUAUACAGGUAACCACACUUCAUAGUUUGCACAAAUUUGCGUUGUCAGAAUAUCCUUUAAUAUUCAUUGUGUUUCUGUGUGUUAUCAGGUUAUCAUCUCCAAGGGUUUGAAAGAGCCUUUGCAGUAAAGUCAGUUGUCACCAGCUCGUGCAAUUGCGCAUUCAUUCAUAGUACUUCAAUAUUGGGUUUUCAAGUUUUGUAUGUUUAGUCGAUUAAAAUGUUUAGUCAAUCAUUCUUAAUCAUUUCUGAUUUUCAAGUUCUUUAGGGCCAUAAACAGUUUUUCAAACUCAUUCUUAUUUUUUAGGUUGAUUUCCUACUCGUGGAAGUCCAAGGAUUAGGCUGGCGAUGGAACUACUACCUCUGUUGUUAUUGUGCAAGGUUUGAUCGCUGGACCUUGAACAAGAAAGCCUUACAUGCAUUCUGUAAUUGAAGCGUUCUCUAAAGCAAAAGAGCAGUAGAAGGAAUAGUGAUGGCCGGAUAUGCUCUAUCUUAAUUGAAGAUCUCUGUGAUGUUGAGGAGCUAAUGAUUGUUAAGGCGUAUUUUCAUGAACUUCCUUUCUUAACAAAUGUUUCAAUGCUGGCUGUAGUAACAAUUUCAUAUCUUGCAUCUCUCGGGUGCAUCAUGUUCACAGGUUUGAAAAAGCAUUUGUGGUAAUGCUUUAAAGCUUGUACAAUGGCUGUGAAAAGGCACAUUCAAUUAGGUACGUUUUGGUGCGGUCUCCCAAUGCUAAUAUUAUAUUUUGUAUAGCAAUUAAAAUUUAGCUAUACAAUUUUAAUAUGCAAUAAAUCAUUGUAUACAAAGUUUUCUAUUAAUUAUAUGGUGACUGAAAUUUUAAUUAUCAUAUCAAUUUAAAUUUUUUUGUAACUCUCUUUUACUUUGCUUGUACAGAGUACCUGUUUUGGUUGAUAUGUCUAAUUUGUAGAAAUUCAUUUCCAUCGGUUUCCAUUGGCUUUAGCACAAACCGAAACAGAGCUCUGGGGAAAAGUUUUACUUCUUGUGAUAUUAUGCCUUUGUUUCUUCAUUCAUCAUAUUUUUCGAAUUCAUGCUCUCAUUCAGAGGGUAAAGCCUUUUCCAGGCUGCUUUGUAGCCAAACUUUGACGCCUUUGAUGCAUGACUGUCAUUCUUUUUCUUGGUUAUUCAAACUUUCAGUUAUAUAUUAUGUGAAAGAUUCUUUUUCUUAUUAAAGUACAUUGUUGGUUUUUUCUUUUUCCUUCAUUUUGUCUGAAUUAAAGCUAAAAUUGUAAGUUUUUUUUUAAUUGGAAAAUAUUAAUAUUUCAUUAAACAAAUAACAACAAUACAACUACUUGCAGUACAUCACUAGUUCACAUUACAAAGAUUAAAAUACAGAGAUCUGUUUUAGUUACAGAGAUCUAUUACAGUAAUCAAUUGAAUUAACCCCUAAAAGUUUAUUAAAGAAUAGGAAGAAACACAUGUACACUAAAAGAAAAACUUCCAUUCGUAAUGCACAUAUAAUUCAAGCUCCAUUUGGGGUUCCAUGGCUCUUUCGAAAUUAUCUCCACCACCAUAUUUAUGCUUUCCAGCUAGUACCAAAAUAGAUUUACCGUAAAAAUUGAUUCACACCCUCUAACUUUACAAACAUGAGAAACAUAGACUCUAGAUCUAAAAGUUGAAGGGUUAUGUACUGGCAAAUAGAAAUUAAACCAACAUUAUCACUAUAACAGAUACAUUAUUACCAUCAAAGAUCAAGAUCUGAAUGGAUGCACAGCAGCCAUCGUCAAGACCAAAAGAGGAAGAAAUUGAAAUAGAACAACCACCUUAAGGUGGAGAAGGCCAGAACAAGACACCCAUCCUCAAAUCAUAUGGAAGAGGUGGGUGCAACCAAAAAAAAAAAAAAAGAGAGAAUCCACUGGAGAAGGCAAGAAAGAUUUCUGCCUCCAAAGAUUUGGUGAGGAAGAGAUGAGGAAUUUGGAGAGGAAAAGUUUCGGAGAGAUCUAGAGUUUGGCUUUAAAAAUGUGUUUUAAAGAAAAAGUUGUUGAGAGGAAACGAGACCAAUUAGAUCAUGCAAGAAGUUAAUUUUUUUUAAAUAAAAAAGGAGAAAUGAUGAUCUUACAAAGUUUGAAUAUAAAGUUUAAAAUCUAAAAUUAAUGACUUGACAAUCGAUGCAUUAUUAGCCUAAUAGAGUAAGAAGUCCCUGCUAAAGAAUUCAAUAUUCUACCCAGAAUACUUCUUUCUAUUGCAAUUAAAUGAUGAUUAUUUGUUUUUAUCAUGAAAGCUAAAAUAACUUUGUGAGUAAUUUGAUCCUUUUGCAGUAUAAAAAUAAAUUCAGAAAUGGGCACCAUUCUUCCUUUGUUUAAAUCAUGGUCUCCACGGAAGUAAAAUUUUGGUUACUACACGUAAUGAGUUAGUUGCACGUAUGAUGGGAUCAACAAAUAUUAUCUUCAUUGAGCAAUUGAUUGAAGAGGAUUGCUAGUCGGUUUUCAAGCGAUUAGCAUUUUUCGGUCACUCUUUCGAGGAUUGUGAAAGAUUAGAACCAAUCGGCCGAAAAAUUGCACGCAAGUGCAAAGGCCUGCCUCUUGCUGCAAAGGUAAUAAGGAAUCUCUCGCGUUCAAAAAGUGCAAUAAACGACUGGCAAAGAAUUUUAGAUAGUGAAAUGUGGAAGGCAGAAGAGAUUGGGAAAGGUCUUUUGACUCCUUUAUUGUUGAGUUAUAAUGAUUUGUCGUCCAAUUCUAUGGUAAAACAAUAUUUUUCAUUUUGUGCUGUCUUUCCGAAAGACUACAAUAUGUAUAAAGAGGAGCUAAUUUCACUAUGGAUGGCUCAAGGUUACCUUAAUGCAGAAGAAUAUGAAGAGAUGGAGAUGACUGGGGAAGAGUGUUUCAACAUUUUAGCAACACACUCUUUCUUUCAAGAGUUUGAGAAAAAUGAUGAUGAUGAUAUUAUGAGUUGCAAGAUGCAUGACAUAGUACAUGAUUUUGCUCAAUUUGUAAGUAGCAAAGAAUGUUUGUGGCUAGAAAUUAAUGGUACCAAAGAAUCAGUCAUAAACUCUUUUGGUGGGAAAGUCCGUCCCUUAGGUUAAAGUUUAAAGGAGGCGCUUUAUUUCCUAUGUCCAUUCAUGGACUUAAUAGAUCGCGUACCCUCCUAAUUGAUUAUGAAAGUCCUUCCAAUUCGUCUCUUGAUAGUAGCAUCCUUCCUGAGUUAUUUAGUAAAUUGGCAUGUUUAAGAGCAUUAGUUAUAAGGCAAUCAUUCUUGCUUUGUCGUCCUGACCCAAAUUUGAUUAGAGAAAUUCCAGAAGAUGUCGGGAAAUUGAUGCUUUUAAAAUAUCUUAAUUUGUCUGAAUUACACAUAGAGAGACUGCCUGAGACUUUGUGUGAAUUAUAUAAUUUACAAAAGCUAGAUAUUAGGGGGUGCCGAAAUCUAAGAGAAUUGCCUGCAGGGAUUGGGAAGUUAAAGAACAUGAGGAGUUUGCUAAAUGGUCUUACUUGUUCGUUGAAGUACAUGCCAAUAGGAUUUUCCAAAUUAACCAAUCUUCGAACAUUAGACAAGUUUGCUGUGGGUGGAGGUGUUGAUGGUGGCAGUACGUGGAGGCUUGAAUGUCUGAAAAAUCUUCAACUCCUUCGAGAAUGUGGAAUAGAAGGGCUGAGUAAUUUGUCACAUGUAGAUGAGGCUGAGAGAUUAGAACUCAAAAAUAUGGAAAACCUCCUUCGUUUGUAUCUUUUGUUUGAAGUUGUAGAUUGGGAAGAUAAAGAAGAGGAUGAAGAUGAAGGUGGGGAAGAUGAAGGUGAGGAUGGGGGAUAUGAAGAAGAAGAAGGAGGUGAAGUUGUAAAUGGGGAAGAUGAAGAAAGGAGCAGGAAGAAUGAGAAAGAUGAACAACUUCUUGAAGCCUUACAGCCGCCUUUGAAUGUAGAGGAAUUAUGGAUUUUAUUAUAUGGAGGCAACAUUUUUCCCAAAUGGUUGACUUCGCUAACCAAUAUAAGGAAUUUAUUUCUUCACAGGUGUCUUAACUGUGAGCAUUUGCCUCCUCUGGGAAAAUUGCCUCUGGAAAAACUCGCCCUGCAAAAUUUGAAUAGUGUAAAAAGAGUGGGUAAUGAGGUUUUGGGAAUAGAGGAAAGUAGUGAUGAUGACCCGUCUUCAUCUUCAUCAUCAUCAUCAGUUAUUGCCUUCCCCAAAUUGAAAUCACUCAAAAUUUGGGACAUGGAAGAAUUGGAAGAGUGGGAUUACACGGUUACGAGGAAGGAAAACAUCUCCAUCAUGCCACGUCUUUCUUCCUUGGAAAUUGAUUGUUGCCCCAAAUUAAAGGUGUUGCCAGAUGACCUUCUUCAAACGUCGACACUGCAGGAAUUGAGUAUUGGGGGAUGUCCUAUUCUAGAAGACUGGCAUAAGAUAUCUCACAUUCCCCACAUCGAGUUUUAAAUUCUCGAACGGUUGCAAUUACUAUAACCCGCCGGUAAUUUCUCCUCCUCCUCUGUUUUGCUUCAUUGUUACUUGUAAUGAAAUUAAUAAUAAUAAUGAUAAUAAUUAAAUUUUGAAUUAAAUUUCUAUAUUUUGCCAAUGUCUCAUAGGAAUGUGCAAUAUUUUCUAAUAUUUUGAUUUUUGUAUUGAAUAUAACUAUUUACUUCAGUGUACGAUAAUUUGUUACGUGAAACUUCUUGAGAGACUGAAUUUCUGGGGUACUUUGUAGUAAUGUUGAAAACUAAGUGAUGGCUGGGUCUGCUCUGUUUCAGUUGAGGAUGGAUUGCUGCCUGGAAGACAUGCUGAUUAUUAUUGCAUGAUAUUAAGGUGCUGAGAUCAUCAUUUCUAUCUUGUUUCUUUCUUUGAACGGUUUAUCCUCUAUAAGCAUAUGGAAUUAUGUUAGUAUUAUCACUUCUUCACCCAAUUUUCACUGUUGGUUGUAAUAACCAUUUCAGGUUCUCAAAAGCUACAAAGCAAAGCAUCUUUGGGCUGAUCAUAUAUUUCAAUUGACGAAGGAAUUCGAUGUUGGCACUAUUAUGCAGGUAACCAGAGUUGAUAAUUUGUACAAAUUUGCAUUGUCAGAAUACCCUUCAUAUUCACCGUGUUUCUUUGUGUAGGUAUGUAGAGUAUCAUCUUCAAGGGUUGUAAGAGCCUUUGCAGUAAAUUUAGCUGCUAGUGCAAUUGCUCAUUCAUCGAAGUACAAUUUUGGAUUUUCAAGGUUUGUAUGCUCAGUUGUAAUUAAAAUGCUUAGUCACUUAUUCCUAAUCUUUCUGAUUUUCAAGUUAUUUUAGGUCCAUAAACAGUUUUCACACAUGUUUCAAUGCUUCUUGUAAUGACAAUUUCAUAUCUUGCAUCUCUAAUGUGCAUCAUGUUUGAAACAGCUUUCGCGGUAAAGUCUUCGAUGCUUGUACAAUGGCUGUGAAGAGGCACACUAAAUUCGGUACAUUUUGGUACGGCCUCCUAAUGCUGGUAUAAUGUUGUGUAUAUUUAGUUUGCAAUUAAAACUUAGGUAUACAAAUCUUAAUCUGCAAUAGAUCAUAGUGUACAAAGUUUCUAUUAAUGAUAUGGUGACUGAAAGUUUAAUUAUCUUAAAAUUUUUCUAUGACUCUCUUUUACUUUCUUUGUACAGAGUACUUGUUUUGGCUGAUGUGUCUAAUUCAUAGAAAUUCAUUUCCAUCGGUUUCCAUUGGUUUGAGCACAAACAGAAACAGAGGUCUGAGGAGAAGUUUCACUUCUUGCGGUAUUAUGCCUUUGUUUCUUUAUUCACCAUAUUUGUUCGAAUUCAUGCCCUCAUUAAGAAUUUAAAGCCUUUUCCAGGCAGCUUUGUAGCCAAAUUUUGAUGCCAUAAAUGCAUGAUUGUCAUUUAGAUUUUCCGAAUAUUUGUUAUUUGGAGAAAUAUUGUUAAAAGGGCAUUUGAUUAGCUACUUACCCUAUGAAUUUAGUUGCCAAUAAUAGAUUGAAAUUGAGUAGGCUAAUGGUUGAGGAAAGUUAUUGUCUUAAUUAAAUUACAGGUGAUAAGAUGUUGCUUGUGUAAUCAGAUAAAUGGGGCAAAUGUCAGAACAAAGAUUGUUCAGUGCUGCUGGUAGGGCAAGGAUGAUGAUGGUGAGGAAGAUUGUUCACAAGCCAAGUAGAGCCCUCCAUUUUGAGAAAUAUCAUCCUCAAAUUUGAAUUGUUGAGCAUAUGAAGUGAUGCUAAAGCCUUAAUAUUAAGUCUUUCUGAAAGUUUCAUUUGAAUGAAUUUUCGGAGAUUGAAUGUUCUUAGCGUGAGUAAGAAAAUUAAGCACAUAUCUGCGAUUUGGAUCGUCGGUGAAUGUUUUCCUUUAAUAUUUGUACAAACCCGUUUCUUAGUAAAAUUUUCUUCAUGUCUUUUACUAUGACAUAGGCUAAUAGCCGUACCACAUAACAUUAUCUUCUUAUUUCUUUAUGCUUGGUUUUGCUACAUAUAAGAAUGCAAUUUUGUAACUACUUAACUCUGCUUCGGCAAAGUUAAGUAGUUACAAAAAUUUUUUUUUUUCGUUUUUCUUUCUCCGAUAAAAUUGCCACAAAUGGAAGCGAUUGGCUUGAUUUUUGCUUCUGUAAAAAGUGGUGGGAGCAAUGUCUUGUGUACCCGCAAGUUAUAAAUCGUCAUAGUUUAAAUGACGAAUCCCGAGUUGCCAUCCAAACUAAAGAAAUUGCAAAUUAAGUAGUUCAUUACAAAUGAUAUAUUUUGAGUUGCUAAUUAUUAAGUAUUUCAUUCAAAAAUGUUCUCGUUCCCACAGUUUCUAAUGUUUAAAGUGCAUCAUUGCUCUACUUCCGUCAUAACAGCAUAAGAGAAUUUAACAUAAUACUGAGAAAAUGAUUAUUUUACCCUAAAUGUAAAUGAUUAUUCUACCCUUAACAUAAAAUAACUAAUUUGCCCUAAUUUAAUAACGAAAAAAAUAGAUGACUGCAAUAUAGAUAUUAAAUAAUAAAUAAAAUAAAAAAUAAGAAUUAAAACUAAAAUAAUUAAAAGAGAGCUCAAGAGAAAACGCACUUUAAUCUGGUACCUGUACCCGUGGAUCGUGGCGAUGGCGGAUUGGGGCUUAUUACCAAGUCGUUUAAGAAUUUUAAACUUUCAAAUUUUUUUUAAACCUUGAAUUUUUUAGUUUAUUGGUUAAGUGAUAAAAUUUGGUGGUAGUUUGAUACUGUGUUGUAUGUUGUGUUAUUUUAGCUCAUUAACUUUGUUAUGUAAUUCUUCUUUAAAUACGACGUCGUUUUUGUCCAUUAAGAGUCCAAUGACAAGUUUAUCAUUCUGACAUGAGUAAAAUUCUAACGGCGUGAUGACAAUAGUGUAGAAAUGAUAGAUUUUGUAAACAUCAGGUGGAAUUGUUAAAAAAAAAAAUGUGGUCGUGUAUUUUUUAUAAAGUCUAAAACAUCAAGUGAUUAGAGAAUAUUUGUGCUUAAGUAUUUGAUUCAAAAAAAUUUCCACUCCUAGACUAUUUAAGUUGUAACCAAAACUGAGAAUUUUUUUUUUUUUUUGCAUGAUGAAUCUCGAUAUUUAGGAUGAAUAUUUUAAUAUUUAAGCUUAAUGGUCACCCACUAUUGGUAGAAGAAUUUUUAUUCUAACACUAUACAAUUUUCGUGUGAGGUGGUCUUGGGCUUAUCUCAACCUUAAAAGUCAAAAGCUAGCUCAAUAAGUGAGAUUUUUUUCUCACACUUAUGAAAUCACCACGAGCUCCUCCCACAACCAAUGUGGGAUAAUCCCAACAAUCUCCCCUCACUCAUCGAGCCUUGGGUUGGAAGCAUAAACAUCAAUUCUCCCUAUUAGAUUGUUGGUUGAGUUGUUGGUGAACCUGAGCUUUGAUACUAAUGUUAGAUGGUCUUGGGCUUCUCUCGACUUCAAAAGCUAGCUCAAAGAGAGAGAUAUUCCCUCACAUUUAUGAGGUCAUUAUCAGCCUCUUCCACAAUCGAUGUCGGCUAACCCGACAUUUCUCUCUCUAUAUAAUACAUAAGUUGGAUAAUAAAUUUAUAUCUCAAUCUAGGUAUAAACAUUAAUUUUAUUUCUUUUUAUCAAUCAUUAUCCUAUUGGGUCUAUCGACUCACCGUACAAAAUGUUGUAAAACUUCCCCGCCGAAGAGACUUUGGUAGCUUUGAGUUUGUAAAUCAAGUUCCUAUCCGUCGUCCCUCCUAAUCCAUUCUUCGGCCAAGUACGCCUGACAUUCUUGUACCUUACAACGUCAUAUUUGGCACAAAAUUCAUGAAACUUAAACCAAACACUAAACUAUUAUUAGUUCUCAACAUUUUAUAUCAUUCGACGUUUUGUGUCAGAAUAAAUAUUUUAUCUUUGAACUUCUCAAGCACUUAUUCAUGGCUUAUUUCUCAACUCACUAUGGAUUAAUGAUGCUGAUGAAAUUGUGGAUUAACCAGACAAUAUUGUAAUUAUUACACAUACACACAAGCACACGUACAUACGUACAAAAGCAUAUAGGAGUUGACCUUGCUCAGGAUUUAAAAAAAAUGAAUAAAAUUUUCCAAUAAUUAAUUAAGAUAAAAAAGAUCAUUAAAACCCGAGUACCCCUCGCAAUUGUGUCACUUGAAUUCUCUGUAUUUAUGCACAUAUAAUAUUUUGAAUGAAUCUAUAAUGAUGUUAAUUUUUUAAUGAACUUAAUCUUAAAUUAAAAUUUUCUUUUGAAAAAAAAGAAGAAAUCUUAAAUAUUAUAAAAUAUAGAUCAGUUGGAAAACUAUUCCUAGAAAUGCAUCUUAGUUUUAUUCUUGGAAAAUGUUUCCUUUCGCACUUGCGAGGAAUUAGAAAUUGAACAAUAAUUUUUAGACUUUUCAUUGUCUUUGUGGUUAUAUGGUUGUCUUUAAUAUAAAUAUAUGAUCCCGGAGGCCAAAUGUCUAAGUCACAUGCAUUUACCUAAUACUUUUUUCUUUUUUCUUUGUUUUUCGGAUAGGGCAAUUAUUUAAUACCUUGAAGAAAGAGAGAUAAAAUAUAAUGCAUGCCAAUUUGUUGCAACAAAGCUUUCAUAUCAAGCGUUGGCAUAAAUUAUUAUGCCAAUUUGUUCAAGACAAUAUCUUUAGUUGGCAUGUAAGUUUCAUUAGCCGGCGUCUACUCUUAAUUUAUGUCAAAUUAAGUAAUCGCUCCGCCCCAAUAAUGUUGCCUUUGAUCUCUCAGCCCCAGUAAAAGAAUUGGCUAAAAGAGAAUGUUGGUCACUGUUUAAGCAAGUAUGCUUUUGGCGGUCCUUUGAGGAUCUUCAAAAUUUAGAACUAAUAACCAAUCAAAUGAAAAAUUGCAUACAAGUGUAAAAGCUUACCCCUUAAUGCAUAGGUAAUAGGAAUUCUCUUGCUCAACAUAUACACCCUUUUCUUUAUAAUCUUUUACUUUUGCUCUUAAGCUAAAGCAUUAAAAGGCCCAAUAUCCACUCUUUAUAUAUAGUAGUUUCUGGUCCGGGAUCAUAAAGUGCGGGAAAUAUUCGGAAAAAUUUUAAAAUCGUGGGGUUUUAAAUGCUUAAAACUUAAAGUGCUUAAACUGAACGGUUAAUAUGUUUUCCUGGACGUUCCCGCAUUUUAAAAUUCCGGACUGUAACAUUUCUCUCUCUCUCUCUCUCUUUAUAUAUAUAUAUAUAUAUAUAUAUAUAUAUAUAUAUAUAGGGAGAAUGCCAAUUUCCCCCCAUAUUGUAAUCAAUUUAUAUCAUUUAUGUCCUACUCUUAUAUAAUAGCCAAUAACUCCUGGAUAGCAUAAUAUAACAAUAUUAUCUUUAAUUUUAAAUACACUUUUAUUUAUAUUUAUUAUAAAUUAAAUAAAACAUGUGAAUGAAAACUAAAAUAAAUAUUAAAUAUUAAAAACAAUAAAUAUAUGUUUUGAUGUGAAUAAAAAAUUAAUAGUAAAAUAUUUUUCUUGUACUUCUUUUAUUUACAAACAUUUUCUAAUAAUACAUAUAUAAGAAAAUUAUUAUAAAAUAAUUAUAAAUUAAUAUAAAUUAAUAAUAAAAUAGUAUAAAAUUAAUAAUAAAAUAUUUUUCUUGUACUUUUGUAUUUUAUAUAUUUAUUAUAAGAAAAUGUUUAUAAAACAAAAAUACAAAAAAAUUUAUUAUUAAUUUUUUUAUUCACAUCAAGACGUAUAUUUCUUGUUUUUAAUAAAUUUUUUUUUUACCAUUCAAUAUGAUUUGUUUAAUGUAUAAUAAAUAUGAAUAAAGGUGUAUUUGAAAAUAAAAAUAAUAUUGUAGGAAACAUUUACCAUUUUCUAAGAGAAGCUUAAGAGUGAGUAAAGGCUUGUUUAAACCAGAUAUUUUGAGCCAUAUAUUUUAAAAUACCUCAAGGCACCCUCAUUGUUAAAUAUGCUAUAUUUCUACUCUUACUUUUUCUUUCCUUUUAUAAUAUUACCCUUGCAACAAUAUUCUAACCUUUUUGAGGAUAUCAAUGAAAGAAAAAAAAUUAAUUUAUCAAAAUUUGCCUUAAAAGUAACAUAAAAAAUUCCACAAAUUUUUAUGUUAUUAUUUUACUUUUAGGAUUAAUUUGGUAAAUUAAUUUUUUAUAAAAUAACUAUUAGUAAAAUUGUUGCAAAUAUAUUAAACAUUUCUUUAAGUUGGAUAAUAUUGAUUUAUUUAUAAAUAAAUUAUUGGCAAUUAGUUCUUUCAUACUGAAAUUUAUUAGUUAAUUUGCUAAUCAAUAAUUAUUGGUUAAUACGCUAAUAAACUUUUAUAGAUAAAUUAAUUAAUGUCAAGAAUAUUAUUGCAAGGUAUUAUUAUAAAAGCAAAUAGAAAGUAAGUGCAAGAAUGUAAUAUAUUUAAUUAUAAAGGUAUUUUGAGAUAUUUUUGAAAUUAUAAGAACUAAACAAGCAUUUACCAGUUGAGAGAAGAUGAAAUGGGAAAAAUUCAAGGGUUAGGAUAUAUGAUGAGUUAAGGAUUAGGUCUUGUAAAAUCUUGAUUUGGGGAGAUGAUUUUGGAGUGUUUCAACCCUAAAUUCAUUUGGGAAGACUCAUUGACGUACACAUUAAAGGUGGAAAGUGUAGAGAGAGAGAGAAGGAGAAAGUGUGUGUUUAGAGUGAGAGAUGUGUAAUUCAAGUAAACAAGUUGGAUACUUGGAUUUCUCACUAAAUAGAGUAAGAUUUCCAUCAUUCUAUCAUUAUUUAUGCUAAAUUUAAUUUAAAGAUUUGUUUAUUUUAUUUAAAUUAAUGUUUCCAACAUAUGGUAAAGUGGUACGAAGAUAAAUUUUGUAAUUUGUGGAUUACUUUAGGUGCACACAGCACCAACAAGGCAUUGUAGAGCCAAAAAGACUUAGCACUUGAUGUUUCUGGUUCGAUAUAUAAAUAGCUAAUAAUUGUGUAUUAUGUUUAUGUAGUUUAUGGUUAGUAAUGAGAUUGGUGGUAAUGUAGCUCUAUAAUUAACUAUUUAUUUCCAAAACUAAGGAACUUCAUAUCGUAUUUUCUUCCAAAACUAAGGAGCUUCAUAUCAUGUAUUUCAUUAAAAAAUAGUCUCACUCUUAGACUUUAUGAGUUGCUGUGAAAAAUAAAUGAUGAUAAAUUUUCAUACAAAUUUAUUUUUAUAAAUUGAUACGACAUUAGUUCAUUGGUUGCAUGAAAUAUAAAAGCAGGUAGCAGUUGGUCCUUUGAGGAUCAUAAAAUUUAGAACCAAUCGGUCUAAAAAUUGCAUGCAAGUGCAAAGGUCUGCUCUUGUUGCAAAGGUAAUAGAGAAUCUCUUAUUCUCUAAAAGAGUAGUAGAAGAAUAGAAAAGAAUUCUAGAUGGUGAUAUGUGGAAGCUAGAAGAGAUAAGGAAAGGUCUUUUGGCUCCUUUAUUGUUGAGUUAUAUUGCUAUGCCAUCCAUGGUAAAAUGAUUUUUCUCAUAUUGUGCUGUCUUUUCAAAAGACUACAACAUGUAUAAAGAGGAACUAAUUACCCUAUGGAUGACUUAAAGUUACCUUAGUAUAACUAAUUACCCGGCGUCGGAGGGUUUACACCGGGAAAACACUCGGCGUGCUCUGACUUGUCUCUGUGUACGCAGGAGUUUGCGGAGAAGAAGCCUUACGAGGAGAGAUCCUGAUCGUGGUCGAGUUGGUUGAGGAGAGAGCUUGGUCGUGGUCGAGCAGGGAACCAAAAUCUCGCAUCAACACAGUUUCUGUUGCAAUUGUAUUGGCCUGGGUUUAGGGAACUGUCAACUUUCAGAAGAAGAUGGAGUUUCUCAAACCAAAUCUAAGAAGAUAUCUCACAUUCCCCACAUGGUCUCAACGCACAGGUAAGUUCUUCUCUAGCUCUGUUUUUCAUUGUUUGUUAUUUUUAAUGUAACUAAGAAGCAGAGUUAAUCUCUUAUCUUGUCCUUGCUUUGAGAAAACCUGCUUUUACAUCUAUUUUUAAUUCACAUGUCCACAGUAAUUUCAUUUUAGUUUGAGCUGAGUGAUAACUGUUCAAGGCUCACUUACUCAUUGGGAGAAGCUGCAUGACGCAGGCUGCAAGGAUUUAGAUUUUCAUUCGAAGGCUCACUUACUCAUAGUGUGCAUGUUUCGUUACGAUUAAAAUGAUUAGUCUCUUGUUCUUAAGUAUACAAUUUCCAAUGGAUUUGAUAGAGCGGUCAUCAACCAUAUUGAUGUUAUUGGAGUAGCACUGUUCUUAAGCACUGCUUUGAGGUCUCUCCCUCUCUAUAUACAUUGAUAGACUAUUCUGGUCGUACCAAAUUAUCCUUGUUUUAUUGUUUUGUUUGUUAAACUUUGACUGGGGGAAUCUGUUUAUUUGUCUGAUAUGAUGUUAGUGUGGUUUCGAUUGAAGUGUGUUGAUCUAUCACCAAGUAUUAUUUCAAUUUUUCUUUACCUAAUCAACUUGCAUACUUUCCAAGUCUAGAUCCUUAACAAUAGUGAGACUCCGCUACAGAAGUACGAUUUCUCUAGUUUUGUAGUUAAAUACGUAAGAAUAGUUUUAAAUUAACAGAACUCUGAGAUAGUUCUCUGAGGAAAUACAAGUGGUGAAUAUGGUUCCAACUUUUAAGUGCCUUAAGAUUCCCAUUUGUUCAGCCCUGUGCGUAAACAAUCAGUAAUUUCUGUCCAAAUUCUUCUUUAAUGCCUAUAUGUGUUGGACUUUGUCUACUGUUCAACUUCUCAAAUGGAUUCCAUGCAGGGUUUUGAAUGUCCAAUUAGGAGAAAGAUCAAGGCUUGCUUGGCUAGGAGUGGAAGCGGAUCCACUACUUCAGUCAGAUGACCUUUUGAAGAAGGCUUACAACAGGCCGUCUCAGGAUGUCAAUGGCUCAACUCAAAAGUCCCCAAAGUGGUUGAUAUCGAAGAAUGCCGUUGUCUCUGGGCUUGGGCUCCUUGGCAUCAAACAAGGGAAUGUCGACUCUGUUGAAGGGGAAGCAAGGGCUCCUAAAGUGCGAAGAAAGAGGAUAGGCCGGAAGAAGGUGACCGCAUAAAUUUCUUGGGAGUUGAUCCUAGUCAAUAGCCCAAUUUUUUUGUCAAAACAUUGGUCCCGAUUCCAGCAAAACAGUAACUUCCAUUCAAAAGGGUUCAGCGUUGAGUGCAUGUAAUCUGCACAAGUUUGACAAAAAAUAACCGAAAAAAAAAAAAGAAACCCACGUCCAAAGAUGCCGUUGAAAAAAGUUAUUGGGUAUUCAUAAUAAAAUAAACAAAUAAAAAAAUGAAUAAAAAUUUAAAUACUUAAUUAAUUUUUAUCAAAUUCUUAUCAAAUAUUUAAAAAAGUAUAUAAAAUGAAUUAAUUGAUGGUAUUAUUAAUUUUCAUGAUGAUUUUUAAUAUUAUAUUAGUGAUUAGUAAGUUUAAUACAAUCAAUAAUGCAAGAAAUUAUUAAAUGGUUAAUUUUAUUGGCAAAUUUUAUCAAAUACGCAAGUAAUGAAAAAUUAAUCUCAAGAGUUAGUAGAAGUAAAGUUCUAAUUUAACCAGAUGAUAGAUAAUAAAUACAAAUAAAUUUUAAGUAAAUCAUAAAUUAAAAAUAAAUAAAUUAAUUAAUAUUAAGUAUAAAUAAAAAAUAAUGACAUAAAUUAAAGUCUCAUAAAUGGAUAACUUUUUUUCUUUAAUCUUAUCCUAAGUCCCAACUAAAGGAAUGUGUAAAUUAGGAUUAUUAAUCCCAUAAUUUUAGGAUUAAACUUAAAUUUAGUCCCUUAGUCCAAUUCAAUUAAGCUUACCAAAUAUGAUAUAAAUAUAUAAUCACAAAAUUAGUCCAAUUCCAUACUUAAUCCUAGUAUUCGAACAUGGCCGGAUAAAAUAGUUUAGAUAAUAUACUUCUAUGGCUCACAAUUUAAAUAAAUUUGAGAAUUUAAAUAAGGGAUGGAAAAUUCACAAUAAUCAUACCAUGUACUGUCUUUUCUUCCUUUUCUUAAUUAAAUAAAAGAAAAAAAAUUAAUGACAGAACCACUGCUGUGUGAUAUCGAUGAAGUCGCAUUCGCCUACCUAAUAUUGCGCAAUCAGAUAGAAAAAAGGGUCGGCUGCAUGAUUUUUCCAACUUUUGUCUUAUUUUUCUCUUUUCCACUACAAAUUAAUUUGAGAAUGUUAUAUUUUCCAAUUCUCUUUUUGUCGUGACAUAAUAGACUAAAGCGGAAUCACAUACUUUUUCAAAUGACCAAAUGGCUUUGGCCUACCUGAUAAUAAAAGGAAUGGAUCCAUACGUUAAAGCUAAAUUGAAAAAUAUAAUAAAUAAAUUGUCAGGAGAUGAUUUUAUCAAAAAUUUCACUCGCACGGUCCCGACCAAAUACAAAUUUGUGAUGAUAUUCAUAAUGAAUUUAUACCAUUAGGCGAAAUUACUCUAUAUAGUUUCAUCGAUAUAUAUUAUACCAUUACAAAUAUACUAAUAUUUAUAAUAAAAAAAAUUUAUGACUAUUUUAAAUCGACUGUAUUAUAUGUGAAUUCACAAGAUUCAUAGAUAGAUUGCACUGAGCUUUUUGUUGCAGUUUACAAAUAUUUUGUUACUAAUUAUCUUAAGAGCAGCAAGUAACUAAAUACAAAUGUAAGAAAUUUCACAAGUGCUGAUGCUGUGUACUCUGCAGAAUUAAUAAUGGAUUAUUAUGAAUCAGAGAAACAGGGCAGACGCUGUACAAUUAUUGACGUGGUGGAGCAGAAAGCUAGCCCCACAUGGUGACUCCUUUAAUUUGCAGCACAAAAGAACGUUCACAUUGACAUUGACUCGAGGGUAAAAAGAAUGCAAACAUGCUUGAAUGAACAUUCUCACAGAAUACAUAAAAGCAAGAAAAGCAAUUGCAGCAUUUUCCAUUUGAUCUAAUAUCAGAAUGGCUCUUGCGAUCGUUUGCGCUCUCUUGGACCAGCUGAAUUCCAUUGCUCAAGAAAAGUGGAGGCUUUUGACGGGUGUCGAACAAGAAGUGGGAAAGCUUACUACCAAUCUUCAAGCCAUUCAAGCUGUGCUGGAAGAUGCAGAGCAGAGGCAAAUGAAGCAGGACAGAGCUGUUACUCUUUGGCUGGAUCAGCUCAGAGACGCAUCCUACGACAUGGAAGAUGUGUUGGAUAAGUGGAUCACUGAAACACGGAAAUCGCAGCUUGAUGAGGGCGGCGAUGAUGAAGAUGAUGAUAACGACAAUGCUUUUGUUACUCUUUUGACGAAGGUAUGUUCCUUCUUUCCUGCUGCCUCAAACUGCUUUGGUUGUUUCAAACAACUCAGUCUUCGUCAUCAUAUUACUGUCAAGAUUAGAGAAAUCAGUAAAAGGCUAGAUGAUAUUGCCAGACAAAAAGAUAGUUUCAAAUUUGUUGAGAAUGUGAGUAACAAUGUUAAGAAACCAGAGCGAGUGCGAACCACCUCCUUGAUUGAUAAGGGAGAGGUUUUUGGUAGAGUUGAUGAGAAAAAUGAGCUCUUAAGCAAGUUGUUGUGUGACAGUAGUGAACAACACCCUCAUAUCAUCUCAUUGGUUGGGUUCGGGGGUAUAGGCAAAACCACUCUUGCACAACUAGCCUAUAAUGAUGAUGAGGUGAAAAUAAAUUUUGAAAAAGUUAUAUGGGCGUGUGUAUCAGACACUUUUGAGGAGAUUAGGGUCGCCAAAGCAAUCAUUGAAGGUCUAGGCGAGUCAAAAAAAGCUUCUGGUUUAAGCGAAUUCCAAUCUCUUAUGAGCCAUAUCCAUAGAUCAAUUGGGGGAAAAAAAUUUUUUCUUGUCUUAGAUGAUGUAUGGGAUGGGGAUUCCAAUAAAUGGGAUCCAUUCUUCUUUUGUCUAAAGAAUGGUCUCCACGGAAGUAAAAUUUUGGUUACCACACGUAAUGAGUCAAUUGCACGUAUGAUGGGAACAACAGAGUCAGAUACUAUCUCCAUUGAACAACUGGCUGAAGAGGAAUGCUGGUUGUUUUCCAAGCAGUUAGCAUUUUUCGGUCGCUGUUUCGAGGAUUGUGAAAGAUUAGAACCAAUCGGGCGAAAAAUUGCACGCAAGUGCAAAGGCCUGCCUCUUGCUGCAAAGGUAAUAGGGAAUCUCUUGCGCUCUAAAAUUACAGUAAAAGAGUGGCAAAGAAUGUUAGAUAGUGAAAUGUGGAAAUUAGAAGAGAUUGGGCAAGGUCUUUUGGCUCCUUUGUUGUUGAGUUAUAACGAUUUGCCCUCCAAUUCGAUGGUAAAACGGUGUUUCUCAUAUUGUGUUGUCUUUCCAAAUGACUACAGUAUGAAUAAAGAAGAAUUGAUUAGUCUGUGGAUGGCUCAAGGCUACUUUAACGCAGAAGAAGACGAAGAAAUGGAGAUGAUUGGAGAAGAGUAUUUCAACAUAUUAGCAGCACGCUCUUUCUUUCAAGAGUUUAAAAAAGAUUAUUUCAAUGGUGAUUUUAUGUGGUGUAAGAUGCAUGACAUAGUACAUGAUUUUGCCCAAUUUAUAAGUAGAAAAGUAUGUCUGUGGCUAGAAAUUGAUGGUACCAAAGAAUCAGUCAUAAACUCUUUUGGUGACAAAGUCCGUCACUUAGGGUUAAAUUUUCAAGGAGGAGCUUCAUUUCCUAUGUCCAUUCAUGGACUUAAUAGAUUGCGUACCCUCUUAAUUUAUGAUAGAAGUCAUUUCAUUCCAUCUCUUAGUAGUAGCAUCCUUUCGGAGUUAUUUAAUAAAUUGGUGUGUUUAAGGGCAUUAGUUAUAAGGCAAUUUAACCUUUAAGUUUGCAUCCUGUGCCAGAUAGGAUUAGAGAAAUUCCAGAAAAUGUUGGAAAAUUGAUACAUUUAAAAUAUCUUAAUUUGAAUGGACUAUGUAUAAAGAGACUACCUGAGACUUUGUGUGAAUUAUAUAAUUUACAAAAGCUAGAUAUUAGGUGGUGCCGAAAUCUUAGAGAAUUGCCUGCGGGGAUUGGGAAGUUAAUGAACAUGAGGAGUUUACUGAAUUACGACACUCGUUCGUUGAAAUACAUGCCAAUAGGGAUUUCCAGAUUGACCAGCCUUCGAACAUUAGAAAAGUUUGUUGUGGGUGGAGGUGUUGAUGGCGGCAGCACGUGUAGGCUUGAAUCUUUGAAAAAUCUUCAACUCCUUCGUGAAUGUCGAGUAGAAGGGCUGAGUAAUGUAUCGCAUGUAGAUGAGGCUGAGAGGUUACAACUUUACAAUAAGAAAAACCUCCUUCGUUUGAAUCUCAAGUUUGGUAUAGCCGUAGAUGGGGAAGGCGAAGAAGGGAGGAGGAAGAAUGAGAAAGAUAAACAACUUCUUGAAGCCUUACAACCGCCUUUGAAUGUAGAGGAAUUACGGAUUUUGUCCUACGGAGGCAACAUGUUUCCCAAAUGGUUGACUUUGCUAACCAAUCGAAGGGAACUAAGGAUUGAUUUUUGUGAAAAUUUGCAAGAACUGCCAAUUCUAGAAGAUUGCAGGACAACAGACAUACCGCAUCUUUCUUUCUUGAUUAUUCAGAAUUGCCCCAAAUUAAAGGUGCUGCCGGAUUACCUUCUUCGGACGACGACGCUGCAGAAAUUGACAAUUUGGCGAUGUCCCCUUUUGGAAAACCGUUAUAGAGAGGGGAAAGGAGUAGACUGGCAUAAGAUAUCUCACAUUCCCCACAUCAAGUUGUCGCUGUGGAUGCCGUAAGAUAUCACUGGACGGUAAUUUCUCCUCCUCUGAUAUACUUCGUUGUUGCUUGCAAUGAAAUUAAUAAAAAUAAUUAUAUUUUGAAUUAAAAUUCUAUAUAGAAUCAAUCUUGGUAUAAAUAUGUAAAACUUCCUAGUUAUCAAAUCUGUUAGACUUGUUUUCUAUAUUUAUUUACUUUAAAAAAAUAUGUGCUCUUUUGUAAAAUUUGAUACAACAUCAUAGAAAAUCCCAAUGUAAUUUAUUUUUUAAUGUACGAAAAUUUGUUAUGUGUGACGUCCUGAGUGACAAAAUCUCCUUGAUACAUUUGCAGUAAUGUCGAAAACUAAAUUAUCAAUUUUAUCUUGUAUAAUGAUAAUCUUAUUUUUUUAUAUAUAAUUUACGUGACAUUAAUUCUUUAAAGUAAUUGUGUAAUUGUUUUUACUACAUUAGCCCACUUUGUUUUUUUUCAUACUUGUUUAAUUAUGUUCACCAGGGAUUCGAGGAAAUGUCAGAACUACACUAGCAAUUCACAGGUCCAAGCUAAUUUGGUUUUAAUGAUGCAGGCAGGAGAGCAAGACUAUGAAAAUGAAAAGUUUAGCCAAAGGAUUGCUAAAAUGUUCUGCUGGUAAUUCCCUUGCUUUAUUUUAUAGAAUUUCAUUUCUAUCUUCUUCUAUUGAUAUCUUGUUGUGAAUAAACAAGAACAGAGAGUAAAUGAUUGAACCACAGAGAAGUAAAGUAAUAUCAAAAUUCGCUAUUAUGAUGAUUUUAAAGCAAGCUCAAGCUCAAGCUUGCAUUUUUAUUUUAUUUUAUUUAUAGAACUUCCAUUUCCACCUGCAUUUCAUUUUUAUUAGACUCUAUGGAGCACAUUGGGGUAACCAAGGAUUAUCACUGUCGUUAUUGUGCAACGUUGGGUUGCUGGACUUUGAAGAAGGAAGCGAUGGCCGGGUCUGCUCUGUUUCAAUUGAGGAUGGAUAGCUGCCUGAAAGACAUGAUGAUUAUUAUUGCAUGAUGUUAAGGUGCUGAGAUCAUCAUUUCUAUCUUGUUUCAUUCUUGGAAUCGUUUAUCAUAUGCGUCAAUGGAGGCAGGUAUUUGGUGUUGACACUAUUAUGCAGGUAACCACACUUGAUAAUUUGCACAAAUUUGCGUUGUCAGAAUACCCUUUAAUAUUCAUUGUGUUUCUUUGUGUUAUCAGGUUAUCAUCUCCAAGGGUUUGAAAGAGCCUUUGCAGUUGUCAGAAUACCCUUUAAUAUUCAAUUAGGUACGUUUUGGUGCGGUCUCCCAAUGCUAAUAUCAUAUUUUGUAUAGCAAUUAAAAUUUAGCUAUACAAUUUUAAUAUGCAAUAAAUCAUUGUAUACAAAGUUUUUUAUUAAUUAUAUGGUGACUGAAAUUUUAAUUAUCAUAUCAAUUUAAAUUUUUUUGUAACUCUCUUUUACUUUGCUUGUACAGAGUACCUGUUUUGGCUGAUAUGUCUAAUUCGUAGAAAUUUAUUUCCAUCGGUUUCCAUUGGCUUUAGCACAAACAGAAACAGAGCUCUGGGGAAAAGUUUGACUUCUUGUGGUAUUAUGCCUUUGUUUCUUCAUUCAUCAUAUUUUUCGAAUUCAUGCUCUCAUUCAGAGGGUAAAGCCUUUUCAUGGCUGCUUUGUAGCCAAACUUUGACGCCAUUGAUGCAUGACUGUCAUUUAGAUUUUCCAAUAACGGUUAGAUUGGAGAAGAAUAAGAAGAUAUUGUUAAAAGGGUAUUUAAUUAGCGCCGUCUGAAUUUAGUUGCCAAUAAUGCAUUGAAAUAGUUGGGGAAAGUUAUUGUCUUAAUUAAAUUACAGGUGAUAAGAUGCUGCCUCAAUUUUGUAAGCAUCUCGUAUUGAGAAGAUUAAUUGUUGACAAGCCAAAUUUUAGGCAAAUUUUACCGUGAUUCUUGACAUCAUGGUAACACAGGUCAAAUUUUAGUAUCAAGACAUAUCUUCUUCUUUACUGUUCUGCCUCUAAAUAUUAAACUUUAGGCAAGUUGUUUUUGUUUGUGUAAGUUAUCAGGUUAAGGAUACCAAGCAGCUUAAUUGUUCACCACACCUGGUAGGAAUGAUCGCCAGGAAGAUUAAUUGUUGACAAGCCAAUUUUAUCAGUGUUAGAUUUUUUGCCUCCCUUUGAGAGAUAUCAUCAUCAAAUUUGUGUAGAGAAUCUUUGAAGAGAAUUUUGUUGUGAGAGUUUCACUGUAGUGAAUUUUGGGAGCUUGAACUCACUUGAGUGAGAUAAUAGAGUGUAUUGGGGAUUUGGGUUAUGAGUAAUCGUUAUCCUUCCAAUAUUUGCAAGCUCUUACUUGUUAGUAAAAUCAUCUUCGUAUAUUGACUCUGUUUCUUUGUUCCUUAUUUAAUUAGUUUCGAUUAUCAUAAUUAGUCACUCAUUCUGAAUUUUUCUAAUUUUAAAGUUCCUUAGGUCCGCCACCAGUUUUUCAAGUCUGCAUAUGGCUGCAAAAGAUCGAUGGUCAUAAAAUUAUCUUGAGCCUUGAGGCAUUGCGUUCGAGCUCACACUGUAACAGAGAUAAAGAUAAAGAAGACAGUAGAAGAUGCUCUAAACAUAACAAAAGUAUAUUUCUACGUCUUGUGGUUGCUUUAAUUUACUUUUGUUUCUUCUGUCAUCAUAUUUGAUUAAUUCGUUCGAAUUCACACUCUCACAUUAUUUAAAACUAUUUGUAGGUGGCUUGCAAGCUAGUUACGUUAAUGCAAAAACAAUACUCUAGACAAAGAUGAGCAAAUUAAAGGUGAUAAAUGCAAAUUGAAUGUCCAUGAAUAAUUGUUAGGCCGGUGCUGAUAAAUUGCUUCAAAGCAAGCAGCAUCUUCUGCUGCGAAGGCUUUCCCCACAUGAUAUGUUGUGAUUGUUACCGGCCCCGUAUUUAUUAACUCAGGUCAGUAUUAUCUUCUUCAUCAUUUUGGCUAUAUAUAAAGAUUAAAAUUUUGAACACUUGUCUCGGUUUCUUGUGUAAUCAGGCUAAUAGAGCAAAUGUUUACUGUCUAAGCACUAAUGCGACAAUCCCAUCUGUAAAUUUGGGCCAUCUUUGAUGUCUGACAGGUAAGCUGUGACAAUCCCAUCUGUAAGUACUAAUGCGCUUGGUUAUAGUGCUUUCAUUGGACUAUAUGCAAACAUGAGAUAUCAACUAUUGUGUGGAUUUGAUAGAGCGGUCACCAACCAUUUUGAUGUUAUUGGAGUAGCACUGUUCUUAAGCACGGCUUUGAGGUCUCUCCGUCUCUCUUUUACGUAUUUGUCUAUUGAUCGACAUCUCUAUAUAUACAUUGAUAGACCAAAUUACUCUUGCUUUAAUGUUAAUGUGGUUCCUAUAAAAGUGUAUAUAAAUCUAUCACCUCAAAGUCUGAUUUCAAUUUUCCUUUACUUAAUCAACUAGCAUCCUUUCCAAGUCCAGAUACUUACCAAUAGUGAGACUUUGCUACGGAAGUACAAUUUCUCUUGUUUUAUAGUUAAGUAUGUAAGAAUAGUUUCAAAUUUACAAAUUUCUGAUAUAGUUCUCUACGGAAAUGCGAGUGGUGAAUAUGGUUCCAACUUUUAAUAGGCUUAAUUGGCCCAUUUGUUCAGCCACAGUGAUUGCGGUCUGAAUUCUUCUUUACUGUCUCUAUGUGUUGGAGUUUGUCUAUUGUCCAACUUCUCCAAUGGAUUCCAUGCAGGGUUUUGAAUGUCUAAUUAGGAGAAAUCAACGGAUGACCUUUUGAAGAAGGCUUACACAACAGGCCAUCUCAGGAUGUCAUGGCUCAGCUCAAAAGUCCCCAGGUGGUUGAUACCAAAGAGUGCCAUUGUUUCUGGGCUUGGGCUCCUUGGCGUCAAACAAGAUAAUGGGAAAUAGGGGCAACUAAAGCGCGAAGAAAGAGGAUGGUCUGGAGGAAGGUGUCUGCAUAAAUUUGUUGGAGUUGAUGUAGUCAAUUGCCCAAUUUUGCUGCCUGUCGAAGAGACACAGCAUGGAAGUCCUCAUCAAACUCUGAGACACCUAAGAAAUAGUAUGAGGUGGUGGUAUUCCCCUGGUGUUAAUUUCCUGGCAAGUGUGGUUCACAGAUAGAGGGAUUCUUUUCUUGAUGUCUAAAUACCAAAUGUGAUGCAACGUCGUAUAUUCUAAGAUAUUAAAUUCUAUUUCAGAUUUCUCAUAUAGUGUCGUUGUCACUUCUGUGGUACACUUUUGAUCGCAAAUUUCCAUUUGAAGUAGCCGAUAUUCUUUACAGACUAAUUAUCUAAUGAUUAUUUUGUACAAAAAAAAUCAAAACUUUAAUUAUUUGAUCAUACUCAACUUAGGUCUUAUUCGAUAUUACUAGUUGUUAAUGUGUAAUAAAUGUAUGACUUUUAAAUAAUAAUUUUAAUAAAAAUAAUAAAGAUAUUAUAAGUUUUUUUUUAUAAUAAAGUAUGAGAUCAAAUCAAAUUAAUUUUGAAGUCACAAUAGCAAAUGUUUACCAAAACUAUUUAAUUAUAUGACUUAAAAGAUAUAGUUGUCCAAUCCCAACAAUAUAUAUAAAGAUUUACCAAACUUUACCCGACUUUAGUUGUACCCACUUGAUUAUGUAAGUCCAUUCUCCACGCGCUUGACCAUAUGAGAUGUUACUCAACUUUAACAAAUCUUACUUAAACUUUGCACGUUUGACAUGUUGGAUGAAAUAUAGCAUAUGAUGUGAUAGAAUACAAUAGGAAUGGUUGUAACAAGAUUAUAAUUAGUACUAGUUUGUAUUUUAUGUGAUGUAGAACGCAUUAUAUUACAACUUUUAGUGUUAUACUAAUUAAAAAUUUGAAUUAUUUUAUUAUUGUAAAAAUUUAAUAUCUUAAAUAACAGUUAUUUUAAUUAAGUAUUUUUGUUGCAAUGAAUUAUACUUUUUUAAAUAUAAUUGAAAAUUCUUAUUACUAAACUAAUAAAAAAUUAAUUAUUUGAGUUAUCUCCUAAACUACUUAGCUUACGAGAUAAAUUCACUUUGUUUAGAAUGAAACGGAUUACAUUUAGUACUAUUUUGUAUUUUAUGUGACGUAGUGUAUGAUUCAAUUAUAUUACAAAUUUUAUUGUAAUAAAAAAAUUUUGAAUUAUUUUAUUAUUGUAAAAAUACAAUAUCUUAAAUAACAAUUAUUUUUAUUAAGUAUUUUUUAAUGAUUUAAAAUAUAAUUGUAAAUUCUUAUUAUUAAACUAAUAAAAAAUUAAUUAUUUGAGUCAUCUCCUAAACUACUUAUUUCACGAGAUAAUUUCACUUAGUUUAGGAUGAAACGGUGGGUUAUUUUUAUGUGGGAGCCACAUCCUUUCCAUAUGAGAUGUUACUCAACUUUAACAAAACUUACUCAAACUUUGCACGUUUGGCAUGCCGGAUGGAAUAUGAUAGUAUAUGAUGUGAUAGAAUAUUAUAUGAUUAGAUGUAAUAGGAUUAUAUUUGGUCUUGUUUUAUAUUUUAUGUGAUCUAGUAUAUGAAUGGAUUAUAUUACAAAUUUUAUUGUUAUAAUAAUUAAAAUUUUGAAUUAUUUUAUUAUUGAAAAAAUAAAUAACAGUUAUUUUGAUUAAGUUUUUUUUUUCUGUUGAAUUAUAGUUUUAAAAUAUAAUCCAAAAUUUUUAUUACUAAACUAAUAAAAAAUUAAUUAUUUGAGUUAUGUCCUAAACCAACUUAGCUCACGAGAUAAAUUCACUUAUUUUAGAACGAAACGGCGGGUUUUAUGUGGGAAGCCACAUCCUUUCCAUAUCAACCUCAACAUCCAAACAUGAAAUUGGACUAAGAAUAGUUCUUUCCCAUGUAUUUACGUACCCUCCUGCCACUAAACGUAAUUGUAUAUUUUGGACCUUAUUUGACUUGAUUUUAUUAACUUAAUUUUCUCCAAUUUCCAUUGUCGACGUUGAGUGCAUGUAAUUAAUCCACAAGUUUUGAUUGAGCAGAAAUAGCCAAAAAAAACUGAUGAUAUGAUAAUAGCAAAAAAUCUAAUGACACCCACGUCCAAAGAUGCCGUUGUCACAAAGGCCUGGACGCCAUACCUCGAACCCAUCCCCUUUUACCAUGAGUGAUGAUACAGCCACAAACUCUUAUACAAACUUAUUUUAUACAAACUAAUGUGACAUCAAUUCAAUGGUUGAAUGAAAAUAUAAAAUAAUGAAAGUAAAUCAUGUGGGCCAAGAGAUAUUUAAUUUAACCAAUAAAUUGACGCCACAUAAGUUUGUACAAAAUAAAUUUGUAUAAGAGUUUGUGGCUGUAUUACUGUAUUAUUACUCUUUUACCAUAUUUUAUAAUUAAAGAGGUCAUUGUUUGAAAGAAAAGAAUGACAUGUUGGUAUGAAAUUACGUUAAAAUGAAUAUAUCACUUUUUUUUUUGUGUGAGUGAUGGCUUCGUUUAAUGACAAUUGGCAGACAAUGAAUCAUCUUUUAAUUUUAGUUUUGAUUUAAUAAAAAAUAUUAAUUUUUGUAGUUUCGGUAGAUGAAAUUUCGAAUCAAAUAUUAAUAUCGUUAAAGUACGCAACUCAAUAUUUACUUAAAUCAGAAAAAAGAUUAAUUGCUUUACAUGAAAAAGAAAAGAAAAGAAAAGAGUGAUCACUUGAUUUAACUUCCUUUACUAAAUUUACGAUUUAAAAUCUAAAAUGGAAAAAGGAAAACAAGUUUUGGAAACACACUCGGAGUUUUAAAUUGAUAUGAAAAAAGAGUUUAUUAUUGACAAUCUUUUUCCCAAAAUUUAAGCUAAGACAACAAUAUGUCCAAAAUACCCUCCACAUUAUCCCAAAACUUUAUAAACUCCCCCGUUCCUCUCAACAUCAUCUCUUCCAAAUCUUUCUUCCCCCCAAAAACCAGCCAUGGCUUCAUAUUCAAUUACCUCAACACUCCAAUAUUGGCUUGUAAACCACCCCCAAAUCCUCAACUUCACAUGGACUCCGAACCAAACACUAGCUUCCUCCCCACACUUCCUCAUUCUCUCCAUCCUCACUUACCUCUCCCUCACAUUCAUCCUCUACCACGCAUCAACAUCAACAUCACCACCUCUCAUUGGACCCCACAUCCUCAAGCCCAUCACAGCCGUCCAUAACCUCACCCUCUUCGUCCUCUCCCUCAUCAUGGCCGUUGGUUGCACUCUCUCCAUCAUCCUCCAUUUACCCUACCUCCGUUACACCCUUUGUUUCCCCACUACCAUUUCUCCGUCUGGCCCUCUCUUCUUCUACGCUUACAUCUUCUACCUCUCCAAAAUACUCGAAUUCUUUGACACCCUUUUGAUCAUUUUAUCAAACUCCAUCCAACGGCUCACGUUCCUCCACGUCUACCACCAUCAACCGUCGUUGUAAUGUGCUUCCUUUGGUUACAGACGAAGCAGUCUUUGUUUCCUAUUGCAAUUGUCACCAAUGCAAGUGUGCAUGUGAUCAUGUACGGGUACUAUCUAUUGUGUGUGAUGGGGUUGCGGCCAAAGUGGAAGAGAUUGGUCACUGAUUGUCAGAUUCUUCAGUUUGUGUUUGGUUUUGCUGUUUCGGUUUUGAUGCUGUAUUAUCAUUUCACGGGUUUUGGUUGCUCUGGGAUUUGGGGAUGGUGCUUCAACGUUGUGUUUAAUGCGUCCCUUUUGGCACUUUUUGUUAAUUUUUAUUCCAAGAGCUAUGCUAAGAAAAAGAAGCAGGGAUGAUCAAAGUGCUAUGAUUGUUUUGUGUUUUCUUUUUUAAUUUAUUUGAUUUUGGUUAAUUAUGAAUGGUGGUAAUUGGUUGAAUGCAAUUGAAGAGAUGCUUUCAGUUGCCUAAACUUUGUUUUUUCAAUUUUUGUUAUAGAUGUCAUAUGUCACCACAUUUUUUUAGUCUCUCCCUUUAAAAUUCCCUCACACAAACUUCGGAUUUGUAUUUUGUAAACUAGAAUUUUUCAUUUUCGUUAAUGUGUUAGCUGUUAUUAUCUACAAUUAUGUCAUACGACACACAUGUCACAUCAACUAAAAUUAGAUUAUGAAUUUUGGGCACAGGGCCAAGUCCCACCGUUUGGUAGGAAAUAAGUGUUGGAUCAUAAACUUGAUCCAAGAUAAAUAAAUUCAACCUUAACUCAUGGAAGGUUCCAUGAGUAGGUAUGGUUAGUGAGGUUUGAAUUAUUUGUGUUAGGUGUGGUAGGUGUGGUUGGUGAAGUAGGUGAGUGGUAGGUUUUAAUGGAUGGUGAGUAUUUGUGUAUUAGUUGAAUAAAUGAAUGGUUGUGAUUAGUUUGUUUCAUGGAUAAAUACCCCCUCUCCCCUUUGGUUUAAAUAUCAAGUGAAAUAACAAAAUCUCUAAGGUGUAGAGAGUGAAAAAUAAGAGUUGUAAUUAGUGAGGAGUGUUGUUGAAGAAAUAAAAUAGUGUGUUUUAUUUGUUAACUCUCCAACAAAGUGGUAUCAAAGCUAGUGCUUGAUGCUAUAUAUUGUCAUAUAGCAUAUCAAAUCGAAGAUCUCGAUGAGAGGAACGUGACGCCGCAAAAAUCAUCCUGACCAAAGACCAGACGCGCCCAAGCUCGCCGUCAGAAUUUUUCUGUCCUGAAGCUGAGUCGACUCACCGAGUUGAACCAACCUGAGUCGAGCCGAACUGAACCGAAUCAAGUCGAACCAAGCCAACUGGAGUUGAACCAAUCCGGACCGAACCAAGACUACUAAGCCAACGCUGACCGUUGACUGAAAGUUGACUCAAGUUCUUCCCAAGGCUUUUCGACGUGCCGGAUCCAUCUGUGCUUUCAGAAUCUCCAAAUUCUCACUCAAUUUGUGAGUUAUGGAAAACGGUGGUCUGAUGUCAUUUCAAGUUCCACAAUUAAAGAGAAGUAAGUUUGACAAUUGGAGUAUUAAAAUGAAGGCUCUAUUGGGUGCACAUGACGUAUGAGAUAUCAUGGAAAAAAAGCUUUAUUGAGCCAGAAAAUGAAGCCACUUUAACUGCGGCAUAGAAUGAGAAUUUAAAAGACUUGAAGAAGAAAGAGAAUAAAGCAAAGUAUCUCAUCUUUCAAUCAUUAGAUGAAGAUGCCUUUGAAAAGAUUGCUGGUAAAACGUGAGAAACUAGAGACCUCUUACAAAGGAGCGAAGAAAGUUAAGAAGGUUCAUCUCCAAAUAUUCCGAGGAGAAUUUGAGUCCUUACACAUGAAGGCGUCGGAGUCAAUUUCUGAAUACUUUACUUGGGUUGUGACCAUUUCUAAUGAAUUAAAAAGAAAUGGCGAGGAGUUAAAAGAGGUAAGGAUCAUUGAAAAAAUACUUCGAUUAGUAUACUCGAAGUUUGACCAUAUUAUUGUGACAAUUGAGGAAACAAGAGAUCUAGAGGAUAUGACGAUCGAGCAACUUUAAGAAAGGUUGCAAGUCUAUGAAGAAAAACAAAAAAAGAAGCAAGGAAUCGAAGAACAACUUCUCAAGAUGGAGGUCAAUCCAAAGAAAAGAAAAGAAAGCUCCGACAACGGAAGAAGGCAUAUUUAUCUCCCAAGAAAGCUAUACAAAGGAGAUUCUAAAAAAGUUCAAGAUGAAUGAUUGCAAGCCUAUAAGCACGCCAGUGGAAUGUAGAGUCAAGUUAUCUAAACAUGAUGAAGGGGAAGAUAUAGAUCCAACAUUCUUUAAAAGUUUAGUCGGAAGCCUACGUUAUUUGACAUGCACCAGACCAGAUAUCCUUUAUGUUGUUGGACUUGUGAGCCGAUACAUGAAGAAUCCAAAGACCACCCAUUUUAAAGCUGCAAAAAGAAUCCUUUGCUACAUCAAAGGUACAACUAAUUUUAGCUUGUUAUACUCAUUUUCUAAUGACUCCAAGCUUGUUGGAUAUAGCGAUAGCGAUUGGGGUGGAGAUGUAGAUGAUCGAAAGAGCACCACAGGAUUUGUGUUCUUCAUGGGAGAUACUGCUUUCACAUGGAUGUCAAAGAAGAAAACAAUUGUCCUGCUAUGCACCUAUGAAGCUGAAUAUGUAGCUGCCACAUCAAGUGUUGAUAAUAAUUUGGCUCAGAAAUUUGUUGAAGGAAUUAGGUUUGCCACAAAAAGAGCCAACCGAGAUUUGUGUUGAUAACAAAUCAGCAAUUGCCCUAUCCAAGAAUCCAAUCUUUCAUGAUUGAAGCAAACACAUAGACACUUGCUAUCAUUUCAUAAGAGAAUUUAUUACAAGAAAAGAAGUGCAAGUCAAGUAUGUAAAAUCACAAGAUCAAGCAGCUGAUAUCUUCACUAAGCCACUCAAGCAAGAAGACUUCGUAAAAUUCAGAAGUUUGCCUGGUGUCACAGGAUCAAGUUUAAGGGGGGGUGUUGGAUCAUAAACUUGAUCCAAGAUGAAUAAAUUCAAGCCCAACUCAUGGAAGGUUCUAUGAAUAUGUAUGGUUGGUGAGGUUUGAAUUAUUUGUGUUAGGUGUAGUAGGUGUGGUUAGUGAAGUAGGUGAGUGGUAGGUUUUAAUAGAUGGUGAGUAUUUGUGUAUUAGUUGAAUAAAUGAAUGGUUGUGAUUAUUUUUGUUUCAUGUAUAAAUCUCUAAGCUGUAGAGAGUGAAAAAUAAGAGUUGUAAUUAGUGAGGAGUAUUGUUGAAGAAAUAAAAUAAUGUGAUUUUUGUGUGUUUUAUUUGUUAAUUCUCCAACAAUAAGGAGCAUUAAUGAAAUAUGUUUAAUUAAGUAAUAAUUUGUUAUUUUAGAGUGAAAAAUAAGGGUAAAUUGUAUUCUACCCCAUAUUAGAUUGACAAACUUCAAUUUACCCCUUAAAAGUACAAAAACUUCAACUUAUCUCCAAAUACCAUUUUCUUCCCGUUAAAUUUAACUAUCGAAAGUAUAAAAUUAUAGUCUUACAUUCUCUCAACAGUCAACUCAUGGAUAAGAAGUCAAAACAUAUAUAUAAGGUAAUUUCCAUAAAACCCAAUGUAGGGGCGGGCAAUUGUUUGGUUUAGAAGUUAGGAACCGAAUGGUUUGAAAACAAAUGAACUGAUUGGUUUAUAUUUGGUUUACUUUGAACUGACAAACCGAUUGGUUCGCUUAAACUUAAUUAAAAAUACAUUUAUUUUAAAAUAUAAAUGCUUAAAAUAAUUUUUUUUUUCAUUUUUCAGUUUCCUAAUCUAAAAAUGUUUCAUAACCCUAAAUCAGCCGCCAUCUCUCUCAAGGUCGACGGCGGCACAACAAGCUCUCUCGGUCUCUCCCUCGCAAUCUCAUGGUGAUUGAUUUCUCGUGAUGUCUCCACUUUUGUUUCUUGUUCUUGUGUGAUCGAAUUCUCUCUAUACACACAUAGCCUAGCCUCUUGUUUUUUGGCUCAAUGGAGUUUCGUUUCUUUUCUCUCAGUUUCUUUCCUGUUGAAUUCUCGUGAUGUUUCUAUUUUUUUCUUUUUUUUUAGACAUGUUUUCGAAAUUGGCAUAAUACGAACCAAACCUGAACUGAAUUUCAAAAUCAAAUCGAAUUGAACCAAACUGAAAUUUUUAUGUUCGGUUUGGUUCGAUUAAAAAAUUUGGUAUGCGUUCGGUUCUCUUUCUUACGAACCAUUGGGUUUUAGUUCGGUUCGGUUUUGGUCUAGAAAAGAACUAACUAGAACCGAACCAAACCAAACCAAACCAAACCAUUUACUGGCCACCUUGCUCAUAUGUUUCAACAAAUUUCAAUGCACACUUAAACAUUUCAAUAAAAUUCGCUUUGUACCCAAAUUGAUAAUUUUUACUUUUUAAUUAGUUAAUUGUUAACUGCAGAAGUAUAAAAAAUUAUUUCUUUUUAAAAUAAGAAAAAUAAUUUUUUUCUAACUUUUUUCCUUUUUUAUUUUCUAGUUAAUUUCUUUAUCUGGUUCGGUUCAUUUUUCCCUUUUUUAUUUCUUACUGUUUUCCGCAUGUUCUCCACGCUUGAACUUUGCCAAGCAUCAUAAGGCCACAGUAGCCAUGCCAGCAACUUGCAACUAGGGGUGGGCAAAAAAACCGUAGUCUUAAAAAAACCGAACCGAACCGACGGUUUUUUCUAAUUCGGUUCGGUUUUUAUUUUUUUAAAAAACCGAAUAUACCGUUUGUAAAAAAAACCGAAAUGUCGGUUCGGUAUUCGGUUCACUUAGCUGAACCGAAAAACCGAACCGAAAAACCGAAUUAUUUUUUGAUUUUAUUCAAAUCAAACAUGUGUUAAUAAUUUUAUUCAAAUCAAACAUGUGUUAUUUCUCUUUAUAACAUUAUGAUUAUGUUUAUAUAGAUGGAGUAUUGGAGUUUGGUUAUAUAUUUUGAAAUUUUAAUAUUUCAUAUAUUUGGGAGUAUCUUAUUAAUAGUUAGUAAGAUAUUAGUGAUAAAAUGUGUUUUGAAUACUUUGUAUUUAUUGUUAAUAUUUGUAAUAAAAUUAGGAUAAAUUAAUUGUUGAAAAAAAUUAUUACAUUUAUGAGGCCCAAUGGGCUAAAAAUUUUAAAAUUCAAAAUAGGCCUAAUAGGCCCAGAACCGAAAAAACCGAACCGAACCAAACCGAUCUGAAAAGAACCGUUUGAGUUCGGUUCUUAUUGAGUUUGGUUCUUAUUCGGUUCUUUUUAUAAAAUAACCGAUUUAAAUCGGUUCUACUUAAUUUCGAACCGAACCGAACCGAACCGAACCGAACCGUGCCCACCCCUACUUGCAACAAAGUUUAGAGCUGCGCGAUGGUUGCAGCAACGUUAACGCCGCUAUUCCAAGUCUUGGCCCAUCAUCUCCUUUUCAACAAAUCUUAGCUUCUUCCCAAAUUCAUCAAUGAACCCCAAAACCAGAAUAAUCAUUAAAAUUAUUAACAACCAUUUGCUUGGAUCAAUGUAUGCUUGGCAUGUCUAUGGGCUUACUUGGAAUGGUCGCUGAUGGCCAUGGGCUUGCUUGGAUUGGCCGCGCACAGCCAUGGGCUUGCUUGGAAUGCCGGUACCCGUUUGCCACGGUUUUGCUAGCGUAUCCAUGGGUUUUGUUGGACAUGGCAGUGCGAGGCCAUGGGUGUUGCCGGACAAUGGACAUGGGUUUUGCUGGGCUGAUUAGGAAUUAACAGAGGCUAUGGAGUUGUUCAGUGUGUGAAAGAGAAAAAAACAUGAACGAAGAAGAAUAUGAACAGGGAAUAGAACGAAGAAGAUGAAGAAAGUAGAAGAGAGGGAAAAAAUAUUUUGCUUUUUUAUAAAUUUUCGGAUUUUUAUUUCAAAAUUUAUAAUUUUUGUUUAAAUUUGAGAAUCUUAAGGGUAAGAUUUUCUUUGUAACUAUGUGUAGAAGGAGGUUUUCAGAUGGUUUUUGGUUGGGUUAACAUGAAAUAUGCUUGUUUUAUGAAAUAUUAUUAUUGAGGUUUUGUUUUAUUUUCUAAAAAAUAGAUUAGAGGAUGAUUUUCAUUAAUGACACCCAUAAAGUUUGAAUUAGUUAUAUUAUAGAAAUAGUAGGGAUUUAAAUGAUAUAUCUUUUCAACAUAAAUAUAUCAGUAACAUAAGUUAUUCUAUAAUUAACAGGGUAUUAUCGUAUUUUAGUGAGUCAUUAUUGGUUGAUAGUUAUAUUUAACAGAUUUUAGACAGUAAAUUGAAGUUUAUUUUUUUUAUUUUUGAGUAAAUUAAAAUAUGUCAAUCUCAUAAGGGGUUAAAAUAUAAUUUAUCCAAAAAUUAGUGUUAAAAUUUUAUAGAUGAGUGUAUAUUAAGAUGUUCAAAGUAUUAGAACAUAAAUAAUCUUAGUUUUAAUAAAAUUUUGCCACAUAGUGAAUAUUAUCCUCAACCUCAAGAGAAACAUAUCAAUAAAAUAUACAAAAAUAGAAUGCAUUAGUACAUGUCAAUAACAAGACCAAUUAGAUCAUGUCAUAUUUGUUAUGUAGUUAUUUAAGCUAAUAGAGUAAGAAGUCCCAAAUACAUGUACAUCAUAUCUUGGUGAAGAAAUCGGUUCUACCCGAAAUACUUCUUCGUAUUGAAAUCAAUGAUGAUUGCUUGUUUAAAUAAUGAAAGUUAAAAUAAUUUUGUAAAUAAUUUCAUUCUUUAAUUUACGGUAUACAAAUAAAUUCAAAAAAUGUUAAUUUCUCUCAUACUUUUAGGACCCAAAAAAUAACAAAAAGUCUUAACAUAUUUAAUGGUUAUAUAUAAAUCAUCCGUACGUAUUUUUCUUGAGAGAAGCUCAAUUCGAUAGACAAUGCUCCCCUUAAUUUUCUUUUCUAAUUAGAUAAAAGAACAAGAGAAAUUGAUUACAAGAAUAACAAACUUUAAUUUACUUCUUAAAGGGUAAAAACCUUAAUUUACUUCUUAAAGGGUAAAAACCUCAAUUUGUCCUUAUAUUUGUUCAAAAGAUACAUUUUGUCUUCUUAAUAUAAACAAGUUAAAUUGAUGUUUCACAUCUUUUAGAAAUAAAUUAAAGAUUGUUAUUUUAAGUAGGAGGUAAAUUUCAAAUAAAACAUGUGUUCAUAUGAUAGAUGUGCAUUUUACAAUAAUUAAUAAACAAAAGGGUAGUGAUAUUUUCAACCUGUAAUUUUUGUAAAUCCACCCCCACUCCCAAGAAAUAAUUACAAUAAAUUCACAUAACUUUUUUAAAACUCAAAUAAAGAAAAAUUUUGGAGAUUUAAACUAUUGUAUACAAGAGGAUAAGAGUAAAUAUUUUUCAUGCAGUAUAAAAAGAAUGCGACAGCUCCUUUUCUUUCGGUAUUUUCACAACAAAAGCACACUUAAUAACUCAUCAAAUUAUUUCUCCUUUUCUUUGAUCGCUUCCCCUCUCCUGGAGCUGCUGAACUCCUUUGUUGCUGAUGAAGGGAACAAGUGAGGCUUUUCAAAAGAGGGCAAAGAGAUGGUGAUUCGAUUUGAUUCGAUAAUAGUAGUUUAUUUUAAUUGUUAUUCAUUUGAUUUCAUAGAAGUAAUUUUUAUUUUCAUUUUUUUGUUGAAAAUUGGUAAAAACGAACUAAAAUGAGAUAAUUACAUUAAAACAAUCUUCAAUGACUAAAGUAAUUUGAAAAAAUAAAAAUAAAAAUAAACAAGCUCAAAAUUUACCCCUAAUCCGAACAUUAUCCGAAUUCAGCCUAAUUGACCCAAAUCUAAUUGUAAUCCAAACUUGACAUGACCCGCAUAUAAUUAUAACCCGAUCAGAUCCAAACUCGACCUGAAUUUUUAAUUCAAUACGAUCCAAUCCAAAUAUUCCAAUCCCAUCAAAAUGAAACUUGAUUGGGUUGAUCCGAACCCGAAUUUGCCACUUCCGGAGGAGACCAUGACCCUAAAGGCUUUGAAAUAAUCUUUGCGGUUUCUUAAUGAAAUAGUAAAAGUUAUGCGCAAAAAGACUGUUUUGACCCUAGAAUACAUGAUAUAUAAAUUUCAGACAUUAUAUUCUGUGAAAUAAAGUCAAAGUAAACUGGUUGUUUGAUUUUUUAUUAAUUAUUUUCCAUUAUGACAAAAUGACAAAUAGACUUUAUUAAAAGUUUAAUAAAGUUUGGGCCUAACUCCUUGAUUUUUAUUUUUUUUAAUUAUUUUUCAUUUUGUUUUUUACUUGCAACAUUAGCUUUAAUUAUCAAUAGUCUCCAAAUCAAAAUGACUGCAACCUGUAGCUACAAGCAAAAUUCUCAAAUUUUGAAAUUUCUAACGACUACAUAAGAGCUAUAAAUAGAAAAAUCAUCUAAAAUUAAUCCUCCUUCAGAGGCAGAUUAAAUUCUUAGUAAUUUCAUAUAAUUUCAUUUCAUCAGAACAAUUUUCCAAAAGCAAUUUUAUAAAUGGUUGUCGAAAGCUUUAUCCCUUAAUUAUAUGUCACGUAUUUUCUUUGUGAUAUGAGGCGUGUCCAUAGACCAUAGUAUGAUAUUUAUUGUAAUUAAAAUCAUUAUGGAACUGAUUUUAUUCUUGUUUCUCAAACAAAAUAUCUAACUGCAGAUGUAAUAAAUUACUAAUUACCAUUAUUUGAGUCGCACUCUUUGAAUUGGAUCUUGGAGUUUCGAAUGACCAAAUGAAUUAGUGAGAUAAUGGCUUUUGCUUUUGUCUACCUGAUAAUAAAAUUUGUCCACCAUAUAGACAAGAAAUGGAUCGGAUCCAUAUGCUAUAGCUAAAUUGAAAAAUUUAUGUGGAGUUUUAUUGUAAGACAUUUUUAUCUGAAUAGAAAAAAUAAAUUUUUUUUAUUUUUAUCUAAAUGAUAAAAUAUCUGAAUAAAAAAUCAGUUUUCUUCUCACAAAUACCCUCAUUAAAUAUAUUUAUUUUCUACUUAGCUAUUAGAUGUCAUAUUAGAAUUUCCUUUGAUCUCAGAUUUUACUUGGUAUUAAAUACUUAAUCUGCGUUCGAUUCGAAUUUAGACAAAUUCUUUUGUCAUUAGAUAACAACGUUUUUACUGAAUUUGAUGUUCAUACAGAAACAGUCAAGUCCUUGUUGACUGAAAUUGGCAUUUCUCUUGUCUCUGCUCCUAUCAUUUGGUGUGAUAACCAAAGUGCAGCUGCCUUAGCAAGUAAUCCUAAAUUCCAAGAACUUAAAUUUAACUCUAAUAAAAGCUCAAAGUUAGUUAUGUUCCAAGUUCUCAUAAGUCAUAACUCAUCUGAUAUCCUUACUAAAGCUUUAGCUUAUCACCCUUUUCAUUAUCUGAGAGACAAGCUCACCCUGACUUCACUAGGCUGAGCUUGAGGGGAGAUGUUAAGAGUAUAAGCUGAAGCUGCUGAGCUGGCUGGUGACGUGCUGACGGUGUUGAGUUGACUAAUGUUUUGUAACUAAGUUGCUGAGCUGGAUUGGGUUGUUAUUUGCACUGAAUAAGUUGUAACGAAUUGUCCAGCUGGCUUGUUAUGAUUGGAAGGCUAAUUAGUUUGUUAAUAUUGCAGCUUUGAGCUCUGUUUCUGUAAUCAGUUUUGAGUGUAACUAUAAAUAUCACGCUCAUAAUGUAUGAUUUCAGCUUUAAUCAAUAAGAAUCUGUGAUUGUUCCAGAAACUUCAUAGUCAAAUUUUCUUUCUUAAUUUUCUUUCACUUUCUCUCGUGCCAAACACCUUAUUGAUUCAAAUAAAACUCCAUCCAAAGGCUCACGUUCCUCCACGUCUAUCACCAUGCAACCGUCGUCGUAAUGUGCUACCUUUGGUUACAUAGUAACCAUGUUAAAUUGGAUUUUCUAUAUGAUAUUAUCGUUAGCUUCAUUGUUUAAAUAUACCGUUAGUGAAAGAAUCGUUCGUGAUUAGGUACUUUACAACUACAACACGAUAAGCAAUCAAAGUUACAUGAAAGAAUCAGUAAUUAGUAGUUAGGUUAGAGGUGAAACGUGCAUGUUACAGGGAAGUAGAAAACAUGUCAAGUUGUUAUCAUAAAGUGAAUAUCCAAUUUAAGAAGAUAAUAACUGGAUUUUGAAUUCAAUUUCACUCUGUUUUAGUAGUAUGUAUUAUAUCUCACGAAUAUGAUAUCAGUGAAAAAUGUAUAAGUUAUGGGCUUUGAAUUUAUAUUAAUGCAUAUAUACUAGCUAUGAAAAUGACGAAUUCUAAACAGAUUUUGCUAUUUAACAAGUAAUUAAGAGGUCUAGCAAUCAAUUAAUAAAAAAGUAAUUCAAUAUAACAUUGCUACAAAGAAAUUAAACUAUAUAUAACAACUAUUUCAAUGAGACUAAUGAUAAUUAUAUCUAAGGUUUGAUCGAACAAACGGGCAAGAACAGCAAAAGCUAAUCUUAAUUUAGAAAUUUUUAUAAGGGGGGAGGAUUGUAAUAUACGCACUUGGACUUUCUUAAUAAAGUGCUGAUUUUUAUUUUCCUCUUCUCUAUUAAUUUUUAAUUUCGUCACUAUAGUUUAAUUGGGAUAAAUUGAGCUCGAUUAUACGCGCCGAUGGUCGGAUUUUAUUUUCGUAACGGGUCUGAAAUUCGCUUAAUUUGUAUUAAGCUUAAAAAAAAAAAAAAAAAAAAAAAAAAAAAGAGGGGCAGAAUUGUAUAACUGGAAAGAGGGAAACGGGUUUUCCAUUUUAGAGAGAAAGAACCCGAGAAGAGAGAGAAAGAUAGAGAGAGAAGUCAGACCCGUUGACCCGAGAACCCGACCCAGUAACCCGCGGAUUGACCCGACGAUUUCUCCCAACUCCAGCCACUUUACCGGCCGUGCUUGGUACCGAUCUGAAGCUUGGAAGCAGACCAUCGUAUCCCUGCUGUUAUCGUCGCCGGAAACUGGCCAGAACGCCGGUGAUCGAGCUCGAAAAGUCGCGGCUUCGACCCGUUUUCGUUGCCGUUGAUCCCGCCGGAGUUGUGACGCGCCACCACUUGGAACUGGUUCCUCACAUCCCCAGCAACAUUUCCCGACCAGCAACGACCGCCGGGGACGCCCGGAACUCGCCGAAUGAUCUCCGAAAAUUUGCGGAACUUUGGAACUUCGAUCCGCCGCCGGUAGCGCGCGUGGCGACUCACUGCCACCACCGUUGGAUUCAUCGAGGCCGGAACUAGCAGACCUAAGCUCCCCGUCAUCGUUGACUGAAGUCCGGUCACCGUUGACCGGCAGGGGCAAUUCGGUAAAUUCAUGAAACUUUGGGGUGAAUUUGUAAUUUUAUGUAAUCAGUGGACAUUUCGGUAAUUUUAUGCCCUGAGGGUAAUUUCGUAAUUUCGGACAAUGUGAUUAAUUUAUGUAAUCUGAAUUGAGGACAAUAUGGGUAUUAACGAAUAUGAGGAUAAUUUGGUAAAAUCAUGAAGUUUGAGGAUAAGUUGGUAAAAUAUUGAUGUUGGGGUAUUUUGGUAAUUUUGGCCUAUAGGGGCAUUUUGGUAAUUUUAUACAUGCGGGACUAGUUUAUCGUUAAUAGAUAUUUGUUUCGAGAUUUAUUAUAUUAAUUGGUUUUUACGGAGAAUAAUUAUGGUGUUUUCCGUGAUUAGGAGGAUCCGCAUCCGCGAACGAGAAUCUACCCGCGGACGUUGUUGAUACUGAGUCUAGACAUCAUCACUGUGAGUGGAAUAUACAAAACCUAUUUUCAUAGUAUAUGCUGAUUUUCUUAUAUAGUACAGUAUGUUUGAGAAAUAAAUGUUUAAUGCGUUGAUUUAAUGAUUUUCCAGCGAAUUGACUUUUAUUUAUGUGUUGAUAUUUAUUAUGAUUGAGAAUGAGUUCGAUUUAUGAUUUUAUUAGCGUUUUUGAGUAAAAGCAUGAUAUUAGAAUUGAGCAGACUUGAGAUAUGUUGAAUAGAAAGAAAAUGAGAUUUCAGAUGGGAUCAUAUGUUUACUAUCAGUUUUGAAAUCAUUAGACAGUACCCUUCCCUCCAGAUACAGAGAUACAGAUAAAAAGAGAUACAGAUAAGAGAUACAGAUAAGAUGAGAUAGAGGCCUUUGGGGCCCGUCGGGACACACAUAGAGGCUUUGGGCCGUGUGUUCGGGCGCUUUUGCCUUUUGGGGGCUUAUGCAUGCACAGUACAGAUAUAUGAGAUAAGAGAUAUGAGAUAUGAGAUGAGAUCGUCCCCAUCUAUCCGUUGUGGCUCCGGGGCGUGACGUUACCCAGAUAGUGCGUUAUUGCCUGGCCGUUGUAGCCCGGAUAUGAUCAGAUUAUCCCCUGGGUACUUGUUUGAUGACAGUUUUUAGUAUUCAGUAUUUAAUAUGAGUAUGGUGAUUCCAUCGAUUUUAUGCAGAUUUAUUAUUGCAGUUAUUCAAUUUGAAUUAAAUGAGUUUAUGAUAUUUUGAGAAAUUGAUUUGAGAAUUGAUUUACGAAAUUGAAAUUGAUUUAAGAAAAGAUUUGAGAAAGAUUAAAUGAUUUUGAAUAAUUUAUUAAAGUAUCAGCACCUACUAUCCACUCACUGAGCUCACUGAGUUUUAUACUCACCCCUCUUUUAUUAUAUUUUUCCCCCCACAGGAGAUUUACAGGUACAUCAGUCAACCCAGUAGUGAACGUUAGUUUGAUAUUGUGGUCACGUGAUGGUGCUAGAAGUCGUGGAUUUUAUUAUUAUAUUCGAAAUUUGUGUUAUUAUUUUAUGUUAUUAAGGAUAAUCGUUGUAUUUUAAUAUUCGGAUGAUUUUGGUGAUAUUUGAGAAGUUGGUUUGAGAAGUUGGUUAUGGAGGAUGUUUGGUUAUUAAAUUAUUUCGGGAGUGUUAUUUUGUCAAUUGCAGGGUUGGAUAUGUUUUAUUUAUAAGGGAGACUCUGCCGAAAUUUUUAUAGAUUUGUUAUUAAUUCGAUUUUACGAGUUUAGAUAGACUCGCCCUGGGGGAGGUUGCGGGGCGGGUCGUUUCAGUUGGUAUCAGAGCAUGGUUUUAGAUUCUGUAGACUUUAUGGUCGUAAAUAGAAUAAGUUUUGAUUAUUAAGUCGGAUUUACUAUUUUGUAGGCACCAUCAUAAUUAAAUUAGUUAGAAGUAAAAUUAUCUCUCUAGUAUUAUGCAAGGGUAGAAAUUUGGGUUGUACCAUGUUAUAAUUAUCAAGGAUAGUUUUGAUAGAAUUCUAAUUGUAAUAUAUGACUGUAUAAAAAAAAAAGAACAUUAAUGAAAGAUGUUUAGGUAAGGACUAUCUUGGAAUAGAAUUUUGAUUGUAAUAUAUCAAUAUAUAAAAAAAAAAUUUAUGAAAAAUGUUUAACAAGGACUGUUUUGAUAUUUUAAUGAGUAGUAAAAAUUAAUGUUAAAAUUUGAUAGAACAUAUAUAAAUAAUCCUAGCUCUAAUAAAAUUUUGCUACAUAAUUAGUUUAUCCCUUAAAGAAACAUAUCAAAAAAAUAUACAAAAACACAAUGCAUGAGUACAUGUCAAUCACAAAUGAAAGCAAUUAAGAUAAAGAAUAUGAUUUAUUUUAUUUUAUUUUAGUUAUUUUUUUGUUUCUUUUGAAACAAGACCAAUUAGAUCUGCAAGAAGUAAUUUUUUAAAAAAAUAAUAAAAAAAGGAGAAAUGAUGAAACCCACGUCCAAAGAUGCCGUUGUCGCGGAGGCCUAGAUCUCACUACACCCCAUCCCCUUCUACCAUAUUUUAUAAUUGAAGAGGCCAUUAUUGAAUUGAAAAAUUAUGAUUCAAAUAUCCAAAAGUAGAAAAAGAAAAGCAAUUGUUGGAAACACACUCGGAGUUUUAAAUUGACAUGAGAAAAGAAUAUAUUCAUCAACCUCAUACGUUAAUGAUGCGACGAGUUUAAGAAUAUAUUCCUAACGUGUGGGAAUUUAAAGACGUUACUACAAAACAUGUGUUCGUCGGUGGAGUAGAAUCAGGGAAAUUAAAGAUGCUACUACAACCACUAACGUGUGGGUGGAGAUAAGCAUAACUUUUUUCAUCAAAUGCCAAAUCCCCCCAGGUGGAGAGUGGGGACUCCUUCGCAUAAAUGUUGAUAAAAUUUUGACUAUGAUGUUAUUAGGAAUUAAGGGAAACUGUGGUGCAAUUGUGGUAUCGUGUCACAGUUGUAUUUGGUCGUUGGAUGUCAGUAGACCCUACCCAUAUAAGUGUAUCUAAUGGCUAAAUGUAAUUAUAACACGGUACCGCAAUUGCACCGUAGCCGAACCCUAAAAAUUAAGAUAUUCUCUCUCUACGUAUGCCUGCACGAAAUAAAUAAUAUGCAAAUAUAGUAUUUUAGUUUAUUAUUAAUAGUUUUACAAUAAUAAAAAUCAUUUUGAUAGACUGGAAAAUGUCAUAUUCGCAUUUUAUUUUGUACGGACGUCUGCGAGAAAGAACAUAUAUAUAUAUAUAUAUAUAGAGGAACGUGUAUUUAAGAUUUAGCUAGUGUGAAGUUGGGAAAUUUUUUUUUUGAACCCAGGCUAAAAUUAUUUCAAUAAAUUUUGAUCAUGGAGACUAAUAAGAUUUUUUUAGUUAUAUUUAUUAAUUUUUUAGGGACUAAUAAAUUUUGAUCAUGGAGACUAAUAAGAUUUUUUUAGUUAUAUUUAUUAAUUUUUUAGGGACUAACAUGAAUAUUAAUAAUUUUAUUGAGAUUAUUAAAAAAACAAUGUGCUAUUUUACAUCUAUGACUUUUCCAAUCUUUUUUUCUUUCGUUAUUUAUUCCUUUGUGAAUUUUAGUUAAUGCUUGAUAUUAUUUUUUUGCUCAUUUUUUAAAGCAGUAAUUAAAUCUGAACCCUUACAGUAGAAGAUUAUGAAAAAGUAAAGACACAAAAAUCAUAAAAAUCAUUAGUACGUCCAAAUUGUGCUAUUUUCAUACAUAACUUGAGAAUAUUUAUAAUUACGCAUCAGAACUAGUGGAGUAGAAUCAGGGAAAUUAAACAUUCUACAAUCAUUGACGUGUGGGGUGGGGAUAAGCAUAAACCUUUUCUAUGCAGUAUAAAAGAAUGCAAUAACUCCUUUUGUUUCAUAUCUUCGCAGCAAAAGCACAUCUAAUAACUCUUCAGAAUUCUCGUCUUCUUUGUCAGAAUGGUUGAUGCGAUCGUUUCCUCUCUCCUGGGGCAGCUGAGCUCUGUUGCGGCUGAUGAAGUGAAACAGCAGGUGAGGCUUGUGACUGGUGUCCGACAAGAAGUGACAAAGCUUACCAGCAAUCUUCGAGCCAUUCGAGCUGUGCUGGAAGAUGCAGAGAAAAGGCAAAUGCAGCGCGACAAUGCUGUUACUUUUUGGCUGGAUCAGCUCAAAGACGCAUCUUACGACAUGGAAGACGUGUUGGAGGAGUGGACCACUGCAAGGCUCAAAUUGCAGAUUGAAGGCGUUGAUGAUGACAAUGCUCUUGCUCUUGCUCCUCAUAAGAAGAAGGUACGCUCCUUCUUUUGUGCUGUAUCAAACUGGUUUGGUAGUUUCAAACAACUUAGUCUUCGUCAUGACAUUGCCGUCAAGAUUAGGGAAAUCAAUGGAAAGCUAGAUGGUGUUGCCUCCCAAAAAGAUACGUUUAAAUUUGUUGAGAAUGUGAGCAACAAUGUUAAGAAACCAGAGCGAGUGCGAACCACCUCCUUGAUUGAUGAGGGAGAGGUUUGCGGUAGAGUUGAUGAGAAAAAUGAGCUCUUAAACAAGUUGUGUGAAAGUAGUGAACAACAACAAGGCCUUCAUGUCAUCUCACUAGUUGGGUUAGGGGGUAUAGGUAAAACCACUCUUGCACAACUAGCCUAUACUAAUGAUGAUGUGAAAAGAAAUUUUGAAAAAGUUAUAUGGGUGUGUGUAUCAGACACUUUUGAGGAGAUUAGGGUCGCCAAAGCAAUCAUUGAAGGUCUAGGCAUGUCAGCUUCUGGUUUAAGCGAAUUCGAAUCUCUUGUGAAACAGAUUCAGGAAUAUAUUACGGGGAAGAAAUUUUUUCUUGUUUUAGAUGAUGUGUGGGAUGUAGAUUACAAAAAAUGGGACCCAUUCUUUUCUUGUCUAAAGAAUGGCCACCAUGAAAGUAAAAUUCUAAUUACCACACGUGAUAGGUCAGUUGCACUACAGUUGGGAUCAAUAGAUAUUAUCCCUGUCAAGGAGUUGGCUGAAGAGGAAUGCUGGUCGUUGCUCGAGCGGUUAGCAUUCUUCCGUCGUUCUGUUGAUGAUCAUGAAAAAUUAGAACCAAUCGGGCGAAAAAUUGCACACAAGUGCAAAGGCCUGCCUCUUGCUGCAAAGGUAAUAGGGAAUCUCUUGCGCUCUAAAAUUACAGUAAAAGAGUGGCAAAGAAUUUUAGAUAGUGAAAUGUGGAAAGUACAAGAGAUUGGGCAAGAUCUUUUGGCCCCUUUGUUGUUGAGUUAUAACGAUUUGCCCUCCAAUUCUAUGGUAAAACGGUGUUUCUCAUAUUGUGCUGUCUUUCCAAAAGACUACGAGAUGGAUAAAGAGGAGUUGAUUGAUCUGUGGAUGGCUCAAGGUUACCUUAAUGCAGAAGAAGACGAAGAGAUGGAGAUGAUUGGGGAAGAGUGUUUCAACAUUUUAGCAGCACGCUCUUUCUUUCAAGAGUUUGAGAAAAAUGAUGAUGAUGAUGAUAUUAGGAGUUGCAAGAUGCAUGACAUAGUACAUGAUUUUGCCCAAUUUGUAAGUAGAAAAGAAUGUUUGUGGGUAGAAAUGUAUGAUAACAAAGAAUCAGUCAUAAAGUCUUCUGGUGUCAAAGUCCGUCACUUAGGGUUAAAUUUUCAAAGAGGAGCUUCAUUUCCUACGUCCUUUUUUGAAUUUGAUAGAUUGCGUAGCCUCUUAAUUUAUGAUAGAAGUUAUUCCAAUCAGGUUCUUAAUAGUAAAUUGGCGUGUUUAAGGACAUUAGUUAUAAGGCAAUCGUUCCAAUAUUUUUAUCCUAUUUCUCUUGACUCAAAUGCGAUUAGAGAAAUUCCAGAAAAUGUUGGAAAAUUGAUACAUUUAAAAUAUCUUAAUUUGUCUAAAUUAGCCAUAGAGAUACUACCUGAGACUUUGUGUGAAUUAUAUAAUUUACAAAAGCUAGAUAUUAGGGAGUGCCGAUAUCUUAGGGAAUUGCCAGCGGGGAUUGGGAAGUUAAAGAACAUGAGAAGUUUACUGAAUGAUAAAACUUAUUCAUUGAAGUACAUGCCAAUAGGGAUUUCCAGAUUGACCAGCCUUCGAACAUUAGAAAAGUUUGUUGUGGGUGGAGGUGUUGAUGGUGGCAGCACGUGUAGGCUUGAAUCUCUGAAAAAUCUUCAACUCCUUCGUGAAUGUAGAGUAGAAAGGCUGAGUAAUGUAUCGCAUGUAGAUGAGGCUGAGAGGUUACAACUUUACAAUAAGAAAAACCUCCUUCGUUUGCGUCUUUGGUUUGGUGGAGUCGUAGAUGGGGAAGGCGAAGAAGGGAGGAGGAAGAAUAUUGAGAAAGAUAAACAACUUCUUGAAGCCUUACGACCGCCUUUGAAUUUAGAGGAAUUAGGGAUUGUAUCCUACCAAGGCAACAUUUUUCCCAAAUGGUUGACUUUGCUAACCAAUCUAAGGAAUUUAUUUCUUUCCUCGUGCGUUAACUGUGAGCAUUUGCCUCCUUUGGGAAAAUUGCCUCUGGAAAAACUCAAACUAUGGAAAUUAAAAAGUGUAAAAAGAGUGGGUAAUGAGUUUUUGGGAAUAGAAGAAAACAGUGAGGACGACCCAUCUUCAUCUUCAUCGUCAUCAUCAGUUAUUGCCUUCCCCAAAUUGAAAUCACUCGAAAUUUGGGACAUGGAGGAAUUGGAAGAGUGGAAUUACAGGAUUACGAGGAAGGAAAACAUCUCCAUCAUGCCCCGUCUUUCUUUCUUAAAAGUUGUUUUUUGCAACAAAUUAAAGGCGCUGCCGGAUUACCUUCUUCAAACGACGGCACUGCAGGAACUGCGUAUUUUUUCUUGUGAUCUUCUAGAAGAACUGCCCAUUCUAGAAGAUCGCAGGACAACAGACAUUCCACGUCUUUCUUCCUUGCGAAUUUCGGAUUGCCCCAAAUUAAAGGUGCUGCCGGAUUACCUUCUUCGGACGACGACGCUGCAGGAAUUGACUAUUGACGAAUGUCCCCUUCUGGAAAACCGUUAUAGAGAGGGGAAAGGAGAAGACUGGCAUAAGAUAUCUCACAUUCCCCACAUCGAGUGGUAAAUUCUCGAAUGGUUGCAAUUACUAUCACCCACCGGUAAUUUCUCACCUCUAUUUUACUUUGUUGUUACUUCAAACAACGACACUGCAAACAUUGACAAUUUGUACAUAUCAAUAAAAUGUACAAAGUUAAAAAUAUAGAAUGCAUUAGUACAUGUCAAUAACAAGACCAAUUAGAUUAUGGCAUUGCUUUAUUUUAUUUAUUUAUUUUUUUGAUUCUUUUGAAACAAGAUCAAUUAAUUAGAUCAUGCUAGAAGUUAAUUUUUUUUUUCAAAUGAAAAAGGAGCAGUCAUACAAAGUUUGAAUAUAAAAUUUAUAAUCUAAAACUAAUAAUGUGACAAUUAGCAUGUUAUUAACCUAUCUAAUAGAGUAGGAAGUCCCAAAUACAUCAUAUUCUGCUCCAGAAAUCCAUUCCACCUAGAAUACUUCUUUCUAUUGAAAUUAAUGAUGAUUUGUUUGUUUGCAUCAUGAAAGUUAAAAAUAAUUUUAUGAGUAAUUUGAUUCUUUACGGUACAAAAAAUAAAUUUGGAAAGUACUAAUUUCUCUCAUACUUUUUGGGCUAAAAAAUAAAUGUAACUCCAACAUAUUUAUUAUUUAAUGGUUCUAUAUAGAAUCAAUCGUGGUAUAAAUAUGUAAAACUUCCUAGUUAUCAAUUUUGUCUUGCAUAAUGAUAAUCGUUUUUUUUUAUAUAUAAUUUAUGUGACAUUAAUUCUUUAAAGUAAUUGUGGAAUUGUUUUUACUACAUUAGCCCUCUUUGUUUUAUUUCAUACGAGUUUAAUUAUGUUCACCAGGGAUUCGAGGAAAUGUCAGAACCACACUAGCAAUUCACAGGUCCAAUCUAAUUUGGUUUUAAUGAUGCAGGCAGGAGAGUAUGCUAAGAAAAUGAAAAGUUUAGCCAAAGGAUUGCUAAAAUGUUCUGCUGGUAAUUCACUUGCUUUAUUUUAUAGAAUUUCAUUUCCAUCUUCUUCUAUUGAUAUCUUGUUGUGAAUAAACAAGAACAGAGAAGUAAAGAUAUAUCAAAAUUAACUAUUACGAUGAUGCUAAAGCAAGCUCAAGCUCAAGCAUUGCAUUUUUAUUUUAUUUAAUUUAUAGAAUUUUCAUUUCCACCUGCAUUGCAUUUUUAUUUAUUUUUAGGUUGACUUUGAAUACUUCAUGGUGAAAAUGACGAGUUCAGCCAAAGGAUUGCUAAAUGUUCUGCUGGUAAUUCACUUGCUUUAUUUUAUAGAAUUUCAUUUCCAUCUUCUUCUAUUGAAUCUUGUUGUGAAUAAAGAAGAACAGGUAAGUAAAUGAUUGAACCACAGAGAAGUAAAGGUGUAUCAAAAUUCGCUAUUAUGAUGAUGUUAAAGCAAGCUCAAGCACAAGCAUUGCACUUUAUAUUUUAUUUAGUUAAUAGAAUUUUCAUUUCCACCUGCAUUUCAUUUUUAGGUUGACUUUGAAGACUCUAUGGAGAACAUUGGGGUAACCAAGGAUUAUCACUGUGGUUAUUGUGCAACGUUUGGUUGCUGGACUUUGAAGAAGGAAGUGAUGGCCGGGUCUGCUCUGUUUCAAUUGAGGAUGGAUAGCUGCCUGAAAGACAUGAUGAUUAUUAUUGUGUGAUGUUAAGGUGCUGAGAUCAUCAUUGCUAUCUUGUUUCAUUCUUGGAAUCAUUUAUCCUGUAUAAACAUUUGUUUUAACAAAUGUUUCAAUGGCUGCUGUAGUAACAAUUUCAUAUCUUGCAUCUCUCGGGUGCAUCAUGAUCACGGGUUUGAGAAAGCAUUUGUGGUAAAGCUUCAAAGCUUGUACAAUGGCUGUGAAAAGGCACAUUCAAUUCGGUACGUUUGGUGCGGUCUCCUAAUGCUACUACCAUAUUUUGUAUAGCAAUUAAAAUUCAGGUAUACAAUCUUAAUAUGCAAUAAAUCAUUGAGUACAAAGUUAUCUAUUAAUUAUAUGGUAACUGAAAUUUUCAUUAUAAUUUUAAUUAUCAUAUUAAUAUUAAAGUUUUUUGUAACCCUCUUUUACUUUGCUUGUACAGAGUAUCUGUUUUGGCUGAUAUGUCUAAUUCGUAGCAAUUCAUUUCCAUCGGUUUCCAUUGGUUUUAGCACAAACAGAAACAAAAAUCUGGGGAAAAAGUUUUACUUCUUGUGGUAUUAUGCCUUUAUUUAUUCAUUCAUCAUAUUUGUUCGAAUUCAUGCUCUCAUUCAGAGAGCAGCCUUUUCCAGGCUACUUUGUAGCCAAAUUUUCAUGCCAUCGAUGCAUGAUUGUCAUUUAGAUUUUCCAAAUAAUUGUUAGAUUGAAGAAGAAUAAGAAGAUAUUGUUAAAAGGGUAUUUAAUUAGCACCCUCUGAAUUUAGUUGCCAAUAAUGCAUUGAAAUGGUUGGGGAAAGUUAUUGUCUCACUUAAAUUACAGGUGAUAAGAUGCUGCUCCAAUUUUGCAAGCAUCUCGUGUUGCGAAGAUUUUGCCCACAUGAGAUGUUAUGAUUUUUGACAUCAGGGUAACACAGGUCAAAUUUUAGCAUCAAUAGAUAUCAUCUUCUUUACUGUUCUGCUCGAAAUAUUAAACUUUAGGCAAGUUGUUUUUGGUUGUGUGAGUUAUCAGGUUAAGGAUACUAAGCAGCUUAUUAAGGCAAAUGUCAGAAUGCAGAUUGCUCACCACACCUGGUAUGCAUGAUGGCCAGGAAGAUUAAUUGUUCACAAGCCAAUUUGAUCAGUGUUAGAUUUUUUUCCUCCUUUCGAGGGACAUCAUCAUCAAAUUUGAGUAGAGAAUCUUUGAAGGGAAUUUUGUUGUAAGAGUUUCACAGUAGUGAAUUCUAGAAGCUCGAACUCACUUGAGUGAGAUAUUAGGGAGUAUUGGGGAUUUGGGUUAUGAGUAAUCAUUAUCCUUCCAAUAUGUGUAAGCACUCACUUGUUAGUAAAAUCAUCUUCGUAUAUUGACUAUGUUUCUUUGUUAUCAGGUAGAGUGUGAUCUUCAAGGGUUUGAGAAAGUCCUUGCAGUAAAGUUUCCACCACAAGUAAUUGCUCAGUUUCAGAUUUUCUAGGCGUUUAAUUAGUUUCGAUUAUAAUAUUUAGUCACUCAUUCUGAAUCUUUUCUAAUUUUCAAGUUCCUUAGGGUCACAAUCAUUUUUUCAAGUCUGCUGUGGCUGCAAAAAGAUUGUUGGUCAUAAAAUUAUCUUGACCCUUGAGCCAUUGCGUUUGAGCACAAACAGAAACAGAGCUAAAGGAAAAGAACUUGACGCAAGAAGAUGCUCUGAAUAUAACAAAAGUAUAUUUCUACUUCUUGUGGUUAUUUACUUUUGUUUCUCCUGUCAGCAUAUUUGAUUAAUUCGUUCGAAUUCACACUCUCACACAUUAUUUAAAACCAUUUGUAGGUGGCUUGCAAGCUAAUUAAGUUAAUGCAGAAGCAAUACUCUAGACUUUAGUGAAGUUGUUUUUGUUUGUGUAAGUUAUCAGGUUAAGGAUACUAAGCAGCUUAUUAAGGCAAAUGUCAGAAUGAAGAUUGUUCACCGCACCUGGUAUGAAUGAUGGCGAGGAAGAUUAAUUGUUCACAAGCCAAUUUGAUCAGUAUUAGAUUCUUUUGCCUCCCUUCGAGAGAUAUCAUCAUCAAAUUUGAGAAGAGAGUUUUGUUUUGACAUUUCACUGUAGUGAAUUUUGGGAGCUUGAACCCACUUCAGUGAAAUAUUAGGGAAUACUGGGGAUAUGGGUUAUGAGUGAUCGUUAUCCUUCAAAUAUUUGUAAGCUCUCACUUGUUAGUAAAACCAUCUUCGUAUAUUGACUUUGUUUCUUUGUUGUCCGGCCGAGUGUGAUCUUCAAGGUUUGAGAAAGUCUUCGCAGUAAAAUUUCCACCACGUGCAAUUGCAGUGAAGGGGCAUAUACAUUUGAGUAAUUCAGUUUCAGAUUUUCAAGGCGCGUUUGUUUAAUUAGUUUCGAUUAUAAUAUUUAGUCACUCAUUCUGAAUCUUUUCUAAUUUUCAAGUUCUUUAGGGCCGCCAACAGUUUUUCAUGUCUACAUGUGGCUGCAAAAAGAUUGAUGGUCAUCAAAUUAUCUUGAGCCUCGAGGCAUUGCAUUCGAGCACAAAGGGAAACAGAGCUAAGGGAAAUGAAGACAGUAGGAGAUGCUCUGAAUAUAACAAAAGUAUAUUUCUACUUGUGGUUAUUUUAAUUUUGUUUCUCCUGUCAUCAUAUUUAAUUAAUUCGUUUGAAUUCACACUCUCACACAUUAUUUAAAACCAUCUGCAGGUGAUAGAAUAUGGGAGACGUUGUUAAUGGAAAAACAGUACUCUAGACAAAGAUGAGCAAAUUGAAGGCGACAAAUGCAAAUUGGAUUUCCAUGAAUAAUUGUUAGGCUGGUGGAGAUAUUCUUAAAAGGGCAUUAAGCUAUCUUAUGGAAUUGGAAAGUUAUUAUUACUUGAAAGCAAGCAGCAUCUUCGUUGCGAAGGCUUUCCCCACUUGAUAAGAUGCUGAGAUUGUUAUCGGCCCCUUAAUUAUUUAUUAACUCAGGUAUUUAUUAUCAGUACAUCAUCUUAUUCACCAUUUUGGCUGUAUAUAAAGAUUAAAAUUUCUAACAGUUGUUUCGGAUUCUUGUGUACUCAGGUUAAUAGGGCAAAUGUCAGAAUGAAGAUUGCUCAGUGCAACCGAUAUAGCAAGGAUGAUAGUUGUGAGGAAGAUUGUUGGCAAGCCAAAUAGAGCCCUCCAUUUGGAGAAAUAUCAUCCUCAAAUUUGAAUUGUUGAGCAUGUGAGGUGAAGCUAAAGCCUUAAUAAUGAGACCUUCCUGUGGAAGUUUCAUUUGAAUGAAUUGAACGUUCUUAGUGAGUGAGAAAUUAAGCAUAUAUCAGCGAUUUUGGUCGUCAGUGAAUGUUUUCCUUCAAUAUUAAUACACUGGCAUUUCUUAGUAAAUUCCCUUCACGUCACUUCCUCCUUGUUGGUGGGAUUAGUAAACAAAUGCCAUUUCUUAGUACAUUUUGAGAAUUUUGACUCCCAAAUAAGCCUGCAGAGCGGUGUAUGGUGGGAUUAGCUGCAGGAUUCUUUGCCAAACUUCCUUUUUAUUCCUUUGUUCACUUAUUCGUUAUAAAUAAAGUAAAAUUAGAAUAUUGUUCCGUUUACUGUCUAAGCUGGUCUAACAUUUGUUUAAUUUGGGCAAUUUUUAAUGCCUAACAGGUUAUCUGUGACAAACCCAUCAGUGAGUGUAUGCAACUAUUGCGUGGAUUUGAUAGAGUGGUCACCAACAAUUUUGAAGUUAUUGGAGUAGCACGGCUUUGAGGUCUCUCCCUCCCUCUUUUACGUAUUUGUCUAUUGAUCGACAUGUCUAUAUAUACAUUGAUAGACCAACUUACUCUUGUUUUAAUGUUUUGUUUGUUAAAAUUUGACUGGGUUAUGUUUAUUUGUCUCAUAUGAUGUCAAUGUGGUUCCUAUUGAAGUGUAUAGAUCUGUCACCUCAAAGUCUGAUUUCAAUUUUCCUUUACUUCAUCAACUAGCAUCCUUUCCAAGUCCAGAUACUUACCAAUAGUGAUACUUUGCUACGGAAGUACAAUUUCUCUUGUUUUACAGUUAAUUAUGAAAGAAAAGUUUUAAAUUUACAGAAUUCUGGUAUAGCUCUCUUAAGGAAAUGCGAGUGGUGAAUAUGGUUCCAACUUUUAAUAGGCUUAAUAGGCCCAUUUGUUGAGCCACAGUGAUUGCGGUGUAAAUUCUUCUUUACUGUCUAUAUGUGUUGGAGUUUGUCUAUUGUCCAACUUCUCAAAUCGAUUCCAUGCAGGGUUUUGAAUGUCUAAUUAGGAGAACGAUUAACGGAUGACCUUUUGAAGAAGGCUUACACAACAGGCCAUCUCGGGAUGUCAUGGCUCAGCUCAAAAGUCCCCAGGUGGGUGAUAUCAAAGAAUGCCAUUGUUUCUGGGCUUGGUCUCCUUGGCAUCAAACAAGAUAAUGUUGACUGCAUAAAUUUGUUGGAGUUAAUGUAGUCAAUUGCCCAAUUUCGCUGCCUAUCGAAGAGACACAUCAUGGAAGUCCUCAUCAAACUCUGAGACACCUAAGAAAUAGUAGGAGGUGGUGGUACUUGCCUGGGGUUAAUUUCCUGGCAAGUAUAGUUCACUGAUAGAGGGAAUCUUCUCUUGAUGUCUAAAUACCGUAUGUGAUACAACGUCGUAUAUUCUAAUUUUCCUUGAGUUAAAUUCUAGUCAGUUAGGAAAGUUAAUUUUGUUUUCGCUAUGGAUUGUUUCCUAGAUAAUAAUAGUUUCCAUGUUCCUUUGGGGUCUUAUUAACUCUCUGUAACCCAGUUCAAGUUUGCAAAUUCUAUUUCAGAUUUCUCAUAUAGUGUGCCUUUGUGACUUCUGUGAUACACUUUUGAUCACAAGUUUCCAUUUGAAGUAGCCAAUAUUCUUUAUAGACUAAUUAUCUAAGGAUUAUUUUAUACAAAAAAUGAAAACUUUAAUUAAUUGAUCAUACUUAACUUAGCUCUUGUUUAAUAUUACGAGCUGUUGUGAGAACAAAAAAAUAGCAGAAAGUUGACAGUGUGCAGUAAAUGUAUGACUUUUAAAUAAUAAUUUAAUAAAAUUAAUAAAGAUAUUAUAAGUUUUUUAAUAAUAAAGUAUGAGAUCAAAUUAAAUUAAUUAAUUUUGAAUUAUUUUAUUAUUGUCAAAAUGUAAUAUCUUAAAUAACAGUUAUUUUUAUUAAGAAUAUUUUUUUGGUAAUGAAUUAUACUUUUUAAAAUAUAAUUGAAAAUUCUUAUUAAUGAACUAAUAAAAAAUUAAUUAUUUGAGUUAUCUCCUAAACUACUUAGCUCACGAGAUAAAUUCACUUAGUUUAGAACGAAGCGGUGGGUUUUAUGUGGGAAGCCACAUCCUUACCACAUCAACCUCAACAUCGAAACAUGGAAUUGGACUAAAAAUAGUUCUUUCCCAUGUAUUUACGUAACCUCCUCCCAGUAAACGCAAAUAUGUAUUCUUGAGUGCAUGUAAUCCACAAGUUUGAUUGAGUAGAAGAUGUCGUUGUCACAAAGGCCUGGACGCCAUACCUCGAAUGAUAUGUUAGUAUGAAAUUAUGUUUUUUUUUUUUUUUUUGAGAGAGGUAUGAAAUUAUGUGAAAAUUAAUAUAUCACUUUUUUUUUCUUUUUUCCUUUUUUGCGUGAGUGAUGGCUUCGUUGAAUGACAGUUGGCAAAUAAUAAGUUAUCUUUUAAUUUUGGUUUUGAUUUGAAAAAAAUAUUAAUUUUUGUAGUUUCGGUAGAUGAAAUUUCGAAUCAAAUAUUAAUAUUGUUAAAGUACGCAACCCAAUAUUUGCUUAAAUUACAAAAAAGAUUAAUUACUUUGCAUAAAAAAAAAGUGAUCACUUGAUUUAACUUCCUUUACUAAAUUUACGAUUUAAAAUCCAAAAUAAAAAAAAGGAAAACAAUUUUUGGACACACACUCGGAGUUUUAAAUUAAUAUGAAAAACGAGUUUAUUAUUGAUAGGAAAACAAUCAAGUGAUCACUUGAUUUAACUUCCUUUACUAAUUUUACGAUUUAAAAUCUAAAAUAAAAAAUUGUUUAUUAUUGAUUGUCUUUUUCCCAAAAUUUAAGCUAAAACAGUAAUAUGUCCAAAAUACCCUCCACGUUAUCCUAAAACUUUAUAAACUCCCCCGUUCCUCUCAACAUCAUCUCUUCCAAAUCUUUCUCCCCCAAAAAACCAGCCAUGGCUUCAUAUUUAGUUACCUCAACACUCCAAUAUUGGCUUGUAAACAGUAGUGGUUCGACCUCUAGGCAACUUAGGUGGUUGUAUAGGACUCCGCUUUAUAUGAAAACCCUACGAGAUGAUUAUUUUGUAUAUAAAAGAGGAAAAUGAAUUUAAAAGUGAUUAUUAUUUAUUUAAUUUAUUAUUAUUUUGUAAUUAUCUUUUUCUAAAUAAACUAUCAAAUUCUUAUAAAGUUUAUUUAAUGUACUACUUAAUUGUUUUAAUUAAUUUCUACAAAACCAAUAAAUUAAUAGUUUCAAUCCUAAACAUUCUCUAUUUCAUUGUUAGAAUUAAUAAGUUAUAUUUCAAAAGUUUUAUAUUUAUUUUAAACCUCUAUAAAAGCCCCACAUUUUAUUACUUAUCCAUUACAUUUUUCCUCCAACAAUCAAGACAUCUUGGUGUUUUAGAGAAAGAAAGAGAAAGAAGGAAAAAAAUCUUGCUUCCCCUACUUUCUACUCUAGAAGAAACAGAAAAAAUCUAAUAGUUUUCUCUAUUUUCUAUGACUAUUGGUCGUUACUCAAAUUUUCAAACAAUAGCCUUAAUAUAAAUAUAAGUUAAUUUAUGAUUUCAUCUCAAAUUUUUGAUUUUAUCUUUUUAUUAUUCUCUUAAUUAGUUGUGUUUUAUUUGUUCUUAUUUCUUUUUAAUAUAUUCUUUUAUUCAUCUAAUUUUUUUUUGUGCUUGUUUUAUCUAUUUUGAAAUAAAACUAUAUCAAAAAACUUUAGACAAUAGAAGAAUAGAAAAAUUAGUUUAAUUUAAAAAAAAAAGUAAAAAGAUAUAAUUUAACUUAAAAAAAUAAAUGAAAAUGUUAUAAUUGAAUUAAAAUUUUAUGAAUUAACAUCAAUGGAAUGAAUUUUUAUUUAAUAAUUUUACAUUUUAAAGUGUUUAAAGAAUUAAUUUUCAAUAAAUAAUAUACGUUAUAUACCUUCUAGAAGAUAUAUAACGUAUUUCAAUAAAUAAUUGUACAUUAUGAAUUAACAUCAAUGGAAUGGAUUACCUUCUUCAAACGACGGCACUGCAGGAACUGAGUAUUUCUUAUUGUCCAAUUAUGGAAGAACUGCCCAUUCUAGAAGAUCACAGGACAACAGACAUACCACGUCUUUCUUCCUUGCGAAUUUGGAAUUGCCCCAAACUAAAGGUGCUGCCGGAUUACCUUCUUCGGACGACGACGCUGCAGAAAUUGACAAUUUGGGGAUGUCUCAUUCUGGAAAACCGUUAUAGAGAGGGGGAAGGAGAAGACUGGUAUAAGAUAUCUCACAUUCCCCACAUCAAGUGAUCGCCGUAAUUUAUCACUCGCCGGUAAUUUCUCCUCCGCCUCUGAUUUACUUCGUUGUUGCUUGCAAUGAAAUUAAUAAAAAUAAUUAUAUUUUGAAUUAAAAUUUCUAUACUUAUUUACUUUUAAAAAAUAUGUGCUCUUUUGUAAAAUUUCAUGCAAUGUAAUUUAUUUUUUAAUGUACGAUAAUUUGUUGUGUGUAACUUCCUGAGAGACAAAAUCUCUGUGAUACAUUUGCAGUAAUGUUGAAAACUAAAUUAUCAAUUUUAUCUUGUAUAAUGAUAAUCUUAUUUUUUUAUAUAUAAUUUAUGUGACAUUAAUUCUUUAAAGUAAUUGUGUAAUUGUUUUUACUACCAGUUUAUGUUUCAUUUUAAUUAUGUUCACCAGGGAUUCGAGGAAAUGUCAGAACCACACUAGCAAUUCACAGGUCCAAUCUAAUUUGGUUUUAAUGAUGCGGCAGGAGAGCAAGACUAUGAAAAUGAAAAGUUUAGCCAAUGGACUGCUAAAAUGUUCUGCUGGUAAUUCACUUGCUUUAUUUUAUAGAAUUUCAUUUCCAUCUUCUUCUAUUGAUAUCUUGUUGUGAAUAAACAAGAACAGAGAAGUAAAUGAUUGAACCACAGAGAAGUAAAGAUAUAUCCAAAUUCGAUUAUUAUGAUGAUUAAAGCAAGCUCAAGCUCAAGCAUUGCAUUUUUUAUUUUAUUUAGUUUAUAGAAUUUUCAUUUCCACCUGCAUUGCAUUUUUAUUUCAUUUUUAGAUUGACUUUGAAGACUCUAUGGAGAACAUUGGGGUAACCAAGGAUUAUCACUGUGGUUAUUGUGCAACGUUUGGUUGCUGGACUUUGAAGAAGGAAGUGAUGGCCGGGUCUGCUCUGUUUCAAUUGAGGAUGGAUAGCUGCCUGAAAAACAUGAUGAUUAUUAUUGCAUGAUGUUAAGGUGCUAAGAUCAUCCUUUCUAUCUUGUUUCAUUCUUGGAAUCAUUUAUCCUAUAUAAACAUAUUGAAUUGUGCUAAUAUUAUCAUAUGCGUAAAUGGAGGCAGGAAUUUGGUGUUGACACUAUUAUGCAGGUAACCACACUUGAUAAUUGGCACAAAUUUGCGUUGUCAGAAUAUCCUUUAAUAUUCAACGUGUCUCUUUGUGUUAUCAGGAGUAUCAUGUCCAAGGGUAAAGGUGCUGCCGGAUUGGUGGAUGCCCCAAAUUAAAGGUGCUGCCGGAUUACCUUCUUCAAUCGACGACACUGCAGAUAUUGAGUAUCUUUUUGUGAAAAUAUGGAAGAACUGCCCAUUCUAGAAGACCGCAGGACAACAGACAGAUCACUUGCCCCAAAUUAAUGAUGCUGCCGGAUUACCUUCUUCAAACAAUGACACUGUGGAUAUUGAGUAUUUAUGAAUGUCCUAUUCUGGAAAAACGUUACAGAGAGGGGGAUGGAGAAGACUCGCAGAAUGUUAAGGUGCUAAUAUCAUCAUUUCUAUCUUGUUUCAUUCUUGGAAUCAUUUAUCCUAUAUAAACAUAUUGAAUUGUGCUAAUAUUAUCACUUGUGUCAAUGGAGGCAGGAAUUUGGUGCUGAAACUAUUAUGCAGGUAACCACACUUGAUAAUUUGCACAAAUUUGCGUUGUCAGAAUAUCCUUUAAUAUUCAUUGUGUUUCUUUGUGUUAUCAGGUUAUCAUGGUAUACAGAGUAUCAUUUUCAAGGGUUUGUAAGAGCUUUCGCAGUAAAGUUAGUCAUCACCACCUUGUGCAAUUGCACAUACAUUCAGAGUACUUCAAUAUUAGAUUUUCAAGGUUUGUAUGUUUAGUUGCGAUUAAAAUUUUUAGUCACUCAUUCUUAAUCUUUUCUAAUUUUCAAGUUCUUUAGGGCCAUAAACAGUUUUUCCAACUCAUUCUUAUUUUUUAGGUUGAUUUCGAGUACUCUGUGGAGAACAUUAGUGAGACAAAGGAUUAGACUGGCGAUGGAACUGCUGCCUCUGUUGUUAUUGUGCAAGGUUUGAUCACUGGACCUUGAACACGAAAGCCUUACACGCAUUCUGUAAUUCAAGCGUUCUCUAAAACGAACGAGCAGUAGAAGGAAUAGUGAUGACCGGAUCUGCUCUAUUUUAAUUGAAGAUCUCUGUGAUAUUGAGGGGCUUAAAGUAGUUGAUGCUUUUUGAAAAUUGUUAUUACGGAUGAAUUCAUUCCUGAAGACGAGUAGCUAAUGAUUGUUAAGGCUUAUUUUCUUAAAGUUCCUUUCUUAACAAGUGUUUCAAUGCUGGCUGUAGUAACAUUUUCAUAUCUUGCAUCUCUCGGGUGCAUCAUGUUCACAUGUUUGAAAAGGCAUUUGUG
rnacentral:lncRNA from 1 species